rnacentral:lncRNA from 1 species
GGAGGGUCAGCACCAGCCACCGCAAGUUUUUACUCCCUCUACUAUUAUAAAUGUCCUAUAUAGAUAGUAUUUUGACAACCAUUAGAUUCCAACUGGUAUGUCCGCUUUGGAGUUGGCACAUAUUAUGGUUGUCACAUGCAUGUACGACGUACGGGUACAUAAUCUAAUGUGUAUUUAGGUUUCUACUCAAGUGAGAGAGACGUGAAAAAAAUUAAAGAGUUCGGUACUAAAAAAGAGCUCUUCACUUACGAAUUCGUUGGUAAUUAGAAACGAAUUAUCUGUUAGUAAAAUUUAUUCACUUUCAAUUACGAUAAUCAGCAACGAAUUUUUCGUUGAUAACAAUGAUAUUUUUUUACCAACGAAUAUUUCGUGCAUUAUGUAACCGUUUAACAUUUGAAUCUUUAUAUGUAGGUGACAUAUCGAAUAUACCAACGGAUUGCAUCCGUUGGUAAUUAGAAACAGAUUAUCAGUUGGUAAAAGUAAUUCAUGUUCAAUUACGAUAAUAAGCAACGAAAUUUCCAUUGGUAAUGAUGAUAUAUCUUUACUAACGAAUAUCCCGUGCCUCAUAUAAUCGUUUAACAUUUGGAUCUUUCACAUACGGAUAUUCCGUUGAUAAUUAGAAGUAUCAUCGAAGUACACCACAAAAAACGACCCAAUAAAAGGAUGGAGAAUCUAGUUUAUCAUCCUCAUGAAGGUACUUGGAGCAUUUGAAAGUCCAAAUAGCAUCACCAACCAAUCAUAAAGUCCAUCCUUACUCUUGAAAGUAGUCUUCCAUUCAUCCCCAGGCUUAAUACGGAUCUAGGGAUAACCACUGCUAAGAUCUAUUUUUGAGAAGACCUUAGAACCCUCAAGCAUAUCUAUCAUAUCCUCCAAUCGUGGAAUGGAAAACCUGUACUUCACUGUUAUCUUGUUGAUUGCACGGCUAUCAACACACAUACGCUACAUUCUAUCCUUCUUUAGCACUAGAAGAACAUGUACUACACACGAUCUCAUACUUUCUCUUAUGAACCCUUUUCUCAACAGCUUCUCAAUUUGCUCCCUUAGAAUCUCAUUCUUCUUUGGACUCAUUCUAUAAUGAGGCAAAUUUGAAAGGCUAGCUCCAAGUACCAAAUCAAUCUGGUGUUGAAUAUUCCUCAUAGGAGGUAACUCAUUCGGCAAAUCAUCGAAAACCAAGUCUUCAAAUUCCAUCAAUAUUUAUUGUAUCUUAGGAGGAACACCCUCAUCUUCUUUAUUUACCGCAAAAAGCCCCUUAACUACAACUGGAUAGAAGUAAUCAGAUUCUCUUACAGACUCUGUAAUUUCCUUCUCAUUAUUGGUAAGGGUAAGGAAACUCUCAGUUCGUUGAUGAAUAGACAUCUCCGCCUGUGGGAGAGGAACCAUAGCAAUCUUAUGACUACCCCAUGAAAAGAGUACUAUAUUAUCACGUACUUUGAGAGUUGAAUCCACGUCAAACUGCCAUGGACGACCUAAUAGGAUAUGGCAAGCAUCCAUAUCUAUGACAUCACAUAUAAUUUCACCCUUAUAAUGCUUACCAAUGGAAACAGGUACUUUGCAAAUUUCAGCAACUUGAACAGAAGGACCUGUCUUUACCCAACCAAAUGAAUAUGAUUUAGGAUGGCUCUCAAAUGGUAGUUUCAACAAAUUCACCAACUUCUUUGACACAAAGUUUUUACAACUUCCAUUGUCCAAAAUCACUUCACACACUUUAUUCUUGAUAGAACAAAGUGAAUGGAAGAUGCCAUGAUGUUGUCCCUCCUCCUUAGGUGAUAAAAGAAUUCGUUGCAGUACCAAAGUGAGUCUUUCUACUCCUUCCUCCACAGCAAACUCUACUUCCGUGUACUCAUCUUCUACUUCAGUAUCUUUUUCCUCAUCCAUUGCCUCUGAUUCCACCAAAUUGCCUGCUUCGUCUCAGGACAGUUAUAGGAACGAUACCCAGGCUUUUGGCAUCUAUAGCAAAUUUCUCCCGUGGGCUUAGCAUACGGAUUUGCAUUAUGAGGUGUGUCUUGAGUCUGACUUCCAUUCCCAAACUGACUACUGUUGUCAACCUUACUCCUGUUAAAAUUGACUGGGGCUUGUUAUGGGGCCUUUCCUUUGUCUAAAGGGAUGGAUGAUGAUGAUUUGACAGGUAAUGAUUACUUAUAAAAAACCAUCAUCUUAUUAGCUUCUAUCAUCUCCGCUUUAAUUACCAUGUUAAUGGCUUCCUGCAAUGUUCAAAUAUUCUUCAUCCCAAUUGUAUCUUGAAUGACCACCUUCAAAUCACUGGUAUACCUGGCUACCUUUUGAUUUUAGAUUCUAACCGAUUAGUCCAUUCCGCCAAUUGCUUAAAUUCAUUGGUGUAGUCCAACACUGUACGAUUCCCCAAUGUGCAUCCAGGUACAUACGAUAUAAAAUAUGUUCAUAAUCUGCAAGUAAAAAUCGAUCCAUCAAAGACUGCUUCAUCUUUCUUCAAAUUUGAUUCUGACUCUUUCCCUGUCUCCUUCGAGUAUUCUGUAAUUGAUCUCACCGUACUGUUGUUGUAGAUUUCAAACGGAAUGCCAACAUUUUAACCAUCUUGUCCUUUGAAACAUUCAUAAUUUCAAAGAAUCUCCCAACUUCUACCAACCAAUCCAAAAAGACCUUGAUCUUCAUGUUUCCAAAGAACGGAGGAAUGUCUGCUUUAAUCCGAUAAUCAUCAAAGUUAUUUCAAUUUUGACGAUUAGGAUGAUGCAGCGGUGUUUUGAACUCCUCCCCCGACUCUGAUUCAUUGUCUUCUACUACAUGCCUCCUAUUAUUUUAUCUCCGAACUACAAGUUCAGCUAUUCGUUCAUUGUUGAUUGCCCCCUGUUCAUUCAUCCUAUUGUUUCCAACACCCUGUAGAAGUAAUUGACGAAUUUCUUCAAUCUGAAUAAUGAGAUUGUCAAUUCGUUCGUUAAGUCGUCGACUUGUUGCAUCUAAAUCUACUCUAGUAAAUGGUACGUCACCCAUAUUUAUGAAUCAAUGAUAUAGAGAUAGAAAAGCUGACUCUGAUACCACUUGACGCAGCAAAAGAAAUGAAUUCAAACGAAAACCUUAAAAUCACGAAAUUUGGAAUUCGCCAAAUUAAAGAGAAAAUAAAUUUCACGAAUUUUGUUAAAUGAAUGAUAAAAUAAAAUAAAAUAAAAUAAAAAAGAAGAACUAACCCCUUAUUUAUAAGGAUUUACAUGGAAACAUAGUUUAAAACAAUUAAAAGUAAUGAAAAUAAAGUUUAAAUAAGCUAGAAUUGCAAAAAAAAAAAAAAACACCCAAAUAAAUGAAUUGACAAAAAUAGCGCUAAAAUUUUAAAAAUCAGUUUUCGAGUUCUAAACGAACUUGAAUGACUGAUAUUCAUCGUACACCACGACGUAGAGGUGAGUAUUAUUCCUCUUGUCAUUCUCUUUCCAAAAUGAUUUUAUGGGCUCGAUCUGAAAUUAAGAUGUUCUAUUUCUACUAGUACUAUUUUUCCAAUAUACCCAUUAUAUCUUAUAUCCUUAACUCCCCAUUUUUAUGGCAUGAUUCUUAUUCAACUUUCCUUUAACAUUGAUUAAUACGAUUUUACCAGUAAUUAAAGCAUGAUUAAUUAUCUGCCUUACCUUUUUAUAUAGACACUAGUUUUCCACCCGUGUAAUGCACUGGCUAUUUCAUUUUUUAAGUAAUAUCAAAGUGUCAAAAUAUAUAUUCAUUUCUCUCAAUAAAUGUACAAAUUUGAUUAAUUGUUUAAAAUGAUAAAUGGAAAUGUAAUUUUCAUAUAUGACACAAUUUUGGCAUUAAAAUUUUUUUUAAGUUUAUUAGGAAAUUUUCUAAAUGGCAUCAAAAUUUUUAUUAGAUUAUUUAAAAAAUUAAUUGAUCGAGAGGAAAAAGUAACAAUAAGAAAAAAAUUCCUAAAAAUGAUCGAAUUUUUUUUAUAUAUAAAAUUUUUCAGAUGUUAAAAUAAUCAAGAUAAAAAAUUGGUUGGCCUCAAUUUUGCGUUUCUAUAAUUGAAAUGUAUUUUCUGGAGAUAUGAUAAACGUUCUCUUGAUAAAUGGAUUACAAAUCCAAAUUACUGGAGCUCAUAAUUUAUAUAUCAAAUAUUAUUUUAGUCUGAGUGGUUAUUUUACAUAUAAAGGAUGUAUUUGAUGAUAAAUAUAUUCAAUAUAAUUAAAUCGUGUAAUUAAUUGAAUCUUUUUUUUUUUGUGUUCAAUAACUAAUCGAUUUAAUGAAAAGUUUUUAUUUGCGUGUAAUAUUUAUUUUAUGGAAGAUUCUGCGAUUAAAAAUAAAAGAGAGAAAAAUGAAAAAAAAAUUAAUGGAGUCCAACAAAACUGAGUCACGGUAUAAUAUUUUGUCAUUUAAAUGGUGUUGAGAUUUUUAUUUAAUCACCCAAUUUUGAUAUAUUUGAAUUUAAACCUCCAAAAUCUAUAUACAUCGAAAAUACUCAAUUUAAAAAAAAAAAUUAAUUCUUUUCUCUUUAUGAUAAAACUUAAUUUUUGCAAUUUUAAUUAAAUAUUAUUUAUAUAUUCUUUAUUUAAUUUUCGUAACUUUCUUUUGUUUAAUUUUUUUUGUUUUUAUUAUAUAUUUUCUUUAAAUUGUUUUAAAAUUUCUUUUUCUUCAUAUUUUAGAUAAUUUUUUGUUCAAUUUAAAAUUCAUUUUGAAAAGAAAUUUAAAAUCCCAAACCGGUUUUGUACUAUUUGCAUUUUUCCUCUUUUUUAAACGUUAUACUACUUUAUUUUGACUAAAAAAAGAAUUGCAGACAAAAAUUAAAAAAAAAAGUUAUUAUAAAUUUUUUUAAUUAAAUUGAAUAAAAAAUAUUUUACAAAGUAAAAUAUAUUUUCAAACAAAUUUCAAAAAAAAUAUAAUAAAAACAAAAAAAAUUAAACAAAAGAAAGUUAUGAAAACUAAAUAAAAAAAUAUACAAAUAUUAUUUAUUUAAAAUUGAAAAAAUUAAGUUUUAUCAUAAAAAGAAAUUUAAAAUCGAAAAAAAAUUUAUAUGACAAACUAAACAAAUGAAAAAAAUAAAAAAAUUGGAGAGUUUUGGAGAAAACUCUUACUAUUAUGGAGAGAAAUUUCUCUAUUCUCUCCGUGUUAUGGAGAGACUCAUUCCAUUUUUUUUAAUUUUUUUUGUUAAUUAAAUAAAUACUUUUUUAAUUAAAAUUCUUUUUAAUUCUUUUUCCUUAUGAUAAAACUCUAUUUUUCAAUUUUAAUUAAAUGAUUUUUAUAUAUUUUUUUAUUUAAUUUUCGUAAAUUUCUUUUAUUUACUUUGUUUUGUUUUUAUUAUAUAUUUUUUGAAAAUUAUUUUCAAAUUUAUUUUUUCUUCAUAUUAUAAAUAAUUUUUUGUUCAAUUUAAAAUUCUUUUUGUUUUAUGAUAAAAUGUAAUUUUUUCGAUUCUAAUUAAAUAAUAUUUAUUUUAAUUUUAAUUAUUUCAAUUUAAUUAAAAAAACAUUAUAAUGACUUUCUUUUUAAUUUUUGUGCGUAAUUCUUUUUUUGUUCUUUAAUUAGUUAAAUCAUAUAAUUUUUAUUAAUUAAAUAUCUUGCCUCCAUAUAAAUAUUAUUUAAUCCUUGUCUCCAACUUACUGAAGAAAGAAGCAAAAAGUUUCAAACAAAAUUAAGGGAAAAGUAAAUAGGUAAGAAAAUCAAAAGAAGAAUAUAUAAAUAUUAUUACUUGUUAUGACAUUGUUCUUUAGGGAGUCGUGCCUGGUUACUGUUUGCCAUUUUGUUCUUUUUUUUAAAUGUUAUAUUACUUUAUUUUGACUUAAAAAAGGGUAAAAAAUCAUUGUAAAGUUUUUUUUAGUUAAAAUUGAACAAACAAAGUUUAUGAAGAAAAAGAUAUUUUUUAAAAUAAUUUUAAAAAAACAUAAUAAAAAAGUAAAUAGAAUAAAGUUAUGAAAAUUAAAUGAAGAAUAUAUAAAUAUUAUUUAAUUAAUUAAAAUUAAAAAUAUUAACUUUUUUCAUAAAAAUAAAAGAAUUAAAAAUAAUUUUAAAUUGAAAAAAUGUAAACAAAUAAAAUUUUUUUUGGAGAGCUCCUUGUUAUGGAGAGGAAUUUUUCCUUUUGUUUCCAUUAUUUAUUUAUUUAUUUAUUUUGUUUUAUUUAUAUUGCUUAUAAUUUUUUAAUUUUUUUGUCGAUAAAAUUAUUUUUUUCUAUUUCAACCAAAUAUUAUUUAAUUAAUUUUGGUAUCUUUCCUUUGUUUAAUUCAUUAUACAUAUUUUUAAAAUUGUUUUAAAAUUUCUUUUUCCUUCAUAUUAUAAAUAAUUUUUUUCCAAUUUAGAAUUCUUUUUGAUUUUUUUCAUUUUAUGAUAUAAAAUAAUUCUUUUUUUAAUUUAAGCUUUAUCAAUGUUCAUAAUUAAUAUCCCAACUUUAAAAUUUAUCAAGUAACAACAAAGACAAAGCUCAAUUAAUUAUCUUAAUAUCUUUUCUAUGUUAUAUACUCAAUUACAUCAUAUUUUCACCUGCACUACAUCAUCAUCAUCAUUAUUAUUUUAUAUAUUUUUUUUAUUUUAUUAUUAUUAAUCUCUCGGUGUUAUGGAGAGUUUUUCUCCACAACAUUGAAGGUGACACAGAGCUCCAUUUUUUUAAAAUUUGUUUUGUUCAUUAUAUAAAUUUUUUAUGAUUUUAAAUUCUUUUUAAUUAAAUAAUAUUUAUAUAUUCUUUAUUUAGUUUUUAUUAUAUAUUUUUUAAAAUUUCUUUUUAUUCAUAUUAUAAAUAAUUUGUUUCGAUUCAAUGUUCUUUUUGUUUUAUGAUAAAAGGUAAUUUUAAAAAGGAAAAGAAAUUUAAAAAAAUGAGAAAAUGUAAUUUUAAAAAGGAAAACGUAAUAAAACUAGAAAUAAAAUAUUAUUUAAUUAAAAUUGAAAAAUAAAAUUUUAUCAUAAAGAAAAAAAUAAAAGAAAUUUUAAUUUGACAGAAAAUAUUUAAAUGAUGAACAAAACAAAUAAAAAAAAGGAAAAAAAAUUGGACCAGGUUAUGGAGAACAAAUUUCGAAAAAAAAAUAUAAUAAAAACAAAAAAAUUAAACAAAAGAAAUUUAUAAAAAUUAAAUAAAGAAUAUAUAAAUAUUAUUUAAUUAUAAUUGAAAAUAUUAAGUUUUAUUAUAAAAUGAAAAGAAUUUUAAAUAGAAUAAAAUUUGUAUGAUGAGCAAAAAAAAAAAAAAAGGUUAUUAUAAAGUUUUUUAAUUAAAAUUGAACAAAAAGUAUUUUACAAAGAAAAAUAUAUUUUAAAACAAAUUUCAAAAAAAAAAUAAUAAAAACAAAAAAAAUUUAAACAAAAGAAAGUUACGAAAACUAAAUAAAAAUAUAUAAAUAUUAUUUAAUGAAAAAUUGAAAAAAAUUAUGUUUUAUCAUAAAGAGAAAAGAAUUAAAAAGAAAUUUAAAACCGAAAAAAAAAUUUAUACGAUAAACGAAACAAAUUAAAAAUAAUAAAAAACAAAAAACAUGGAGAGUAUCUCUCCAUGACACGGAGAGUUUUGGAGAAAACUCUUAGUAUUAUGGAGAGAAAUCUCUCCAUUGUUUCUCUCCAUAACACGAAGAUUCUCUCUGUGUUAUAGAGAGACUCAUUUCAUUUUUUUUAAAUUUGUUUUGCUCAUUAAAUAAAUACUUUUUUUAAUUAAAAUUCUUUUUAAUUCUUUUUCCUUAUGAUAAAACUUUAUUUUUUCAAUUUUAUUUAAAUAAUUUUUAUAUAUAUUUGUUAUUUAAUUUUCAUAAAUUUCUUUUGUUUACUUUGUUUUGUUUUUAUUAUAUAUUUUUUGAAAAUAGUUUUCAAUUUUCUUUUUUCUUCAUAUUAUAUAUAAGUUUUUGUUCAAUUUAAAAUUCUUUUUUUUCAAUUUUCUUUUUUCUUCAUAUUAUAUAUAAGUUUUUGUUCAAUUUAAAAUUCUUUUUAUUUUAUGAUAAAACGUAAUUUUUUCAAUUCUAAUUAAAUAAUAUUUAUUUUAAUUUUAAUUAUUCCAAUUUAAUUAAAAAAAUUAUAAUAAAUUUCUUUUUAAUUUUUGCCUAUAAUUCUUUUUUGCUCUUUAAUUAGUUAAAUCAUUUAAUUUUUAUAAGUUAAAUAUCUUGCCUCCAUAUAAAUAUUAUUUAAUCCUUGCCUCCAACUUAUUGAAGAAAGAAGUAAAAAGUUUUAAACAAAAUUAGGAGAAAAAGUAAAUAGUUAAGAAAAUCAAAAGAAGAAUAUAUGAAUAUUGUUACUUGUUGUGGCAUUGUUCUCUAUGGAGUCGUGCUCGGUUACUGUUUGCCAUUUUGUUUUUUUUUUAAAAUGUUAUAUUACUUUAUUCUGACUUAAAAAAGGGGAAAAAUCAUUGUGAAGUGUUUUUUUAGUUAAAAUUGAACAAAAAAAUUGAUGAAGAAAAAGAUAUUUUUUAAAAUAAUUUUAAAAAAUAUAUAAUAAAAAAAUUAAAUGGAAGAAAGUUAUGAAAAUUAAAUGAAGAAUAUAUAAAUAUUAUUUAAUUAAUUAAGAUUAAAAAUAUUAACUUUUUUCGCAAAAAUAAAAGAAUUAAAAAUAAUUUUAAAUUAAAAAAAAAUGUAAACAAAUUUAAAAAAAAUAAAAUUUUUUUGGGGAACUCCUCUCCAUAACAUGGAGAGCUCCUUGUUAAUGAGAGGAAUUUUUCCAUUUGUUUCCAUUAUUUAUUUAUUUUUGUUUUAUUUAUAUUACUAAUAAUUUUUAGAAAAAUUUUGUUGAUAAAACUUAUUUUUUUCAAUUUCAACCAAAUAUUAUUUAUCUGAUUUUGGUAUCUUUCUUUUGUUUAAUUUAUUAUACAUAUUUUUAAAAUUUCUUUUUCCUUCAUAUUAUAAAUAAUUUUUUUCCGAUUUAUAAUUCUUUUCAAUUGUUUUCGCUUUAUGAUAUAAAAUAAUUCUUUUUUUAAUUUAAGCUUUAUCAAUGUCCAUAAUUAAUAUCCCAACCUUAAAAUUCAUCAAGUAAUAACAAAGACAAAUCUCAAUUAAUUAUCAUGAUAUAUUUUCUACGUUAUAUACUCAAUUACAACAUAUUUUUCACUUGCAUUACAUCAUCAUCAUCAUCAUAAUUAUUUUAUAUAUUUUUUAUUUUAUUAUUAUUAAUCUCUCCGUGUUAUGGAGAGUUUUUCUCCACGACAUGCAGAGUAACACGGAGCUCCAUUUUUUUUAAGAUUUGUUUUUUUCAUUAUAUAAAUAUUUUUUUGAUUUUAAAUUAUUUUUAAUUAAAUAAUAUUUUUAUAUUCUUUAUUUAGUUUUUAUUAUAUUUUUUUUAAAAUUUUCUUUUUAUUCAUAUUAUAAAUAAUUUUUUUCGAUUCAAAAUUCUUUUUGUUUUAUGAUAAAACGUAAUUUUGAAAAAAAAAAGAAAUUUAAAAAUAUGAUAAAACGUAAUUUUAAAAAGGAAAACGUAAUUAUUUGUAAUAUGAAGACAACGAAAUUUAAAAAAUUAUAAAAAAAAAAAAUCAAACUAGACAAAAUGAAAGUUACGAAAAAUAAAUAAAGAAUAUAUAAAUAUUAUUUAAUUAAAAUUGAAAAAAUAAAAUUUUAUCAUAAAGAAAAAAUAAAAGAAAUUUUAAUUCUACAAAAAUAUUUAAAUUAUGAACAAAACAAAUAAAUAAAAAAGGAACAAAAGAAAAAAAAAAUUGGACCAUGUCGCGGAGUACAAAUUUUGGAAAAACAAAUAUAAUAAAAACAAAAAAACAUUAAACAAAAGAAAAUUACAAAAAUCAAAUAAGGAAUAUAUAGAUAUUAUUUAAUUAAAAUUGAAAACAUUAAGUUUUAUUAUAAAGAGAAAAAAAUAUUAAAUAGAAAAAAAUUUGUAUGAUGAGCCAAAAAAAAAAAAUCUCUCCAAUUAUCUCCGUGUUAUGAAAAAAAUCUCUCCUUAACACGAAGAAAAUUCUCUCCAUAACUCCAUAACACAGAGAGAUCUCUCCAUCAUGUUAAAGAGAGUUUCUCAAUUUUUUUUUAUUUUUUUCAUCAUAUAAAUAUUUUUUUAUGUAUAAUUCUUUUUAGUUCUUUUCUCUUUAUAACAAAACUUAAUUUUUUCGAUUUUAAUUAAUUAAUAUUUAUAUGUUCUUUAUUUAUUUUCGUAAACUUUAUUUUGUUUAAUUUUUUUUAUAUUUUUUAAAAUUGUUAUAAGAUUUCUUUUUAAAAAGAAUUUUAAAUUGAUUAAAGAAUCCAUUAGUGGGAAAAAAAAGGGCAAUAUGGAUAUUUCUCUCAUCUCUUCCACUUUGGGUCGGGUUGUAAUGUCGCCCAAUAUUUAAUAUUUUCAAAUUUAAUUAAAUAAUAUUUAUAUAUUCUUUAUUUAGCUUUCGUAAUUAUGUUUUUUUUUUAAUUUGUUUUGUUCAUCAUAUAAAUAUAUUUUUCUCAAUUUAAAAUUCUUUUUAGUUCUUUUAUCUUUAUAAUAAAACUUAACUUUUUCAAUUUUAAUUAAAAAAUGUUUAUAUGGAGGCAACGUAUUUAAUUUUAAUUAUUAUAUAAUUUUUUAUUAUAAUAAUCUUUGUAAUUAUCUAAUUUGAUACUCUAUUCAUGAAUGCUACCAUCACUAUUAAUUUGUUUUGUUUUGGAAAGAAAAUGAAUCGACGCAAUUAGGUAGCACGCUGUUUUUGACUUUUUGUCAAGGUGGAGAGAUAUUUUGUCUACAUACAAAAAGGCCAUUGAACCCUUAGUGUAAGAGUUUUUUCUUUAAAAAAAUCAAUUAUUUUAUUAAUGUUUAUUAUAUUUUCGCGACAAUUUUCUCAAUAUAAUUUACAUCAUUUUUAAAAAAUAUAUAUAUAAUGUGGUAUGACUUCAGAACGUAAAAAUUCAAAUCAGACAAAACAGCAACACCACACACGUGUUGGAAGACCAUUAGUAGUGAUUUCAGGAGUGAAGUGAGAUAUUAUGGAAUAUUCAAGGGUAAAAUUAGGUAAAGGAGAGUUUUGUUUUCUUUUGGAAGGAGAAUGAAUCAAACCCUUUAUCUAGCACACAAUUUUUUAUUUUUUGUCAUGAGAGAUAUUUUGCCUAAAAUCAAAAAGGCCAUUAGACCCUUAGUGUAAUAGUUAAUAUGCGAGGGGGUUGAGGGUAAAACGGGAACAUCUAAAUACAUCAUGAAUGAACAGUAAACGGUCGAUUCCCUCUUUUUAAGAUGGUAGUGAUUUUAAUUAAUAAUUAAGAUAAGUAGUGAUUUGUUAAUUGUUUGAGGACAAAAUGAGAAAUGAAAAUACUUCAGAAAUGAAUAGUAAAUGGCAUGUUGGCAAUUAAGAGAGGAAAAAGUAACAAUAAGAAAAAAAUUCCUUAAAAUGAUCGAAUUUCUAUUAUAUAUAACAAAUUUUCAGAUGUUAAAAUAAUCAAAAUAAAAAAUUAGUUGGACUCAAUUUUGUGUUGCUAUAAUUGAAAUGUAUUUUCUGGGAAUAUGAUAAAUGUUCUCUUGAUGCAUGUAUUAAAAACUCAAAUUAUUGGAGCUCAUAAUUUAUAUAUCAAAUAUUAUUUUAACAUGAGUGGUUAUUUUACAUAUAAAGGAAUUAUUUGAUGAUAACUAUAUUCAAUAUAAUUAAAUCGUGUAAUUAGUCGAAUCUUUUUUUUAUUAUUGUUCAAUAUCCAAUCGAUUUAAUGAUUUUUUUUAAUUUACAUGUAAUAUUAUUUUAUAGAAGAUUCUGCGAUUGAAAAUAAAAGAAAAAAAAUGAGAAAAAAUUUUAAUGGAGUCAAACACAAGUUGAGCCACAGUAUAAUAUUUUGUCACUAAAUGGGAUUGAUAUUUUUAUUUAAUCACCAAAUUUUGAUAUAUUUGAAUUUAAUCCUCCAAAUUUUAUAUACAUCUAAAAUAUUCAAUAUCGUCAAAUAAAUUAAUCGACAUCUUUUUGACUAAGUAUUAUAUAUUUUCAACAUUGUGUGAAGUUUUACUUUGAUUUAUUGCAACUACCUUUAGGAAAUAAACAGUAUACAUAAUCCAAUAUAUUCUGUGUCCCAUUAUAUAAGGGUAAAAUAGAUUUGUAUAAAAUAAUAUAUCAAUCACCAAGGAAAAAAGGAAAUUAUAUUGAGAAAAUUGUCGUGAAAAAAUAAUAAAUAUUAAUAAAAUAAUUGAUUUUUUUUUAAAAAAAAGGACGAGUUAUACGCAUUUUUUAAUACUCACAUUUGAUGGAAGUUUAACUAUUUUCAAUAUUCAUUUAGAUCAUUUGAUGUAUUUAUUAUAUAGUUCUCGAAAUCAAUUUUGAGAGAAUUUAGAAGAUUUAUAAAGAUUUAUGAUAGAUUUUUAUUAAAAAAAAAUAAUAAUAAAUCUCCUAGUGAAAAGAAAAAGAAAAAAAUUGAAACAAAAAAUAUCAAUCACCUUAUAAAAAAAAAUUUGACACUGAGUAUCAUCUCAAAAAAAUAAAAUAAAAUAAACGCCUGACGGAGCAACUCCGUGCAUCACGGAGCAUUUGUUCCGUGAUGUAGGAGCCAGGAGCAAAAUUGCUCCGUGAUGCGCAGAGUUACUCUAUUGGUUUUUUUUUUUUUUUUUUUGGUCAAAUUUUUUUUCAUUAGGUGAUUUAUUUAAUUUUUUUAUAAAAAUAUACCAUAAAUCUUCUAUAUUCUCUCGAGAUUGAUUUCGAGAACUAUAUAAUAGAUACAUCGAAUGAUCUAAAUGAAUAUUGAAAUAUAGUUAAACGUACAUCAAACGUGUGUGUUAAAAAAUGCGUAUAACUCGUCCAUUUUUCUUUAAAAAAGUCAAUUAUUUUAUUAAUGUUUAUUAUUUUUUUGCAACAAUAAUUUUUAACAUCAUUUAGAAAAUUUCCUAAUGAAUUUUUAAAUUUUUUUAAUGUCAAAAGAAACAUCAUUUAAAAAAUUAAGAAUUUCAAUAAUAAGCUAACUAUAAAUUUAUCGAUGAUUGUACGGUAGUCGAAUGCAUAUAUCUUCUAUAUUCUCUCGAAACUCGAGAACUAUGUCAUAGACACAUUGAAUGAUCUAAAUGAAUAUCGAAAAUAGUUAAAUGUACAUCAAACAUAUGUGUUAAAAAAUGCGUAUAACUUGUCUUUCUUCUUUAAAAAAAAUCAAUUAUUUAUUUAUGUUUAUUAUUUUUUUGCGACAAUUCUUAUACGAAAAUAUUAUGUGGUAUGACUCAACUACUUUUUUUUUGGACGUAAAAAUUCAAAUCAGGCAAAAUAACAUCAAUAAAUAGGGCCCACGUCAAGACCAAAAAAAGCCAAAUGCUUGUGUGCUGUUAGUUUUCUUACCAUAAAAUUGCUACAGUAUUAAAAGAUGGCUUUCUUACCACACACAGAUAAAGUAACUGCGGUAUUAAAUCAGUUCAGCAUACAUUCAUUUUUUUUAUCCGAUAAAUAAGUCCCCGUUUGACCCCCAUUAAAUUAAAUUUUAUUUUUCUCUUUCCUAUUUUCAAUCACACUAUCUUUCGUAAAAUAAUACAUAUUACACAUAAAUUGAAAACUUUUUCUUUAGUUUUCAACCACUCAUUAAAAAAAAAAAAAAAAACUAUUUCACCCAUUUUAAUUUGGAAAAAUGGGGGCCAAACAGGUGCUAAAUUUGUAUUCGAUCAAAAAAAUUAGUAACUUUUGAGUCCACCUUUUUUGACUAUUUGACUAUAUAUUUGCUCUAUCUUCUCUUGUACAUGUCACGAAGCAAGACUCUCCAUCCUUUUUUAUAAUUUUUUUUUUAAAUUUUUGAGCCAACCUUUUUGGAUUAUUUGGCUACAUAUUUGCUCUAUCUUCUCUUGUACGUGUCACGGAGAAAGUAUUUAAAGUACGUCUACACUCUUUCAGUCACUUGAGACCCACUAGUGAGAGGGGUCGGUCAAAAAUUUCGUCUGAAAACUCUCUCACACAGAGACCAAAAAAGGGAAAAGAUGAUUGAAAUAUUCAUAUUGUUUUUUUUUUUUUCCACAGUGGGCCUCUUUAUUGAACAGUCCAUUUAAGGGUAAGAUGAAAAGGGAAAAUACGUCUCAAAUGAACAGGAUUCGGAGGAUUCACUCUUUUAAGGUAGUAGUGAUUUCAAAAUGGUCCAAAUUUUAAGGUUAUAUAUGUAAAGUCCACUAUAAUGUACUUCCAAUUCUAUAACAGAAAAUUUAUUAUAGGAAAAUAAUCAAAUUCUAAAGUGCCAUGAGAUAGGGUUAAUGUAAUAGUUAUCGGACCCAAUCUGGUGAUUGACUUGGCCAAAAUUCUGAGUCGUUGAAGAAGUUUUUGAUGAAAAUUUUCAUCACGAUAUUCGUCAUUAAGCAAUUUCAAGUAAUACAUUUACUUUUACUUUCAUUUCCCAUCGAUAACAUUCAGCUAAAUCCUUUCCACCCCUGUUCUUUGUUUUGCACAUUAAACUUGUUGACCAAAAAUAAAUUAAAUUAUAGAUUUUUGGAUCAAAUUACUUAUUCUAGGUCAUUUUUUACAGCCAUGUUAUAUGACCUUAACGUUAGUAUUUGGCAUUAGUUUAUGUUAUGGACUUGAAUGGAGUUACCUAAGUUAAUAACUUUAGUGGUGAAUAAGUGAAUAACUUUUUUAAGUAUGACUGUUUGAUGAAAACUGCGCUAAUAUCUAAUAUCAUAUUAUUAUCAUACUGUAUAUGCACACAUUUUGGUUUGAGAAGAAUUUAUAAAUAAAUAAAAAUGGAAGAAGGAUAAAUGGAUAGUUAGUGUGAGUCCAUUAAAAUGUAUGAUUAAAAAUAAAAUUUGAUAUUUUAUAAAUUUUGUCAAAUGAAGAGGGGGAAAAAAUCAUUCAAUUUUAUAUUAUAAAAUAUCUAUUCGAAUGACUAGCUUGCUUCUAAGUUAAAAAAUGCGUGUUUUCACGUGACCUGGUAACACUUUGCUCGAGCAAAUGUGUGACAAAACUAACUUGAGCUCGGGCAUGCCUUGAAUUAAUAUAUUAUUAUUAAAUUAUUUCCUCAAUAAAUUAUACUUAGCACGUGGUCGCCUUGCAGUCUGUGUGUGUUCUUCAAAAAAAAAAAAAAAACUGAUUAUUUAUCUCCUGAUAGGAAAAUAGACUAACCUCAACUGUCAUUAAUAUCUUUUAUUUCAAGAAUAAUUUAUUAAAAAAUAGCUGAAUCUAUAUGGUGUUACAAUUGAUGAUAUAUGGCGGAUUUGAAUUUUCUAAUUAAGUUAAAUGUUAAUUAAUGAGAUGGUCAGACUUUUUUCCUUUUAAAUUUCUCCUGGUUUGUGAUAGUUUACUUUUAUAAUAUAAUAUGUUUAAUCGAGUUGUGUUGAUUCUAAUACAUUAAGUAAGUUUUCAGUAUUCUAAGAUGUUCAAUUUUAAUCAUGCUAUAUAAAUAAAUAAGACUUUCACUUAUCGAAAUCUAGGUUUUUCUCAACUCAGGAUCAACAAGAUAAACUUUAGAAAUAAGAUUUUAACUUCUCUUUAUUUCUCAAUUGAGAAUAAUAGCAUAUGAACUAUGUUUUUAACAAUUUUAGGGCUGCAGAAAUUACAGAAUUAGUAUUCAAUAGCCAUGCACAUAUUGUCUUGUUCAUUUAAAAAAAAUAUUUUUAGCAAAGCAAACGACAAAUAUUUCUAUAACAAAAGAGAAAAUAAAACUUUCAAUUAAAAAAAAAAAUUUGUUUGAUUCUAAAUUCCUUAUUCUUAUACUAACCAAUAACCAGGAAAUAUUUUUUUAUUUAUAGAACAAAAACAAUUAAAAAUCCAUUUAUAUUGUGUUGGAGUCAAACCCUGUUCGCCUAUUUAAUGCUUCCAUAAUUUGAUUUGUGAUGAAACCGUGUUUUAUUAAACACGACUUAGUAAGUUUUGACACUUUACUGGAUGGCCAACACGUGGAUUAUUUCUGGACGUUGGAUUAAACCGUUUCAUGUGCCUUUUGUUAAAUGGCUGGAGCCUUCUGAAACGUAAAAAAUGAACCCUUUAUUUUUGCUCUCGACUCUAGGGUUUUCAGAGAGAAAAGGAUUGGCGAUUUGAGAGAGGCUGAUUUUCUUUGAGUGAUUCUUGUGUAAAAUCUCUGAUUUUACACUAAGUAUAGUAAGAUCUUCCUUCGAUUGUUGUAUUCUGUGUGAUUGGUGAAGAAAUCUGAGUGAUUUCUCUAUUGUAUCAUUUGGUGGUGUUUGAAGGUUUUGUGGGUUAAGAUCUGAGUGAAUCUCUGUAGACCUGUUGCUGUACUUGAGAGAUAAGUCUCAUUUUCAUCUCUAUGAACGUUCUGUAAAUCUGUUGCCAUUUUUGGCUAUUUAGUGCAACCGAACACAAUCCAAAUCUUUGGAUGCUCAACAGGGGAUGUAGGCGUUAGAUGUGGUCACCGAACAUCCGGGGCUUAGGUCGAAAUAAUUCCUUUGUGUUCUUUUAAUUUUCUGCAAUUUAUUUCUGUUCGAUUGAGGUUUUCUUGUUUCUCAAUUUUAAUAUCAUGUGGUCCUGUCCUAACAGUGGUAUCAGAGCUACGGCCAAAGGAACAAGAUACUUGGAUCUUAGAGAAAUUGGUGGACCUGCAACAAUCCUGAAUUUUUUGAACUGCCAAAAAGGCAGAUUGAGAACAAUACGAGUUAUUCAACUCGCUCGGUGAGAUCUUUUUUAAUUUUCUGUAAAUUAAUUUUCAAAAACUUGAGUUUCCUAAAUUUCCCUUGAUUCUUUUGGUGCACCGUUGAAAUCCCCUGGAGACUAAUCUUUGUCCAGUGGCUCCUGCGAGGCCCCUGGAAUCUGAGAUAAAUCAAGCACGGGUGUGCACUUGGAGAAUCUUAUUGGAGAGAACUGUGAAACCUUGAAUUCAGUCUUUGUGAUUGUUGUCUGUUAAUUGAUCUUGCCUAUUUUUUCUUCUAAUAUUGCGAGAAUUGUGAAACUUUGUAUUACUGUGUGUUCUAUUGUAUUUCAAACUUGAUACAAAUUGGCAUUUCUUGACUUCCUGGAUAAACUACUAUAAGUCCAAAUUGAUCUUGCAUAAAAAAUUUUCUGCACUAUGGCUACUGCUAAAUUUGAAGUUAGUUAGUUUGAUGGAAAAAUUGAUUUUGAUAUGUGGAGUCAGAAAAUGAGAGCAAUUUUAAUGCAAAAGAAAUGUGCCAAGUCUUUAGAUGAUUCGUGGCCUGAGGGCAUAGCUCCUAAUAAGAAAUCUGAACUUGAGGAAAUUGCUUGGAGUACCAUAUUUCUGUAUUUGUCUGAUAAUGUGAUUAGAGAGGUAGGUGAAACUACUACUGCCUCUGAUCUUUGGGUAAAACUUAAGGCUAAGUAUGAGACCAAAACCACUACAAAUAAAUGUUUUCUUCUAAAACAGUUUUUCUCCUUUAAAAUGGAUCCUGCAAUUGACAUAGAAGAGAACCUAUGUAAGUUCACAAAACUUACCCAAGACUUGGCUAAUUGUAAUGAAAAACUUUCAAAAGAUCAAUUAGCUGUAGUUUUGUUAAACUCCAUAAGUGACAAGUACAAGGACAUUAAAGUUGCCCUUGAAUAUGCCAAUGCUUUAAGGAAUAAAGCUUUAAAAAUUAAGGCUGAGUCAAGUAACAGUCAUAUUGGAACUAGUUUCCUAACCAAAGGAAAAUAUUUUGAAAAACCCACACAAGAUUUUAAGUUUUCAAAAACUAAUAGGAGAUGGGUUGACAGAAAUAAUACCAAGAAUAAUGCAAAAGGUAAAAAAUGCUAUUAUUGUGGUAAACUUGGUCACUUUGGAAAAGAUUGUUUUAAAAAGAAAAAUGAUUCAAAAGAAAAAAGCCUUGAUGGAAGCAAUGCACUGGCCUAUGAUAAAACUAAAACAUAAAAUGUUUUUGUGUUAGUAAGUGCUGAAAAAUGCCUAAGUAAUGAAUGGAUACUUGACUCAGGAUGUUCUUUUCAUAUGUGCCCCAACAAAAACUGUUUUAUAAAUUUAGAAAGAACCAAAGGGGGAUAGGUUAUAAUGGGAAACAACUUUGCAUGUAAAGUGAGUGAAAUUGGGAUUGUCAAAUUAUCACUAGAAAAUGGUAAUGUUUUGUUUCUAGAAAACACAAGACAUGUCCCAGAUUUGGAAAGAAAAUUAGUGUCCUUGGGAAUGUUAGAUGACAAGGAGUUUAACAUAAUUAUGGGUCAAUGACAUAUAAAAUUUUUUAGGGAAAAUGACUUGGUCACUUCAGCCCUAAGAAACAUGGCCUUUAUUGUCUGAAUGCAAAACCUUUGCUUGGAUUAACUGCUUCUGUUGUAUCUGAAAAAUUUACCUUGGCAAAACUGUGGCAUGAAAGGCUUGGUCAUAUUGGUAAAAAGGGUUUAAAUAUUUUGCAAUCAAAAGGUGUUUUUGGAAAACAUAAUCUUGGUGAUUUUGGCUCCUGUGAACAUUGUAUUUUGGGAAAGAAAGCCAAACUUCCUUUUCAAAGUGGAAUUCAUAAGUCCAAACAAAGACUUGAAUAUUGCAUGCUGAUCUGUGGGGUCCUGCUUUUGUCUUUACUUUAACUGGUUUUAAAUAUUUUUUUACUAAUAGUUGAUGAUUUCUCAAGAAAAAUUUGGGUUCAUCUACUAAAGUCUAAAGAUGAGACAUUUUUUGCUUUUAAGGACUGGAAAAUUCAAGUUGAAAAUCAGAUUGAUCUUAAAAUAAAAUAUUUAAGAACUGAUAAUGGCUUGGAAUUUUGCAAUUCUCAAUUUGAUAAUCUUUGUACAGAAUAUGGCAUCAUGAGAUACAAAACUGUUCCACACACACCAUAACAAAAUGGAAUGGCUGAAAGAAUGAAUAGAACUAUGUUAAAUAAAGUUAGAUGCAUGCUAUUAAGCUCUGGACUGCCUAAAAUGUUUUAGGGUGAAGCAGUUAAAACUGUAGCUUAUCUGAUUAAUAGAAAUCCUACUAGUGCACUAAACUUUGCUAUUCCUGAAAAUGUGUGGUCAAAUAGUCCUGUAAAUUACUCUUAUCUAAAAAUAUUUGGUUGUGCUGCCUAUGCUCAUCAAAAUGUUGGUAAACUAGAACCAAGAUCAUUAAGUGUGUCUUCUUGGGUUAUGAUGAACAUGUUAAAAGGUACAGAUUAUGGGUUAAAUUUGAAAAAGGUUAGAGAGUAAUAAUUAGAAAGGAUGUAGUCUUCAAUGAAUCCUCAUGUCUUGAAGGAAAAGAAAAUAUUUUGACUGAAAAAAAUGUUCAAAUUGAGGUGGAGCCUUCCUGCAGUAACCAGAAUAUUUAUGUAACUACUGCAGAAGAAAAUGAAAAUGAAGAACAUGUUAUUUUACUUGAAACUGAAGAUGAAACUGAACAUAUUGAAGAGGCUGAUUCUACAACUCUUCCCUUUGAUGAGUAUCAACUCACAAGAGAUAGGGAGAGAAGGCAAAUCAGACCCUCCACUAGAUUUGAUAGUGACACCUUUGUAUCCUUAUUUACCUACCAAGACCUCACUGAAAAUGAGUCAAACACUUUUGAAGAAGCCAUGAAAUGUAAAGAAAGAAAAAAUUAGAAGAUGGCCAUCGAAGAUGAAAUGUCUUCACUCCUUAAAAAUAAGACAUGGAUACUAGUUGAUAAGCCCAAAGGACAGAAAUUAAUUGAUUGCAAGUAUAUUUAUAAAAUAAAAUUUGGAGAAGGUGAUGAUAAAAACAUUAGAUAUAAAGCUAGACUUGUAGCAAAGGGUUUCACACAAAAAGAAGGUGUGGAUUAUACUGAAAUUUUUUCUCCUGUUGCUAAGUAUGUUACUAUCAGAUGCUUACUUGCACUUGUUACACAAUUUAAACAGGAACUUGAUCAACUAGAUGUUAAAACUGCUUUCCUUUAUGGAAAAUUAGAUGAAAUAAUAUACAUGAGACAACCAAUUGGUUUUGAGGAAGGUGAUCCUGAAAACACUGUUUGUUUGUUAAAAAAAUGCUUGUAUGGCCUAAAGCAGGCACCUAGGCAGUGGUACAAAAGAUUUGACACUUUUGUCUUGAAACUUGGAUUUAAAAGAAGCCAAUAUGAUACUUGCUUGUAUUGCAAAGGUAGUAGAGUUGAAAACUCAUUAUAUCUGAUCCUGUAUGUGGAUGAUAUGUUGUUGGCUAGUUCUGAUAUAUCAAAAAUUGAUGAUAUUAAAUCAAAGUUAAGUUCUAAGUUUGAUAUGGAAGACCUUGGUGCUGCUAAAAGAAUAUUGAGCAUGCAGAUUUGGAGAAACAAGGAUAAAAAUAUGUUAUUUUUAAAUCAAUGUGACUAUGUGUCUAAAAUAUUGAAAAAACUCAACGUGCAUGAUUGUAAGCCUGUAACACUGCCUCUUACUAGUCAUUUUAGAUUGUCUUCUGAAUUUUGUCCUAAAUCUGAAGAUGAAUAUGCUAGAAUGUCAAAAAUUUCGUAUGCUAAUGUAAUUGGUUCUGUGAUGUAUUUGAUGAUAUUUACCAGACCUGAUCUUGCAUAUAGUAUUAGCAUUUUAAGUAGAUUUAUGAGUAACCCUGGUGAAGAAUAUUGGUAUGCCUUAAAAUGGUUAUUGAAAUAUCUUAAGGGAUCAUUAAAUUUAGGCUUAAUGUUUAAAUCAGAUAAAAAUGGAAUAAGUUUAAAAGGGUAUACUGAUUCUGAUUUUGCUGGAAAUAGAAAUAACAGAAAAUCAACCUCAUCUUACUUUUAUACACUGUGUGGUACUGCUAUCAGUUGGAAAUCUCAACUUCAAAAAGUUGUGGCUUUGUCCUCUACUGAGGCAAAAUAUAUAGCUGCAACUGAUGGUGUUAAAGAAGGAAUAUGGUUAAAUGGUUUAUUGUCUGAAAUGGGUUUUAAUGAUAACCACAUUGUACUGUUUUCUGAUAACCAAAGUGCUAUUCACCCAAGUAAAAAUCCCAUGUUCCAUGAUAGAUCUAAACAUAUUGAUGUUAAAUAUCAUUUUAUAAGAGAUAUAAUCUCGAAAGGUGAAAUUAAGAUUGAAAAAGUUUCUACUCAAUUUAAUCCAUCUGAUAUGGGUACAAAAGUAAUUCCUUUAAACAAAUUCUUAACCUCCUUAAAACUUUUAUCUGUUAAUUCUUUGUGAUUCUUAUACAGGCGUAAGAUUAUGCUCCUGGCUGCACUAAUAGCUCAAAUUCUAGCAGCAAGGUGGAGAUUGUUGGAGUCGAACCUUGUUCGCCUAUUUAAUGCUUCCAUAAUUUGAUUUAUGAUGAAACCGUGUUUUAUUAAACACGACUUAGUAAGUUUUGACACUUUACUGGAUGGCCAACAUGUGGACUAUUUCUGGCGUUGGAUUAAACUGUUUCAUCUGCCUUUUGUUAAAUGGCUGGAGCCUUCUGGAACGUAAAAAAUGAACCCUUCAUUUUUGCUCUCGACUCUAGGAUUUUCAGAGAGAAAAGGAUUGGCGAUUUGAGAGAGGUUGAUUUUCUUUGAGUGAUUCUUGUGUAAAAUCUCUGAUUUUACACUAAGUAUAGUAAGAUUUUCCUUCGAUUUUUGUAUUCUGUGUGAAAGGUGAAGAAAUCUGAGUGAUUUCUCUAUUGUAUCAUUUGGUGGUGUUUGAAGGUUUUGUGGGCUGAGAUCUGAGUGAAUCUUUGUAGAUCUGUUGCUGUACUUGAGAGAUAAGUCUCAUUUUCAUCUCUCUGAAUGUUCUGGAAAUCUUUUACCAGUUUUGGCUGUUUAGUGCAAUCGAGCACAAUCCAAAUCUUUGGAUGCUCAACGGGGGAUGUAGGUGUUAGAUGUGGUCGCUGAACCUCUGGGGCUUAGGACGAAAUAAUUUCUCUAUGUUCUUUUAAUUUUCUGCAAUUUAUUUCUGUUCGAUUGAGAUUUUCUUGUUUCUCAAUUUUAAUAUCGUGUGGUCUUGUCCUAACAUAUUGCAUUUAGUUGAUGCUGAUGGUCUCUUGUCAAAGAAAUAAAUAAAUAAAUAAUAUACAAUUUAUGUUUUAUAUGUAUGCUGAUGUACACGAUGAGAUCAAUUAUCCAGUUAGUAUAUAUAAAUACUUCUUAUGAAUUAUGAUCAACUAAUAAACUUCAUUUAAUUAUCAAACAAAAUCCCAAGUUCCAAUCCAAAUUUGUGACUCAAAACUGCUGAAAAUGUGCCCUUACUUAUCAAAUUUCAGGUCGCUUUUGGAGGACCUAAUGAGCCAUGAACAAGAAAUUUUGUAUAGAGAAAGAACAGAAACGUCAGACUCCAUAGAUAUUCUUCAUUGUCCUUCAUCUCAGAUACAAGCUGGAAACAGUACUAAAUCUUUGUAUUUAACUAAGGCAUAUUGUUCGUUAUCACCUUAAUAUUGAUUAGAUAUUGAAAAUAAUAAUUCCUUAAGCACUCCAUAAUAAGUUUAAAUAAGUAAUUCGAUUCAUCUAAAUCUUCAAACGAGCAAGUCAUCUUUUAGGAGCAUGUUAAGUGUAAAAUUUCACGUUGCUUAAAUAUAAAAACAAUAAUUAGCAUAUAAAGAUGUAAUUACUUCUCUUGACAAGGUUGAUAUUAUAAAAUAAAAUCCUAGUACUCAAUAAUUACUACCUUCGAUUCAUCUCUAGUCCUAGCACCCCCACCCCCACGCCUACCCAAACAAGUAGUACUCUUGACUCUGUCAUUACAUAAUAAAACAACAUAUGCUAUCCUCUAAAAAUUUCUCAAUUAAAUGGGUAGAAUUUCUCACGUGUUCAAUAAAAAAUAUCCGAUUAUUAAAUUUGGCGUUCACCUUUUCACAUGUCUACUCAAUUUUAUCACCAUUAAGAUGAAAAAUAGCAAAACUUGGACCAAGAUUUCACUCAAGAAAUAAUGCGACUUUACUAUAAAAGAGGAACAGGAGAUUACAAGAUAAGUUUCAAAUAGGAGUUGUGAAGUAUUUCAAACUCUCUAUCUCUUUUAAUAAUGACGCUGGGUAGGAUAUCGAUUAUCCUAUAGGCUAGUUGCAACAGACGAUUCACAAGAAAGAAGAAGAAAAAAACGCCAAAAAUAGAGAGAAUUCUUUGAAAACUUCAUUCAAUAUUAUUAAUAAUCAUGAAUGACGAAAAUUGACCCACAAGUCAGGUUAAAUAACUACAAAAUAUGGAAUUAUCGAAAAAUUACUAAAAAUAGAAAAAUCCUAACGAUCACACCAAAAUAAAAUAUGAAAUAAAAGAAGUAAGUUGCCAAAAAUUUGGCUCAAUCCAGAUUCUCUAAUGUCUAGAAAAAGGGAAACGAAACAUUACCAUAAAUAGUAAAAAAUAACUAAAGAUUGAAUUUCGGAAAGGAAAACAAUGGAUUUUGGGCUCAAAAUUGAUGCCCACCAAGCUUAGCUACGUGGCCAUGAUGUGCGCGUCGAAGAGAGCUUUUCGGAUUGGGGUCAUAAUAGCGAUUUUGAUAACCGUAGUCAAAGUAUGGCCAAAUUACUAAGGACGUGUCAAAAUUACCCCAAUUAAGGAAAGAUUGCAUUUAUUUUCCAUAUUUGCACGCCAUCUCAUGGUAUAUCAGCACCAUCAACGAGCUAUCUGACAAAUCAGUGUCACUCGACUCGAAUCCUCCUGCAUUAGUCGCCCUGGGUUGGAAAGAACUCGCCCUCGAGUUCACAUUAGCUUCAUCAAACUCCACAAAACAUGGACUUAGAUGUUUCACAUUGAAGACAUCGGAAGUCUUCAAAUGGCUGGGAAGACGCAACCUGUAAGUGUUAUCAUUGAUCUUCUGGAGCACUUUACACGGUCUAAUCUUUCGCUUCUUAAGCUUAUUAUACUCCACAGCUGGAAAACGAUCACGUGUUAAUACUGCCUAUACAAGAUCACCAACAUCAAAGACUACCUGACGGUGAUGACUAUCUGCCUGAGUCUUGUACCUGGAAUUACUCUCCUAAAUGGACAACUUCACUUGUUUAUGGAUACCCCAAAGGUGUUCUGCCAUCUCAUCAGCUUUGUGAUUGAAACGCCCUACACGUGGGAUAGGAGCUAAGUUAAGUACUCUGGAUGGUUUAUGAUCAUAGACAAUCUCAAAUGGUCUCAAUCAUGUGGUUCUGUUCUUCGAUCGGUUAUAGGCAAAUUCUGCCUGAAGCAAUGCCAAUUCCCACUGUUUCAGUUUAGUCUUUGCUAAACUUCUCAGAAGAUUUCCCAAACUCUGAUUUAACACCUCUGUCUGACCAUCUAUUUGGGAGUGGUAGGCACUACUAAAAUUCAACUUCGUCCCCAAUUUCUUCCACAAGCUCCUCCAGAAAUGACUCAUGAACUUGGUGUCACAGUCAUAAGUGAUUGAAUGGGGAACACCAUGUAGACGUACAAUUUCCUUGAAAUAAAGAUGGGCAAUCCGAGUAGCAUCCAUCGUCUUCCGGCAAGUCACAAAAUGAGCCAUCUUUGAAAACCUAUCAACCACAGCAAAAAUGGAAUCCAUUGCCCGUUGUGUACGAGGUAAGCCCAAUAUAAAAUCCAUGCUCACAUCAAACCAAGGAGCCUCAGGUACAAGUAAUGGCGUGUGCAGUCUAGCAUUAGUAAGAGCUCCUUUGGACUUCUGACAUAUAUAACACCGUUCCACAUAAUGCGCUAUGUCACUGCUCAAUUUGGGGCAAUAAUAAUCAGAAGAAACCAACGCCAAUGUCUUAUCUCGCCCAAAAUGUCCCUCAUUAUAAAGUUCACUAAUGAUCUGCUACCUUAGUGAACAGUCUAGAAUGCACAACUGCAUUCCACGAAACAGAUAACUAUUAUGCAAAAUAAAAUCAUGUCGGUGAUUAUCAGUUACCUUCUGAAUUAUCUUCCCGACAGAAGGAUCUCCAACAUACAUAUCAGAAAAUGCUUCAAAGCCAACAACUCUGGUGCUCAUGGUAGUGAGGAGUAAUGUGCGAUGGCUCAAUGCAUCUGCUACUCGAUUCAAAUUCCUUGCUUGAUGCCUAGCGUAAAUGUAAACUCCUGCAAGUACACCACCCACUUUGCAUGUCACCUACUCAGCUUGUGCUGACCAUUGAUGUACUUCAAGGCCUCAUGAUUAGUAACAAGGAUGAACUCCCUCUAUACCAGGUAAUAACGCCAAUACUUCAAAGUCUGAACUAUGGCAUAGAACUCCAGAUCAUAGGCCGAAUAAUUUUUUUUGUUCCCGACAACUUCUCAAUGAAAAAUUCUACUGGAUGCCCUUCCUAACUUAAAACACCACCAAUGCCAACUCCAUACGCAUCACAGUUUACCUCGAACACUUUCUCAAAAUCUGGGAGUGCGAAAAUUGGGGCCUCUGUCAUCUUUUGCUUAACCAAUUGAAAGCUGGCCUUUGCCUCCUCAAUCCAUUGAAAAUCACGCCCUUUAAGGCACUCUGUGAUAGGAGCUAUCAGAAUGUUGAAAUUUUUGAUGAAUCGGCGAUAGAAGGAUGCCAAUCCAUGGAAACUUCGAACAUCGUGCAAACUUUUUGGCUUGAGCCAAUUCAAGACUGCUUCAAUUUUGGAUUGAUCUGCAUGAACACCAUCAGUAGAUAGAACAAAACCUAAAAAAGUUACAGAAGUUGUGAAGAAAGAACACUUAUUCUAAUUGAUAAAUAAGUGCUUCGUCCUCAUUACAUCAAAAAUAGCACGAAGAUGAUCAAAAUAUGACUCCCACGUCGGACUAUAAAUAAGUAUGUCGCCAAAGUAGACUACCACAAACUUCCCCAUGAAAGGUGGUAAAAGCUGAUGCAUAAACCAAAUAAAAGUACUGGGCGCGUUGGACAGUCUAAAGGGCAUGACCAUCUGCUCAUACAAUCCAUGCUAUGUCUUAAACUCCUUCUUCCACUCAUCUCUAGGUCUGAUCUGAUUUGAUGGUAUCCGCUUUUAAGGUCAAUUUUUGAGAAGAACUUAGAACCGGACAACUGAUCUAACAUGUCAUCCAGACGAGGAAUUGGAAACUUGUACUUCACUGUAAUCUUGUUAAUUGCUCUGCUGUCAACACACAUCUGCCACGACCUAUCCUUCUUCGGUACUAGUAGAGCAAGAACUGCACAUGGACUCAUACUUUCACGAAUAUGUUCCCUCUCCAAUAAUUCUACAACUUGUCGCUGCAACUCUUUAGCUUCCUUGGGACUGAGACGAUAUGCUGGUCCAUUUGGCAGACUCAACCCUGAAAUAAGAUCGAUCUGAUGUUGAAUAUUCCUAAUAGGUGGUAACCCUAGAGGAAGAUCCUCUGGCAUCAAGUCAGAAAACUCCAUUAGCAGUUGCUGCACUUCUCCUGGUAAAUUCGAGUCCUCCUUCACUUCACUUUUCUCACAGGGUAGUAGAGGAUAUAUCAUUUCUCCACUCCCAAUAUCUACUAAGAAUUUGGACAUAGAAAGUAGGUUGUUGUUAUUAAUUACUGGGGCAGGGGUGGUUUUUUCCUUGCGAGGUGCCAAAACAAUUUUCUUCCCUUUGAUACUAAGUGAAUAAGUAUUUUUCCUUCCAUCAUGGAUAGCGCUGUGAUCAAAUUGCCAAGGUCGUCCCAACAAUACAUGACACGCAUCCAUAGAUACCACAUCACAUCAAGCAUUAUUAAAAUAUUUUUUUCCAAUCGAAAAAGACACUAGACACCGUUUCUCUACUAUUUCCUCACUACCUUUAUUCAACCACGAUAAUUUGUAUGGCUUGGGAUGACGAUCUGUCUUAAGCUGCAGUUUCUGGAUAGCCUCUUCAGACACUACAUUCUUACAACUGCCACUAUCAAUGAUUAACUUGCAAACUUUAUCGGCAACUGUACAGGUUGUGUAGAAAACAUUGGUCCUCAACCAAUCGUCCCCUGAAUUGCCCUUGGGAGUCAACAAACUCUUGCGAACGACUAGAGUCUCCUGGCCAUCUCCAUACAGCACAUCCUCAUCUUCACCUUCGUCAUAUAAGGCUCUCCAACCUCCUCGAUAUCCUCUAUCACAUUCUCUUCAAUCAGAAGAUUUUUAUUCUUCUGACCAGUCGGCUUCCUGCAAUCAGUAGCCCUAUGUUCCUAUUCAUCACAUCUAAAGCACUUAAUGCCUCAAUUAGGAUUAUCCCGUAGGGGCUGAUAGGUAGGAUGAGAUGCUUGAGGUCGAACUGGCUGACUACUUUCACUUCUGACCACCGGCUUCCUGUUUUGUUGCCUUUCCAUGACAAGUGCACACUGGUAUGCUUCAGGCACUGUCCACAAUGAAUGAAGGCUUAGAACAUCCUACAAGGGCUGCCUUAAUCCUCCCAUAUACCCUGCAACCAUCUAUUUUUCCAUUUCAGAUAAAUUGUUUCGAGCUACCAAUUGAUAGAACUCCUCCGUAUAAUCAUCAAUAGUUCUCGUAUUUUACCUCAGUGAAUGGAGCCGCUGAAAUAAAGACUUGUAGCUGAAAGGAAGAAAGUGCCCUUUCAUCUUUUUCUUCAUUUUCUCCCAAUCAGUGAUCUUAGACUUGCCUUGCCGUUCUCGCGAACACCUCAAUUGUUCCCACCAUGCUGAAGCUAUUCCCUUAAGUUUGAUGGCAACCAAUUUUACCUUAACAUGAUGUGGAACCUCCUUAUACUGAAAAAUUCACUCCUCUUCAUUCAGCCAAUCAAUAAAACCUUUAGCUUAUAACGUACCAGCAAACUCCAGCAGAUCCACUCUGAAACUCAGGUCUACAUGGCGAUCCUCCCAUCCAUGAUGCUCCCAGACUUGAGCACGAUUGUGAUACGGGUUUUCAAAACUGGUAUCGAAUUCGUGACUCUCUACGUCAUGAUUGUCGAACUCCUGUUCCCCCAAUUGUUGGGUUAACUCUACAACUUGUCUUUGCAAAUCUUCAAUCGCCACAUCUUGAACAUUGCGAUCACGAUGUGGGACUUCCUCAAUCGGAACCUGCCCUCGACGACCACGAGAACGUCCACCAACCAUUGUAACUGAUGGAAAUUUCAUUGCAGGAAAAUACUAACUCUCUAAUACCAACUGACGCCGGGUAGGAUAGCGAUUAUCCUAUAGGCUAGUUGCAACAGAUGAUUGGCAAGAAAGAAGAAGAAAGAAAUGUUAAAAACAGAGAGAAUUCUCUAAAAACUUCACUCAAUAUUAUUAAUAAUCAAGAAUGAUGAAAAUUAACUCGCAAGCUGGGUUAAAUAGCUGCAAAAUAUGGAAUUAUCGAAAAUUACCAAAAAUAGUAAAAUCCUAACGAUUACACCAAAAUAAAAUAUGAAAUAAAAGAAGUAAGUGGCCAAAAAUUUGGCUCGAUUCGGAUUCUCUAACGUCUAGAAAAAGGGAAAUGAAAUAUUACCAUAAAUAGUAAAAAAUAACUAAAAAUUGAAUUUCGAAAAGGAAAAUAGACGGAUUUUGGGCUUGAAAUUGAUGCCCACCAAGUAUAGCUAGAUGGCCACAACGUGCGUGCUAAGAGAGCUUUCUGGAUUGGGGUCAUAAUAGCCAUUCUGAUAAUCGUAACCAAAAUUAUGGCCAAAUUACCAAGAACAUGUCAAAAUUACCCCAAUUAAGGAAAGAUUGCAUUUAUUUUCCAUCUUUGCGCCUGUCCGUCAUCUCAUGGUAUCUCAGUGCCAUCAACAAACUAUCUAAUAGAUCAGCGUCACUCGACUCGAAUCCUUCUGCAUCAAAUAACAAACUCUAUUUUCUUAAAUCCUCACUUAGUGCUCAAUUGGUUUUGACACAUGCUUAUUGAACACGCUCAUAAAAUGAAUCCAUUCUAAGGCCUAUUUAUAUAUUUUGUAAGGCAGUUUAUCAUUUGAUAAAUACAACUUGAAUUCCUCCUUUAGAAAUAGAAAAAUCAAACAUGAACUUGGUCUACUAAUAAGCUUUCUUUCCUUAAUUGAUUUGGUAGAUUUACUUGUUUGAAUUUUCUUCUUAGUGGAAAAAAAUAAUUUGAUAACUACAACUUGUCCUUUAAGGAGGUAAAAUUCAACGUUGCUUCCACCCAACCUCUUAUCUCUAAGAAGUAAAAUCACAAUUUGCUUCCGCUUCUAACUAUAUAUACAACGAUCAAUUACUUCUCUAAUCUCAAUCAAAUGACUAAGAAGUUCUUCCAUGAAUAGACCUUUGAGUAGUAUAUCACAAUCUUUGUUCAUUGAAUUUGCAAAGCACGCCACCUUGGUUUUAUUAUCCUUAGAUACAAACAGAAUCAUUUCUCCAAACUUUCUUGACUCAUGAAUAAACCUUUGAUUCAAAAUGUUUGAUCUUCAAUUUGACCAUUAGGUAGGAAAAGAAUAAUUUCUCCCCAAAUUUGGUUUUAUUCAAAUAUAUGUCAAGUCAAUAGAUCCGUUAAACUUCAUCAUCCAUUAAUAUACUCAAUUCAAUAUGGAUACUUAAAAUAGAAAUUAUAUUAUUAACUUUCUAGUCAAUAGAUUUAACUAACUGAUUAAACAUUAGAUUUUGUACUAGAUUUUUACGCAAGUCUUCUGAAAACUUUGAACAAAAUACUAUUUAACAUAACUCUUAAAAUGAAUUGAAUAACCUCUCGUUUAAUUGCUUAACCUGUUUAUAAAAGGAUACAUAUAUUUAUUUCAACUUUAUCUUCAACGCAUUGACACAAAUUAUAAAAGUGACUAUGAAACUUGAACUUAUUUCAUUCGUUUGAUGAUUUUGACAUCAUUUUGAUCAGUUAUUUUAAAAUUUAAAACUAUUAAAAAGAUAACAUGCAUAUUUAUCUAAAUAUUAUUUUCAACGUACAUCAUCUUCACAUUCUUAUAGGCUUGAUACAUGAAUCAUAAGCAUGUGAUGGUGAGAUUUAAAUCUAGACCUUUUGUAUGACUUUUGAUAUUGUCUUAAUGGGCCCUUUUAAAAAAUUUAUAGAUUAACAUCAUCUAUUUAUUUAAAAGUCAUUGAAGUGUUUCUCAUGCGAACCCGCAUAGCGCGAUCACUACCAAACCCACAACAAAUUGAGAAUCAAACCCAAGACAAAGGCAAGGUUUUGGAUUAAACCCAAUAAACUGGAACCAAGCAAUCCGAAUCGCCGACAAUAUGCAGACCUCUUGAUUACGCAAUUUAAAUGAAUUUCACCCGAUUGAUUUUUACGUCACAAGAUUAAUCUUGAUAAGUUCACAAGUUGUUCAACGAAAAACAAGAGAAAUCAAUUAAUGCCUCACGAAUAAUAUUCCAUAAUAUGAGAGUUGUAAUUUUUUACAAUAAGGAAUAAAGUAUUUAUACUAUUCUAGAUAACCUAAGCAAACUAGGAAAAAUAUCUAAGAAUAAUGCAAAAUUCGUCCACAAUAGCCUAAUUAUGGUAAAAAUCUACUAAUAAUGAAAUUCUAUUAAAAUAAGGAAAAAAAUUCAAAAUUUGGAAAAAUUCACCUUGGACUUGGCCUAUGUAGCCGCAUAGCUUUAGAGCAUUCGGUCGUAUAGUGCAAUUAGUCUGCGACUAUGGGACUUCUGCUAGGUGUAUGCGAUAGCAAGACUUUAGACCUGUGUGACCGCAUGGUUUAUUGCUCCAGCUCCGUUUUCUUCAGCUUUAAACACGUUGAUCCAAUACUCUUCGACCUUCGUCCCAACACGAAACUUGCUCCAUUUUGCAUCCCAAACAUUGUUUCAUCAAACAUUGCUUUGAUGAACAAUCCCAUCGCCUCUUUCACGUGCUUGGCCCUCGAUCGCGUCAUCGGCCCCUUGACUAUCAAUGGAUCUUUCCUCAAGCUCGACUCUGGACUUGAUUUUGGUACUUGUGCUUUCUAGAUCAACACGAAACUUGCUCCAUUUUGCAUCCCGAACAUUGUUUCAUCAACCAUUGCUUUAACGAGUAAUCCCAUCACCUCUUUCACGAGCUUGGCCCUCGAUCGUAUCAUUGGCCCCUCAACUAUCAACGGAUCUUUCCUCGAGCUCGACUCUGGACUUGACUUUGGUACUUGUGCUUCCUGGAUCACAUCAUCCCCUCCCUCUUCGAAAUGAUUUGACCUAGAAUCUGCACCUGCAUCGAAAAGAGAUAAGUAAGAAACAUUAAAAGUUGCAGAAAUACUAUACUCACUUGGAAGAUCUAUCUUAUAAGCAUUGUCGUUGAUCUUCUCAAUCACUUGAGACGAUCCAUCUCCUCGUGAUAAUAACUUUGAUUUUCUUUGCUCUGGGAAUCGCUCUUUCCUAAAAUGCACCCAAACCCAAUCUCCCGAUUCAAAAGUGACAUAUUUUUAGCCUUUGUUUGCUUGUGUUGUGCAUUGAUUGUUCUUCCUCUCUAUUUGCUCCCUUACCUUUUCAUGGAGUGUAUUCACCAAUUCGACUUUCUUUUUCCCAUCCAAGCUUCGUGACAAUGCAUCAGCUACUAUGUUUUUCUUACCUUGUUUGUAUCGAAUGACAUAUGGAAAAGUCUCUAUGAAUUCCAUCCAACGUGCAUGUAGUUUGUUCAACUUACCUUGACCCCGCAAAUGUUUCAAUGAUUCAUGGUCGGUGUGAAUAACAAACUCCUUUGGCCAUAGGUAGUGUUGCCAUGUCUCUAAGGCUCAAACUAGAGAAUAAAGCUCCUUGUCAUAAGUAGGAUGGUUAAGAGCUGCCCCCACUUAGUUUCUCGCUUAAAGUAUGCUAUUAGCCUCUUUUCCUGCAUUAAAACUGCUCCAAUACCUAUUCCUGAUGCUUCACACUCAAUCUCGAAAGUUUUGUCAAAAUUAGGAAGUGCUAAAAUAGUUGCUUUACAUAAACAUUCUUUGAUGGUGUUAAAUGCAUGUUCUUGUUCUACACCCCAUUGAAACCCAACGCUCUUUUUGACAAUUUCAGUAAGUGGUGUGGCAAGUGUGCUAAAAUCCCUAACAAAUCACCUAUAAAAACUAGCUAACUUAUGAAAACUCCUAACCUCGGUUAUGUUUUUAGGUGUUGGCCAAUCUUUAACAGCUUUUACCUUUUCCUCAUCAACUUCAACCCCAUUAGCACUCACCACAAAUCCUAGAAAUAUGAUUCUAUCCAUGCAAAAUGUGCACUUCUUGAAAUUAGCAUAAAGUCGUUCAUUUCUUAAAAUCACAAGCACACAUUUAAGAUGUUCUAAAUUCUGUCCUAGGUCCUUGCUAUAGAUUAGAAUAUCAUCAAAGUAAACCACAACAAAUUUUCCAAUGAAAGCUCGCAAAACAUUGUUCAUUAAUUGCAUAAACGUGCUUGGUGCAUUUGUGAGUCCAAAUGGCACAACUAGCCAGUCAUAUAGCCCAUAUUUCGUUUUAAAUGCCGUUUUCCAUUCAUCACCCUCCCACAUAUGAAUUUGAUGAUACCUACUCUUAAGGUCAAUUUUAGAAAAGAUGCAAGCAUCAUAUAAUUCAUCUAACAUGUCAUCUAACCUAGGAAUUGGGUGACGUUACUUUAUCGUAAUGUUGUUGAUAGCUCGGCAAUCCACGCACAUCCUCCAAGUUUCAUCUUUUUUUGUCACCAACAAUACGGGUGCAGCACAUGGACUCAUGCUCUCCCUUGCAUAACCCUUGCUCAUCAACUCCUCCACUUGCUUUUGAAGCUCCUUUGUCUCCUCCAGAUUACUUCGAUAAGCUGGUCGGUUUGGAAUGACAGCUCCAGAUAUGAAAUUAAUUUGAUGUUCGAUCCCCUUAAUGGAUGGCAAUCCACUAGGCACGUCUUCUGGAAACACAUCGUCAAAUUUCUGCAAUAAAGAAGUAGCCAAACUAGGGAGGGAUGUGUUAGACUCCUCAAAAUUGAGGAGUCAUUCCUUAUAUACCAAAAGAAUCAUUCGUUGCAUCUCCGCUAUUGCCUUUUUCAAUUCACUCCCUUUUGCAAAGAAAUUUACUUUCGGCUUUUCUCUCCUCUUGGAAGACUCUCUUUCUUUUCUCUCAUGUGGCCCCACUCUUUUUUCUUCUUCACCAGCCACCUCACUAUUUUCUCUCUUUUUCUCUAGCUCUCUAAUCUUCCUAAUUUUUCAAUUUGAUUUGGUCCUCAUACACUUGUGCUGGUGUUAAUGGCGCAAGAGUGAUAGUCUUUUCCUCUUUCACAAAACUAUAUUUAUUUUUAUACCCAUCAUGCAUUGUUUUCCUAUCUUAUUGCCAAAGUCGGCCCAACAAAAUAUGCCCCGCAUGCAUAGGUACAACAUCACAUAACACCUCAUCAUCAUACUUCCCAAUCAAAAAAUUAAUCAACACCCAUUUUGUCACCUUAACCUGAUAUGAUCCAGGAGUCGAGCCCGACGAAGGCUAGUGUGAAAUGAGAUCCGUUGAUAGUCGAUGACAGAUCAAUGACACAAUCAAGGGCAAAGCAAGUGAAACAAGCGAUGUGAUUGCUCGUUCAAAAAUCAUUGAUGGAACCAUGUUCGAGACUCAAAAUGGAGCAACUUUCAUGUUUGGGUUGAAGGCUGAAUCAACUUGGAUCAAUUUAAUAUCGAAGGCCGAAGACGGAGGAAAAUAAUAAGCCUAUGCGACCGCAUAUGCUUAUGAGGUUUGCGAUUGCAUGGAGGCAUACCGAAACUCAAGAUGGGAUUUUUAGUUGAACCAUACGACCCCAUGGAAAUAUACUAUGCGGUCGCAUAGGCCAAAAAUUUGGUGAAUUUUCUAAUUUUGGUAAUUUUCCAUAUUUUGUUAGUUUUUGAUUCUUUUCCAUAUUUUGGGGAUUAUGAUUGACUUUUACAUGAUUUUUACCUAGUUUUUAAGUUUAGUAUAAAUAGGAGUUUCCAUUCAAUUGUUAAAAACCUUUGACAUUAUUGAUAUCGAAUUAAAAGUGAGGCGUAUUGUCUUCUCUUCAUCAUUCUUCAUUGAACAACUUUGAACUUAUCAAGUGUUAACUUGUGGCGUUCAAACAACCGGAUUUAAUUCUUGGAUUGCGUGAUCAAGGGGUCUUUCAAGAGUCGCUCUUGUUGGGUUUUUUUAUUCGACUUUCUUUUGGGUUAAUCCUAAACUCUUGGAUUAAUUUGAUUUUCUUGGGUUCAUCAAUCUCAUUGUGGGUUUUGUAGUCAACAUUGCUACGGAAUUCGCAUCAGUUGGUAUCAGAGCUUUGACUCCAAAUUAAUUGAAGGUUAUAUCUUUUCUUUAUUUGUUUGAGUCGUUAAUUUUGUUUUCUUAGUUUCUUCUUCAAUUUUAAUUGUUCUUUCUUAGUUCUUCUUCGUUCUUGUUUUUCUUUUCGUCAUUUUGUUGAGUUGUUGGUAGUUUAAUCAUCUUCUUUCAUCAAGGAGUACAAAAAAAAAGUACAAAAAAAUGAUAUUAUUAUUGUUUGAUUUUGUUUUUCUACCAACAACAAUUCCUACAUUGUGUUUGACUUCGGGAUAUUCAAUUCGGUUUGAUUCUUUCAAUCUUCUAUUGAGUCUAUUCACAUAUUCUUGUCAAAACAAUUCAUCUAUUCCACUUAUUCAAGUCUUUGAGUCUCGUGGUCUUCGAUUAAUAUUUAGUUUGUUUGAAUUUUCAGUAAAACAAUUGAUUUAGUUCACAUGGUUCUUUGAAGUGCUUGAAGAGAGACUUUGAGUGGUAAAAGGCUGAGUGGUGAGUUUAAUAGAGGGAAAAAGCCAUAGUGAGUGUUUUCCAAGUGAAAUCUUUGUGAGGCAUAAAAAAAAUUGUGUGAUAUGAUGUUGGAAAGAGAAGGUUCCAACUUAAGUCGAAACGGUAAUGAAAACAAUGCUUCGGAGGACAUGAUACGGAGGUUUGAACGGGUACUUCGUGAUGUUAGGGAGAAGGUGGAUAGACAAGGGGAAUGGAUGGUGCAAAUAGGUACCACAAUCUCUAAUCUCAGCCGGGGACAAGUGGAGAUGUCUAAUGCUAGGGUCCCGGGUAGGCAUGAAUCUAGGAAACGAAGGCGGGAUGAGUAUCGUAGUGAUGAGGAUGAUUUUGAUGAAAUGACAUUGAUAUGGGUCGAGCGAGGCAUAGGGGCUAUAGGAUGGAAAGACGGGGUAGAAAUAACUUGGGAGAUGAAGUAAAUGGAAAUUUGGGGAGUAUUAAAAUGACUAUUCCACAAUUUAAGGGGAGAAGCGAUCUAGAAGCAUAUUUAGAGUAGGAAAGGAAGGUUGAGAUGAUUUUUGGGUGCUAUAAUUAUUCGGAGGAGAAAAAGGUCAAAUUGGUGGUACUUGAAUUUGUGGAUUACGCGAUAUCUUGGUGGGAUCAAGUAUUUACAUCAUAGCGUAGGGGUCGGGAAAGACCAAUUAGCACUUGGGAUGAAUUGAAGGUGUUGAUGAGGAGGAGGUUUGUUCCAAGUCACUAUUAUAGGGAAAUCCAUCAAAAAUUGCAAGGUUUGUACAAAGGAUCGAAAAGCGUAGAGGAUUAUCACAAGAAGAUGGAAAUUCUUAUGAUUCGGGCUAAUGUGGAGGAAGAUCGGGAAGCUACCAUGGCACGGUUCUUGAAUGGGUUAAAUCUAGAUAUUGCAAAUGUUGUAGAGUUGUAACACUAGGUGGAAAUCGAGGACAUGUUACAUGUGGCAAUGAAGGUCGAGAGGUAAUUAAAGAAGAAAGGGACGUCUAGGCAACCGUUAGGUACUUCGACUCCUAAUCCAACAUGAAAAUCGAAGUGGGAUGACAACAACAAAAAUGGGGCUGCACCUAGAGGUAAAAAUGAUUAGCAAAAAGGCAAGGAUGAAAAUGCUAGCAAACCAAUAUUAAAAUCGGAGGCACAACCGUCACGCAAUCGGGACAUCAAAUGUUUUAGGUGUUUGGGAACGGGGCAUAUUGCUUCUCAAUGCCCAAACAAAUGGACGAUGGUGUUGUGGGAUAAUGGAGAGAUUGUGAGCUAUAGUGAUGGUGAGUUUGAUGACACGCCGGCGUUGGAGGAUGUUAGUGAAGAAGAAAAAAUUGAAGGGCCAUUGGGGAUCUACUAGUCACAAGGCGAGCUCUCACUAUUCACAUCAAAGCGGAUGACUUGGAGUUGCAAUGGGAGAAUAUUUUCCACACUCAAUGCCACGUCAACAUUAUGGUAUGUAGUGUUAUAAUUGAUGGUGGUAGUUGCACUAAUGUAGCUAGCGUAUCUCUUGUAGAAAAAUUGGGUUUAACAUUGUUGAGACACCCGAGACCUUAUAAAUUGCAAUGGUUGAAUGAGAGUGAUGAGGUGAGGGUGAAUCGAAGGGUGUUACUUAAUUUGUCAAUUAGGAUUUAUAAGGACGAGUUAGUGUGUGAUGUGGUGCCAAUGUAAGCGGGGCAUAUUUUAUUGGGGCCACCAUGGUAAUACGAUAGGAAGGCUAUACAUGAUGGGUACAAAAAUCGAUAUAGUUUCAUUAAGGAUGGAAGGACAAUUACUCUUGUACCAUUAACACCGGCGCAAGCCUAUGAGGACCAGUUAAAAUUGAGAAGUGAGAUAGAGAGGAGAGUAAAAGAGUUAGAAAAAAUGAGAACAAAUAGUGAGUUGGAGAAAAAGAAACAAAAUGUUGAGAUAGCCAUUAGAGAGAAAAAGAGAGAGCAAUCACAAGAGAGAAAAGAAAGAGAGUGCCCCGAGAGAAGAGAGAAAACACGAGCAAAUUUCUUUGCAAAAGAGAGUGAUUUGAGAAGGGCGAUAGUUGAGAGAAAAGAGAUGAUCUUGUUCGUUUAUAAGGAAUCACUCCUCAAUUUUGAGGAUACUAACCUAUCCCUCCCUAGUUUGGCUAAGUUUUUGUUGCAGGAAUUCGAUGAUGUAUUUCUGGAGGAUGUACCAAGUGGAUUGCCGCCUAUUCGAGGCAAUGAACAUCAAAUUGACUUCAUACCCGGAGCUGUCAUUCCAAAUAUAUCGGCUUAUCGAAGUAAUUCCGAGGAGACUAAGGAGCUUCAAAGACAAGUGGAGGAGUUAAUGAGCAAAGGAUACAUGGGAAAAGCAUGAGUCCUUGUGCGGUACCGAUUUUGCUUGUGCCAAAAAAGGAUGGAACAUGACAAAUGUGCGUGGAUUGUAGGGCUAUCAACAACAUAAUGGUAAAUAUCGUCACCCUAUACCUAGAUUAGAUGACAUGCUUGAUGAAUUACAUGGUGCUUGCAUAUUUUCUAAAAUUGAUUUAAAAAGCGGGUAUCAUCAAAUUCAUAUGCGGGAGGGUGAUGAAUGGAAAACGACUUUUAAAACUAAAUAUGGUUUAUAUGAAUGGUUGGUUAUGCCGUUUGGACUCACAAAUGCACCUAGCACAUUUAUGCGUUUAGUAAAUCAUGUUUUGCGUGCUUUUAUAGGAAAUUUUGUUUGGUUUAUUUUGACGGCAUCUUAAUCUAUAGAAAAGGCCUAGGAGAGCAUUUGGAACAUUUAAAGUGUGUGUUAAUUGUUUUAAGGAAAGAACAACUCUAUGUUAAUCUUAAGAAAUGCACGUUUUGUAUGGAUAGAGUUAUUUUUCUUGAUUUUGUGGUUAGUGCUAAUGGGGUAGAGUUAGACGAUGAAAAGAUAAAAACUAUUAGAGAUUGGCCGACACCUAAAAGCAUAACGGAAGUUAGGAGUUUUCAUAGUUUAGCUAGUUUUUAUAGGCAUUUUGUAAGGGAUUUUAGCACUAUCACCGCUUCACUCACGAAAGUAGUUAAAAAGAGUGUAGGUUUUCAUUGGGGUGAUGAACAGAAACUUGCAUUUAAUACUAUUAAAGGUAGAUUGUGUUAAGCAUCUAUUUUGGCAUUAUCUAACUUUGAUAAAAUAUUCGAUAUUGAGUGUGAUGCAUCAGGAAUAGGGAUUGGAGCAGUUUUAAUGCAGGAUCGGAGGCCUAUUGUAUACUUUAGCGAGAAAUUGAGUGGAGCUGCUUUAAAUUAUCCUACAUAUGACAAAGAACUUUAUACACUUGUUCGAACUUUGCAGACUUGGCAACAUUAUCUAUGGUCAAAGGAGUUCGUAAUACACACCGAUCAUGAGUCACUAAAGCACUUGCGGGGACAAGGUAAAUUGAACAAGAGGCAUGCACGGUGGAUGGAAUUUAUUGAGACAUUUCCAUACAUCAUUCGGUAUAAACAAGGUAAGAAAAAUGUGGUGGCGGAUGCGUUGUCGCGAAGGUACAUAUUGCUAAUUACUCUUGAUUCUAGGCUACUUGGGUUUAAACAUAUUAAGGAAUUGUAUGAAAAAGAUGCUAAAAAUUUUUGGAUAUUUAUUUGUCAUGCAUAAAAGGGGAGGUUGAUAGGUUCUUUAGAUAUGAGGGUAUUUAUUUUGGGAAAAUAGGUUAUGUAUUCCUAAUUGUUCUAUUCUGGAUUUGCUAGUAAGGGAGGCACAUAGUGGUGGAUUGAUGGGACACUUUGGGGUUCAAAAGAUUUUAGAUGUAUUGAAGGAGCAUUUUUACUGGCCUAAGAUAAAAAGUGAUGUCGAGCGAAUUUGUAGUCGAUGCAUAGGUUGUAAAAGGGCUAAGUCUAAGGUUUUACCUCAAGGUUUGAACACACCUUUACCUACACCUAAUGAGCCUUGGGUUGAUAUCUCGAUGGACUUUGUUUUGGGUUUACCUAGGACUAAGAAAGGUCGGGAUUCUAUUUUUGUAGUUGUAGAUAGGUUCAGCAAAAUGACACAUUUUAUACCAUGUCACAAAACUGACGAUGCCACAAGCAUUGCUGACUUAUUCUUUAAAGAGAUCAUACGUUUAUAUGGGGUUCCUAGAAGCAUAGUGUCGGAUCGAGACGUCAAAUUUUUGGGUUACUUUUGGAGAGUUUUGUGGGGUAAGUUAGGCACUAAGUUACUAUUUUCCAAAACUUGUCACCCACAAACGGAUGGGCAAACCGAGGUAGUGAAUAGGACUAUGACACAAUUGUUACGCACAGUAAUCAAUAAAAAUUUGAAGAGUUGGGAAGAGUGUCUAUCAUUUGUUGAAUUUGCAUACAAUCGAGCUGUUCACUCUACUACGUCAUAUUCUCCAUUUGAAAUCGUAUAUGGUUUUAAUCCACUAACUUCUUUGGAUUUAAUUCCAUUACCUGUGAAUGAACGUGGUAGUUUAGAUGGCAAAAAGAAGCUAGAAAACAAAAGUAAGUUGGUUGCGUCGCAGGCAAAUAAAGGUAGGAAGCGCGUGACAUUCGAGCCAGGAGAUUGGGUUUGGGUGCACCUUAGGAAGGAGCGUUUUCCGGAGCAAAGGAAGUCCAAGUUGCAACCGAGGGGCGAUGGUCCAUUUCAAGUUAUUGAAAAGAUAAACGACAAUACUUACAAGUUGGACCUUCUGGGUGAGUACAAUGUUUCGACUACUUUUAAUGUAUCUGAUCUCUCUUUGUUUGAUGCAGGUUUAGAUUUGAAGACGAAUCCUUUUGAAGAGGAAGGGGAUGAUAUAAUCCAGGAGUCGAGCUCGACGAAGGCUAGUGCGAGACGAGAUCCGUUGAUAGUCGAUGGCGGACCAAUGACACGAUCAAGGGCAAAGUAAGUGAAACAAGCGAUGAGAUUACUUGUUUAAGAAACCAUUGAUGGAACCAUGUUCGGGACUCAAAAUGGAGCAACUUUCAUGUUCGGGUUGAUGGCCGAAUCAACUUGGAUCAAUUUAAUAUCGAAGGUCGAAGACGGAAGAAAAUAAUAAGCCUAUGCGACCGCAUAGGCUUAUGAGGCUUGCAAUCGCAUGGAGGCAUACCGAAACUCAAGAUGGGAUUUUUAGUUGAACCAUGCGACCACAUGGAAAUACACUAUACGGUCGCAUAGGCCAAAAAUUAGGCGAAUUUUCUAAUUUUGGCAAUUUUCCAUAAUUUGUUAGUUUUUGAUUCCUUUCCAUAUUUUGGGGAUUAUGAUCGACUUUUGCACGAUUUUUACCUAGUUUUUAGGUUUAGUAUAAAUAGGAGUUUCCAUUUAAUUGUUAAAAACUUUUGACAUUAUUGAUAUCGAAUUAAAAGUGAGGCAUAUUGUCUUCUCUUCAUCGUUCUUCAUUAAACAAUUUAGAACUUAUCAAGUGUUAACUUGUAGCGUUCAAACAACCAGAUUUAAUUCUUGGAUUGCAUGAUCAAGGGGUCUUUCAAGUGCCGUUCUUGUUGGAUUUUUUGGUUCGACUUUCUUUUGGGUUAAUUCUAAACUCUUGGAUUAAUUUGACUUUCUUGGGUUCGUCAAUCUCGUUUUGGGUUUUGUAGUCAACGUAGUCUCCCCACAUUAAUUUAACCAUUGCAACCUAUAAUGUCUAGGAUGUUUUAAUAGUGUCAAUCCCAAUUUUUCCACUACAUUAGUGCUAGCUACAUUUGUACAACUUCUACCAUCAAUUAUUACACUGCAUACUUUCCCGUUGACGUGACAUCGUGUGUGGAAUAUAUUUUCCCGCUGCUAUUCCAAGUCAUCCGCCUUGAUUUGAGCGCUAAGUGCUCGCCUCGUAACCAACAACUCCCCAACUACAUACACCGUGGUGUUUUCCUCGUCAAUGUCCUCCAACUCCGGCAUUUCUUCAUAAUCACCUUCACUUUCGAUCUCCACUUUCCCGCUGUCUCGCAAAAUCAUGGUUCUUUUAUUUGGACAUUGUGAAGCAAUGUGUCCAACUCCCAAGCAACGAAAACACUUGACGUCCCGAUUCCUUGAUGGCUGGGAUUCUACCUUUGGUGUAGUCUUGCUAGCUCCUUCCUCCUUUCCUCUCGAUACCUCCAGUCUUGCUCUUGCAUUAGCUCCAUCUCCUUUAUUAUUUUCCCACCUUGACUUCCAAGAAAGAUUAGAAAUCGAAGAUCCACCUUGAUACCUUGCUGUCCCCUUUCGCUUCAAUUACUUUUCCACCUUCAUGGCUACAUAUGGCAUGUCUUCAAUUUCCACAUAAUGUUACAAUUUCACUACAUUGGCAAUGUCCCUAUUCAACCCAAAAUCGAGCCAUAGUGGCUUCCCUACCUCUUCCACGUUCGCCCUAAUCAUAAGCAUCUCCAUCUCUUUAUGGUAAUCCUCUAUGCUCCUAAUGCCUUGAUAUAGAUUUUGUAACCGUUGAUGAAGCUCCCGGUAAUAGUGAUUAGGUACAAACCGUUUCCGCAUUAACAUCUUCAACUCCUCCCAAGUACUUAUAGGUAUGCCCCAAUCCUCCACCUCAUCGUCACCACUUGAUCCCACCAAGUUAUUGUUUUGUCGAAGAACUCAAGAAUCGCAAUUUUCACCUUUUUCUCCCCUGAGUAAUUGUGGUAAUCGAAUAUCAACUCAAUCUUCUUCUCCCACUCUAAGUAUGCCUCCGGAUCACUCCUCCCUUUGAAAGAAUGGUCAUUUUAAUAUUUCCCAAAUUACCAUCCAACUCGUCUCCACCAAGAUUCAUACCUCUCACAUCUUGCCUAACGCCUCUAUUCCUAACCCUUCCAACCUUCGCAUCCACAAGUGCGUCCUCAUCAAAUCCACUAUCAGCCUCAAAGUCAUCCUGAUCAUCUAUCCUAACUUUCCCCCGUGCAUUAUUGGCUCCCAGUCGAGGAUUAGCAGGCAUUGGAUUAAGCUUGUCUAACCGCACAUCCUGUCGAUCCAACUGAUCCCUCACGUCCCCCAUCAUCCUUUCCAUCCGCAGUAUCAAUUCUGCCUCAUGUUAAGUUGAUCAUUGUCCCUGCCAGAAUGUGUUCCUUCCAUGUCAGACAUCCUAUAUUCUAACUUUUUUUGCCUCACCAAGUUCACUCGGAAUUCACUCAAUUUGGCUUUUACCCUCAAUUGAUCUUACCACUCUGCCUUUUACCGCUCGUUGCUUUCACUACGUGCUUCAAAAAACAAAUUGGAACUCAACCAAAGAAUUAGUCUCGUGAAAUCCAAACUGGAUGCGAGUGAGAUUACAAAACAAAGAAGGACUCGAAUUUGGAAGUUUUGAAAUUCAAGAAAGUGGUUCUUGAAUUGAUUUGGACUAAGAAAGACAAUUUAAGAAAACAAGGGACUAAUUUGCAAAUAAAUAAUUUUUUUGAAUAGUAGACUUGAACAGUACGGAUGGGAACAGUACUUUUUUUGACUUUUUUCUUUUUCUGCUACUGUACGAUGAACAGUACGAUUUUUUAAGACCCGGACUUUAACUACAACACCAACGAAAGAAACGAAAGUUGUUUUAGAUUCUAAAUGAACCCAAAAACAACUUCUAAAGUUUUAGACGAAAAGAAUUCGGAUCAAAGACUCAAGAAUUUUACUGGACAGAAGAACGCGAAGAACGAAGAAAAACUAGAAACAAAGACUCAACAAGAAUUUAAAAGGGAUAUAACCUUGAAUUGGAGCCUAAGCUCUGAUACCAACUAAUUCGAACCCGCGUAGCGCAAUCACUAUCAAACCCACAACAAAUUGAGAAUCAAACCCAAGAAAGCCAAAGACAAGGUUUUGGAUUAAAACCAAUAAACUGGAAUCAAGCAACCCGAAUCGCCGACAAUAUGCGGACCUCUUGAUUACGCAAUUUAAAUGAAUCUCACCCUGUUGAUUUGAACGCCACAAGAUUAAUCUUGAUAAAUUCACAAGUUGUUCAACGAAAAACGAGAGAAAGCAAUUAAUGCCUCACGAACAAUAUUCAAUAAUAUGAGAGUUGUAAUAUUUUACAAUAAGGAAUAAAUUAUUUAUACUAUUCUAGAUAAUCUAAGUAAACUAGGAAAAAUAUCUAAGAAUAAUACAAAAUUCGUCCACAAUAGCCUAAUUAUGGUAAAAAUCUACUAAUAAUGAAAUUCUAUUAAAAUAAGGAAUAAAAUGCGAAAUUUGGAAAAACUCGUCUCGGACUUGGCCUAUGCGGCCGCAUAGCUUUAGAGCAUGCGGUUGCAUAGUGCAAUUGGUCUGCGACUUUGGGAUUUCUGUUGGGUGUAUGCGACCACAGGACUUUAGACCUGUGCGGCCGCAUGGCUUAAUGCUCUAGCUCUGUUUUUUUCAACUUUAAACACAUUGAUACAAUACUCUUCGGCCUUCGUCCCCAACACGAAAUUUGCUCCAUUUUGCAUCCCGAACAUUGUUUCAUCAACCGUUGAUUUGAUGAGCAAUCCCAUCGCCUCUUUCACGCGGUUGGCCCUCGAUCGCGUCAUCGACCCCUCGACUAUCAACAAAACUUUCCUCGGGCUCGACUCUGGUCUUGACUUUGGUACUUGUGCUUCCUGGAUCACAUCAGUUUCUAUACACGAAAUCAUUGUGGAUAGACUAUUAACUAUAAUAGAUUUCUUUAUAUGGUUGUUAGUUGAUGACAAGCACGAUUCUCGAAGCAAUUUGAGGUAUAAAUUUAAUUGAUUGUUACCAUAAACUUUGGAGCAUAAAGAAUUAAAAAUUGAAGUACGCUUUCCCCAUGGAAAUGACAAAGAGUGCUCGUGCUUAUGAAACCGGGCUUAUAGGCAACUCGUGCAGUCCAUGCAUAGGCACACACACUGUACACACCUUGCCCUUGAAGCCUACUCUGAUAACUGAAGAUCAAAAAAUAAAUAAUUGAAUUGAGUACCAUUAAUUGUUUUCUUUUUGGGUUGACAUGUCAACUUUCGAUAAAGAAAUAGAUUCAUUGUGCACUUGAGUGAGAGGGGUACUUUUAAAAAGCACCCAGUCAAAAUACUAAAUUUUUACAUUGACCAAAUUUUUUUCGCCAUUCACCAAAAGAGCCUUUUGAAGAGUAAACGUCAUUUUUGCCCUUAUUAUGUGUUGUAAUUACAAAAACAUAUCAUUUACCCAAAAGACAAUAAUACCCUCUUUAAAAAAUUAAUAAAUCCAAACAAUCUCACUUAAAUUUCAAAACGAAAUCACUUUCCUUAUCAGAUUUUUCAACACAGUUAAAAAGAAAUUUCCUCUUCCAGCUGCUUGAACAUUGAAAUCUCAAAAAAUUAUCAAAGACUCAACAAAAAAAUAUUACUCACAGUCGGCAAUUGAAAUUGGUAAGUAUAAAUACGUAUGUUUAAUUUCAUUUUAGUUAAAUUAGUACAUUGUUUGAAUAAUUAAAUUUUAUUUCAACAUAUGAUUUUAGAAAAAUGAAAUAUUACAGUCUUAAAUGGAUGUAUAUUUUUUUAGCAAAAACGAGGAAAAAAUUCAUCUGUUUAGAUGCAAAAUGUAGAAGACAGCCGACCAAAAAGUGUUCGGGCAGGAUGUUUAACAGCCUGCCUGGAUGCUACAGCCGGCCCGGACACGUCGUUUUUUUUUCCUUGUGUCAUAUUUUUUUUCGUCCUUUUAUUCUCGUAAUUACAAUUUUUUUAAUAAAUGAUAUUUCCUAAUGCAGAUAUGAGAUCAGCUGCUAUCCCGAUUUGUUACUUUGGUGAAUUUGAAAAUAAUGACAAUGAUCGAUGGGUGUGAAAAUGGAUGAGUGAAAGACAUGGUUGUACUGCAAUUGUAAUAACAUCAAGUACAUCAUAUGUAGAAAUGUACAAUGAGAUACAUAACUUGCUAAAAGUUGAUCCCUCUGAAUAUGCCAUAGAAUUAGGAUUUCUAAUCGGCGAGAAUACAUUUAUUUCAAUUCCACCUAUAAUGGUUACUUCUGAAAUUGAAAUGAAGGUUUUAAUUGAAAUAAACCAGAAACGUGUGAUUCUUAUUUGCUUAACUUUGAUGAAGAAGAAUGUCCCCGAGAGUGAAGACGAAGAUCUCGAUGGAGGGGAUCGUAAUGUGAAUGAGUUUUGGGACACAGUGGAAAUAAUGCGUGAUGAUGUUGUAGCUGUUCUAGAGAUAGUUGCUUCUCACCAUGAUCUCAUUGUUACACAUAGAAUUUGCUCGGUAGUUCAAGACAACGAAAGAGAUAAUGACUUUACAAAUGAGAAUUUGAUUGCUUUAUCCCGUUUGAGACAUGCGUUGAGUGGGAGCUCACAGGCUGGACUGAGUGCACGGUCCUCUAGUUAUUCGCGUAUAGUCCCCGAUGAUGAAGAUUUGUAUGUCGAGCAACUGUUUGACACGAAGAAAGAUUUGCAGGAAGCUGUUCACCGGAUUACUUUGAAACCCAAUUUUGAGUUUAAAUUGAAGAAAUCAAACAAGUCGACUUACACAAUUAUCUGCGUUGACGAUAGUUGCCUUUGGUGUUUGCGAGCAACGAAAAUGGACACGAAUGAGCUCUUUGUGGUUCGUAAGUAUGCACGAGAACAUAUUUGCGAAAUGGGUAUUUGUCGAAAUGAUCACAGGCAAGCCCGAUCAUGGUUAAUUGGUUAAGAAGUAAUAUACAAGUUUUAGGACCCACGAAGAAUCUACAGACCUUCGAAUAUUAUUAAUGACAUUCCUCGAGAGUACGGGGUGGUCAUAAGCUAUCAGAAGGCUUGGAAGGCCAAAGAAUGCGCAUUGGAGGACUUGAUGGGUUCGAUCGAGGAAAGUUAUGCUAAAUUGGCCAAGUAUUUCUUUUUUUAGAUGUUUAUUUAAUAGUUAUCUAAUUAAUUCAAUCAUCAAUUUCAAUUGUUUAUUUAAUUAUUUAUCAAUUCUUUAUCUUAUAUGUAAUUAAUUAUUUAAUUCAAUUGUUAAUUUUUCAGUUUUUUAGUAUUGUUUAUUUAAUUAUUUAAAUUAUGAUUAUUGUUUAUUUAAUUGGUCAAGUUUUGCUAUAACAUGGGAAGAAUUAAUACUGAAUCGGCAUUUUUUAUUGAGAAGGAUGAUGAGAAUCGCUUCAAGUAUUUCUUUAUGGCUCUUGGACAAUGCGUUCAAGGAUUUCGAAACGCAAUGCGAUCCUUAAUCCUAGUCGACGGUACAACCCUCAAGGCAAGAUACGGGGGCAAGUUGAUUAUUGCAAUAUGUUAAGAUGCUAACAUCCAAAUUUACCCUCUUGCAUUCGGCAUAGUUGAUGGAGAAAAUGAUUUGAAAAUGCGUUGGUUUUUUACGAAGUUGAUGGAAGUAAUUGGGGAUGUCGAGAACCUUGCAUUCGUAACCGACCAAGGGCAGUCAAUAAUUAAGGGUAUCGCCGAAGUAUUCCUCGAGGCACAUCAUGGUUAUUGUAUGUACCAUAUACAAGGAAAUCUGAAGACCAAGUAUCGAGGCAAAGGCAUCAUUACGUUGUUUAGGAGAGCUGCAGAGACUUACAGUUUUUAAGAAUUUGAAAAGUUUAUGGUUGAAAUUGAAAGUAAAUCCUAUGAUGCAUGGGAGUAUCUGACACAGAUGGGGAUCGAACAUUGGGCACGAUCACAUUUUCCAGGAUAUCGAUACAACAUGAUGACGUCGAACAAUGUAGAGUCACUCAAUGCCUUAUUUAAGAAGGAUCGAGAGUUACUAAUUCUCGCAAUGCUUGAUAACAUUCGUGACAAGCUGCAACAGUGGUUUCAUGAUCGUUGUGAGGAAUCACAAAGUUGCACAAGUGUGCUAAACCCGCCUCAGGAAGAUAAACUCUUCAAGACUCUAGAGGUGUCAAGGAAGGUAUAUGUAGAUCCACUAAAUAAGUUUCGCUUCUCCACGAGAUGUGCACGCGAUUUCGGAUACAUCGUCGACUUGAAUGAUAACACGUGCACGUGUAGACAGUUUAAGUUGGAGAGUUUUCCCUGUACACAUACAUUGGCGGUGGCUAUAUAUAGAGGAAUUCCACCACACACCUUAUGCAGUGCUUAUUACACGAUUGGUUCUUGGAGAGUAGCAUUUGCCGAAACCAUAUUUCCUGUACCAAAUGAAGCCAAGUGGGAAGUUUCCGAUCACAUUCUCUCAUUGAAUAACUUGUUGUCACCAGCAGUCGGCCUACGUACUCCUGGAUGUACACGUAGUCUAGAAUAACAUCGAUCAGAGAAUUUUCCCGACCUCGUAAGUGCGGCAGGUGCGGUGCAACAGGACAUACUAAAAGAUUUUGUACAAGUCAGAUCCCUCUGCAUAACAACGUAACAGAUGUAUAAUUGAAGUAUAUGUAACAUUAUUUAUAAUAUUGAUAUUAAUUAUUCACGCAUAUUCUUAAUGUUAAUUAUUUAUGUUAAUUAUUAGAUUUAGUUUUUUAUUUUAAUAUUUCAUUAAUUAGUUUCGUAAUAUUUGAAGUUAAUCCUUUUUUUAAAACUCAGUGCGUUCUCCAUAAUAUACCCAAACAUUAUAAAUAAGUCAUGAAAUAUUUAAAUAAACACAUAAACUAAAAAUUAAAUAUUAAAUAUUAAAAAAUAAAAUAUGUUUUACAAUUAUUUCGUAAUUACAAAUAAAUAAAUGAAUGAAUGAAAUAUACAAUAUUUAAACGUUACAAUAUGUACAAUUAUUUUAAAGAAACACGGCUCAAUAUCUACGAAUCACCAUUAAAUUCAAAUAAAUCAUAAGCUAAUUUAUUUCUUCAAUUUUGUAUCCACACCUGGUUGAUUGCAUUAACCUUCUGUACUACACUAAAAAAUUCUAUGUACUUGAUAGCGAAUAUGCCGCAAUCAUCCCUACAAUUACAAAAUAUUGUAUUAGCACAUCACUUUCUAAUUAGAACGUAAGCUGUAAAUUACAAAAAUAAAAUAAUGAACACUUACGAUAUUUGUUGUCUCGCCGUCAUCGUGUCCUGCACGGUGGCUAGUCUAUCCUGCACAGUAAUGUUCGCUCGUCUAGCCAGCAUGAGGACGAUCACAGACAUCGAAUCCGGAAUUUGCUCGAGUUGACCUUGUGUCAGGCAUGAAUGAUCGGGAUCAUACACAUACAUAGUCAAGUCGGCGAAUACAAUCUCCACUGUAAUGUAGUGAUGAUUGACACACAUCGAAAUGUACAAAUGCGUACAACCCUCCCAUGACUUUCCCCCGACACUCGGCCACAUCCCUACGACCCACUCCACCAUGUAUGUAGGCACCAUGUAUUCGCUACCCAUAGCUUACAACGUCUGGUACUUAAUAUCAAUGACACGUAUGAACUCAGUGUUCAAUAUGAGUCCGUCAGGAAUGUUGAAUGAUCUUGGAUGUCAUUCAGCUCGAUCUCGUAGCAAAUCCAUGGCGAAAUCAAUAUAUUGCACUAGGAAGCACCAAUUAAAAAAGGAGAUAUUUAAUUUCAUAAAUGUAAAACUAAAAAAUAUGUAUACGUAAUAAAUAACAAGAUUAUUACUUCACUUACAUCAUCGGCGAGCCAAGCCCUCGAAGUUGUGAUGUCGUGAAACCACCUGUAAGCGUCCGAGAUCAUCUUAUGAGCAAUCCUGCGAUUGACUCUAAAAAUUAAGAAAAGAAAUUGUUAAGUAAAACUAUAGAUGUGUCAGUAUCUGCGUAAUGUACUAAUCCUUAACGAAUAAUACAAUACUUACCCGGGCAUAAGUGCUCUUCACUCCGCCUCGAACGCUUUCCACUUGGUGUGGUCCACCUUCUUGAAUAAAUUCGAGUGCGUGCCGUCGACGAACCAUCUCUUUUUCACCUCCGCGGUAAACGGAGAAACGAUGUAUUAUGAUGGUUCCCUCGGCCUCUUGCCGACCGCUAGCUUCGGCACAUCAACAGUACGUGAAACCCUCCCAAUAUCUGACACUCCCUCGCCUACCAUCGGGACCAUUUCUUUCGUCCCCUCCGACACAAAAACUACGUCCGACGAGUCUAGCGUCUGAUAUGGUACCCUCUCUGCCUCAGAUACCCCCUCCUUCUCUGGUACCCUCACGACCUCCUCCUCCAACACCUUGGGUACCCUCUCCACCUCCAACACCCUGACGACCUCCUCCUCCGACACCCUCCCGACCCCCUCCUCCUCCGACACCCUGACGACUUCUACCUCCGACACCCUCCCGACCACCGUCUCGAGUACCUCCUCCUCCUCCUGUACCCUCCCGACUGGUACCCUCCCGACCUCUUCCUCCGUCUCUAUCGGGGCCUGAUCCUCCAUCUCAUCUCCAUCUCCAUAUCUAUCAGGCCAUCGAGAUAUGAAUCUAAUGCAUCAUCCGAUGCCCACAACGAGUCAACAUACCCCGUCUGACCUCCUCGACCCUGAUAACCACCGGCCUCUCCGUCACCCCCUCCAUCCUGAUAGCCGCCUGCCCCUUUGUCCCGAUAGCCACCUGUCUCUCUGUCACCCCCUCCGUCCUGAUAGCUGCCUGUCCCUCCGCCACCCCUCUAUCCCGAUACUCGCCAGUCCCACGCAAGCCUACUAUGUCGCCCUGUAUCGCUACGACCUCAGCAUAAAGGUCUCCUAAAUCGACCUGUACCAUCUCGACAUCACGUCGUAAGUCAGCUACUUUGCCUCGUAAGCCAGCUACGUCGCCUCUGAUCUCCAUCAUAAGUUGGAACAUAUCAUCGAUGGAAGCACUCCGACUACGUGCAGUUGAUCCACGUGGGAGAUGUCCGGACGCAGGAGACGGUGAUCUCAUGCAGGGAGGUGACACUCUCGGCGGAGGUGAUCGCAUGUAGGGAGGGGACACUCUCGACGAAGGCGACAUCCUCGAGGAAUGUGACACCCUAGGCGGAGGCGACAUCCUCGAGGAAUGGUACACCCUCGGCAGAGGUGAUAGUCGACGACGCUCCUAAAAAAAGAAACAUUACAAAUCAAUAAUUUAAUUAAAAAAUUAUAACGACAAUCAACAUAUUAUAUUCAAUUAACAUACCGUGUCCCGAUCGACGAUGGACUCAGGUCUCUCUCGAGCAGCACGAUCUGUCAACAACUCACGAAUAUAAGUCUGAUCCUCCUCUUCGAUCGAUGGUGUCAGCUCAAUGAGGACUUCAAGCUGACAUAUUGACAUUUCAUCGAAUUACUGACCACGUAUCCAGUUUCGAAAAUGACAUACAACAGAAAGCGCAAAUAUAUAAUACGUACCUCAGGAUCGUCUGGGAUAACUGAUAGCUGUUUUGCAAGGGGUUUGUCUUGUGCUCGCCAGCGGUGCAUCCGAGGGAUGCAUGUAUCCCCUCUCUUCGCAUACCGACCAUCCAGGAUGGGAACAGUCUCGUAAACCCAUAUCUGCAACAAUUACGAUUAUUAAAUGUACAAUUUAAUAAAAAAAUGGAUAACUAAUUAUGUUAAACAUUUACCUGUUAUGUUAAACAUUUACCUGCAAAGCUAAUGGCAGGCCAUAUACAUCGUACUUACGCUAGGACCUAUCUCCCUUAGACAUUGAAUGCCCCCUCCUGAAGACGUGUAAAGUAUCGAAAAACAUCUCUCCCCCCACGAAUAGUUGUUGAACGUAUCGAUGUCAUCAACAACUUGCAAAUGAAAGAUGUCAAUCGACGUCUUCUUAUGAUGACAUCUCAGUAUGUCUCUAGUAUAAACACCAUCUCCAACUUCAACUUGUCGAACAUCUGGUUGAAUCCCCUGAAUGCAUCUCCUAACUAUGUCAGUGUCACUGUCGUGUGCCCAUUAAAAUAAUCAUUUAGCAGCCUCUUGUCUGUCGAAAUAUUGGCCCUCGCUACCUCUUCGCCCGUACAUCUCAAUCCAGUGAUGAGGGCAAACUCGAAUAUAGAAAAUGUAGCAACCUUGCCCCUAAGAUCAAAGUGGAGGGCAUCUCCAUCAACUGGCUUAAGCAGCCGACACAAUAAUGAAUCGAUCAACUGUCCAAAGAACUGUUUCGAUCGUAGUGAAUACAGGGGCCAUAGACAGGAUCGACGUAAUAUUUUUGCGUGCUCCUCAUCCAGUGAAUCUAACAAUGCUGUGAAAUUAGCAAAGUUACAGUUCGACGAAACUUUGCUAGGAACCCGUCUUAAGGCUGCGUUCAAAUAGUAAUCCAUCCUAUAAAAUUUCAAAUGUUAGAACAUUUGAAACAUAAUGUCACAAAAUUCAACUAACCGAACUGUAAGUAAUAUACGCACGAAAUAGCAGAUAAUAAAGAAAAUGAAUUAAAAAUUACACAACAACUUAUAAAAAAGGGAAAAACUAAUUUUUAUAAAAUUAUUUAUUUCAUAGUUUAUUUUAAUCCAUGUUAGAAAUUUAUUUCAAUUCUUUAUUUAAUUAAAUUUGAUUAUUUAUAUUUAAUUACAUAUUUAAAUAAAUUAUUUUGAAAAUUUAUAUUUCUUACUUAUUUAAAUUGUUUAUUUUUAUUUAAAUGUUCAUUAUUUAUUUCAAUUGUUUAUCUAAAUUAUUUAUUUCGAUUGUUUAUUUGUUUAUUAACAUUUAUUUUAAUUGUUUAUUGAAUGCUUAAUUUUAAUUAUUUAUUAUAAUUGUAUAUUUAAUUAUUUUCUUUAAAUUAUUUAUUGAACAUUUAAACGUAAAUAAGUAAUUAUUUGUUAUAUUUUUCUUUAGUUGUUUAUUCAAUAAUUAUUUUAAUUAUUAAGCGAAUAUUUAAUUAUUUAUUUUAAAUGUUAGAUAUUUAUUUCAAUUGUUUAUCUACAUUUUAAUUACUUACUUUGAUUAUUUUUAUCAAAUUAUUUUUCAUUUAAUUGUUUCAAUUGUUCAUUUAAAUUAUUUGAUUUAAUUAUUUAUAUUGAUCGAUUAUUUACAUUAUUUGUUGAACAAGAGCAAACACAAAUAUUUCAUUAUUUAUUUCAAAUGUUAGAAAUUUAUUUCAAUUAAAUAUUAAUUAAUAUUUUGAUUAUUAACAUUUAUUCAUUUAUCAUUUAAAUAAUCAUUUCAUUAUUAUUUAAAUGUUCAUUAUUUAUUUUUGUGUGUUCCAAUUAAUUAUUUAUUCCCAAUUGUUUUUCAUUUAUUUGUUUCAACUGUUCAUUUAAAUUAUUUGAUUUAAUUACUUAUAUGAAUCAAUUAUUUAAAUUAUUUAUUGAACAAGCAAAGGUAAAUAUUUAAUUAUUCAUUUCAAAUAUUAGAAAUUUAUUUCAAUCAAACUUUAAUUAAUAUUUUCAAUAUUAACAUUUAUUCAUUUAUCAUUUAAAUAAUCAUGUAAUUAUUAUUUAAAUGUUCAUUAUUUAUUUUUGUACAUUUCAAUUAAUUAUAUAUUCCAAUUGUUUUUCAUUAUUUGUUUCAAUUGUUCAUUUAAAUUAUUUGAUUUAAUUACUUAUAUGGAAAGAUUAUUUAAAUUAUUUAUUGAACAAGCAAACGUAAAUAUUUAAUUAUUUAAUUCAAAUGUUAGAAAUUUGUAUCAAUUAAAUUUUAAUUGCGUAUUUUGAUUAAUAACAUUUAUUUAUUUAUCAUUUAAAUAAUCAUUUAAUUACUAUUUAAAUGUUCAUUAUUUAUUUUUGUGAGUUUCAAUUAAUUAUUUACUCCAAUGGUUUUUCAUUUCAAUUGUUCAUUUAAAUUAUUUGAUUUAAUUACUUAUAUAGAUCGAUUAUUUAAAUUAUUUAUUGAAUAAGUAAACGUAAAUAUUUAAUUAUUUAUUUCAAAUGUUAGAAAUUUCUUUCAAUCAAUUUGUAAUUAAAUUUUAAUUGCGUAUUUUGAUUAUUAACAUUUAUUCAUUAUUUACACGUUUCUUUUAUCAUUUAAAUAAUAAUUAAAUAAUUAUUUAAAUAAUUAUUUAGCAACAUUUCAACUAUUUUAAUUCUCAUGGAAAAAAAUUAAAAUAAAAAAUUAAUACUACAGACUGCCCAGCUUGGCCAUCUGUUAACAAACGGCACAGCCCGUCUCUCUUCUGCCCGGAGAUCGUCAUUUUUGGCGAUCUCCGGCAACCAAACCCUAAAAAACUUACUUUUUACUAAUUUUACAUAUUCUACAAAUAUUUCUACCAUUAUUUCCAACAAAAUAAACCUUUAACAUUCAGGUUCAAAGAUUAAUGGGGGAAAAAAUAAACAAAACUUACUUUUUUCGCUUCUAAUGGUGGCCGGUCAGUCUCCUUCCAAGAAAAACUCGUCGGUUUCCUUGUUUUUUCCCCUUCUUUCUCCAGACGAUGGUUUGAGAGUGAAAUGUAAUGGGAAAUUUUGGGUUUUCAAUGUUUUUAAGGUUUUUACAAAUUUUUUGAAUUUUUUUUAAAUAGUAGUCAACGGCCAUUUUGGAAAAUUGUAUGUUUUUAAAUAGUAGUCAAUGUUUUUAAAAAGUUUAAACGCAUAAUUUUAUCUCUAUAGAAUACAAAAGGGUAGUCGAGUUUUAAAAUUGAUAUUAUCAAGUGAAUCACCAUUUUGGAAUUUCUUCGUAACAUGUUAACGUGAUUUGUAACCCAAGCCCUUAUAUGUUGUUCAUUAUUUUUAUAUUUAACUCAUGCACAUAGAAUUUUCUCCUUAAAUUUCACUUACAACAUGAUGAUUUUGAGAAGACUAAUCUUAGAAACUUAUUAUUCAUUUUACCCUUAAAUUAAUCGAAUUACACGUUUGCGCCUUUUAGCUCUAAACUAGAAUAUUCAAUCUUGAGGUUCUAUCUUAAAAAUUCAACAUUGUCCAUAAAGACACUCAUAUCUUAAUUAUGUAGGAUUCUACAAUUUUACUCUUAUAAACUCAUUUCAGCAGGAUUCAAUAUUUUCACUUCUUUAUAACAAUUUCUUCGGAAAUCAAUAGUAUCAAUUUGCAAACAUUUUAAAUAAUUCUGUCUUGUUUUUUUCUUUUGUUUCUUCAAGCUUCACCCAUUCAUCCAUAAAAUAAUAUAUUCUCUGUAUGAAAUAAGAUGUCAUUUUCUUCCCUUGGAUGAAAAAUAUACAUCAAACUUUUUAAAAAUUAUAAUAUACAUUGCCCAAUAUCUAGACACAUAUUCUAUAUAUAAAAAAUGAUGUCAUUUUCUUUCAUUUUGAUAAAACAACACUAAACUUCCCAAGAAUUAUAAUAUAUAUUACCUUAUUUUUAGAUUGAUUAUAAAUUUAAGUAUUUUUCAAUAUAUAAGCACUUCCUUAUCACUGUCCUUACAACCUCAAAAAACCAAAAAAUGUUAGCACUAUCACCUCCUAUAUUUUCAAACAUGGGAUGUUUUACAGAAGAUCCCAUUUCCAGCCAUGAACACAACAAUAUGUACACAGAAACAAAAGGUUUAGAGUCCACAAGUUUUGGUGAAAAUGGUACAAAUUUGAAUUUCAUAAAGGCAAAAAAACUUGAUCAUAAUGCCAGUGAGCGUAAUCGUCGUCAAAAGAUGAACAGCUUAUAUUCUUCUCUUCGUUCUUUGCUUCCAGCUACAGAUCAAACGGUACGUCAUCAUAUUGAGUAAGUAAUUGAACAGACCUUACUUAAGUUGCAUAUGUUGAGAUCCAUUUAUAUAAAAAGUUGAAAUUGUGCGAGAGACCACAAAUUUAUUUAUUUAAAUUUUGUGUUCAAUGUGGCGCAUAAGGUGGAAUCCCGAUUCACGAUUAUUUUUUCUUAACAAAAGUACAUGAAUAAUUUUCAUAAAUGAGUAGAAUCGAAAAUUAAAUUCAAGAAUUUUGAAAAGAUACCAUAACCACUUCAUCUAAAAACUUAUAUUAGUUGAAAGGAGACAAAUUUUAAGUAUUAAACUAUUACGUAUAACAUCACAAACUAAAUUCAGUUUAUUCAUUAAAGAAGUGAGGACGUAUGGAUUGUUUUGUAAUUCGGCAGUCAUCAGAUUUGAACUUUGUAUUUUGCCAACUCGCAUUUGAACCCAUUAAAGAAGUGACAAAUUUUAUGUAUUUAAAUUUCUUCUGAGAGAAUUUUACUGCUUAGGAUCUUUUAUCCUUGAAAUUUUACAUAUUCAUCAGUUCAUUUCAAGAGUUCAAAGAAUGUCCAUAAGAAGUCUAGAUCAAAUUUGAUGAAAAACUUGGCUUUUUAGACAUAAACCACAGAAAAAAUUAAGCAUCCCAGCCACUGUUUCUCGUCUCCUAAAGUACAUACCAGAGCUACAAAAGGAAGUGGACAGGCUGAUUCAAAAAAAAAAAAAAAAAAAAAGAAGAACUUUUAUCAAUCAAAUCCAGGAAAGAAGACUUCAUUUACCAUGAAAGUGUCGAAACAAGGAUCGUUUUCGAAACAACAAAAAAAUCGCAAAGGACUAAGAUCAAAAACGUAAAUCUGAACUUAAAGCAGUAAGAACACAAAGCGAUUUUUCGGCCGAAGCCCUGAGGUUCAGCGAUUGGUUAAAUCGCCUAGUCCCCAUUGAGCAUCCACAAGGGAAUAAGCUCGAAUCCACUAAAUCAAACGGCCAAAUACAGCAAAAGUGUCAAGAACACACCGGAACACAAAGUUCCAAUCACAGCACCAUAAAUCUCUCAGUACAUAAACGAACUCACACAAGAGUUCAAAAAUUAACUCUCACUCAAGGAUCUACAAACAGAUCACAAGAGAGAAUCUACAAAUUACAGAGAGAACACGAAGGAUAAAGGAAACUGCAGCCCAGAGAAAAAAAAUGAGAAGUGUGUGUUCCCAAUAUCUCAAACCCUAGUAACAAUAAUAAUUGAUCUACGCAAAUCAGAUCCAACGGUCCAUAUUGCACCAGUUGCAGCUAUGUACUCAGCCUCGGUUGAGGACAAUGCAACUAAUUUUUGAAACUGGGAUUUCCAGCUAAUGCAUGUGUCAUUUAUGACAUAAAAGUAUGCAGUUGUAGACUUCCUAUUGUCUGGGUUUCCAGCAAAAUCUGAAUCUACGUACCCCUUAAGUAUAAGUCCAUUUUUAUUUGUUUUGAACAUUAAACCUAAGUUACAUGUUCCUUUUAAAUACUUAAUCAGAUUUUUCAUGCAUUGCCAAUGUAUUUCACCUGGGUUACUCAUAAACCUACUUAAUACACUCACAGCAUAAGCAAUAUCAGGUCUAGAGCAAACCAUAACAUACAUCACAGAUCCAACAGCAUUAGAGUAUGGAACGUUCAUCAUUCUUUUAUGUUCCUCUUCAGUUUUAGGUGAUUGAUCAACAGACAGUUUCAUUCCAGCAGAUAAAGGCAAAGUGACAGGCUUAGAUUCAUGAAGGGAAAAUCUUUUAACAACCUUAUCAAUAUAAGAUUUUUGUGAUAGAAACAACUUUCCAUUUUUCCUAUCUCUUUUUAUUUCCAUGCCCAAUAUCUUUCUAGCUGAUCCUAAAUCUUUCAUCUCAAAUUCAGAUUUCAGAUUUUCUUUAAUAGAGUUAAUUGCAUCAGAAUUAUGACCAGCAAUGAGCAUAUCAUCAACAUACAACAACAGAUAGAAAAAAUCAGACUCAUUUUCUUUCUUAUAAUAGAAACAGGGAUCAUAAUCAGACUUCUUGAAGUUCAGGCCUUGUAUAAAGUAGUCAAAUCUUUUAUACCAUUGCCUAGGGGCCUGUUUCAGGCCAUACAAGGAUUUUUUUCAAGAGACACACUAAGUUUCCCUUACCAGACACUUCAAACCCUCUUGGUUGAGUCAUAUGUAUGGUUUCAUCUAAAGAACCACACAAGAAGGCAGUUUUCACAUCAAGUUAUUCUAAUUCCAAGUCAAAUUGUGUCACUAUAGCAAGUAGGACUCUAAUGGAUGUAUAUUUAACAACUGGUGAAAAUAUUUCUUUGUAAUCUAUCCCUUCCCUUUGAUUAAAACCUUUGGCUACUAAUCUAGCUUUGUAUCUUUUAUCAUUUGCCUUAGUCUCACCCUCUUUAAUCUUAUAAAUCCAUUUGCAGUCAAUUAAUUUUCAAUCUCUGGGUUUUUCUACUAGAAUCCAGGUUUCAUUCUUAAGGAGUGAGUUCAUUUCAUCUUCCAUUGCGGCAAUCCACUUAGAGGAUUCCUUGGAAGAAACAGCCUCUUCAUAAGAGGCAGGUUCUAAUUCUCAACAAAUUUGUCACUAAGACAAGGGAAUUCAUUUUCAUUAAAGAUAACAGAUCUGCUUGUUAUCACCUUAUAACCCCUCACAUCUCUUAACCACAAUCUAUAACCUUUUACACCUUCCCCAUAUCCUAAGAACACACCCUUUAAUGAUCUAGGGUCCAAUUUUGAUUCAAUAUGAUGUGCAUAAGCAGCACAUCCAAAGGUUCUUAGGUGGGAAUAAUCUGGCAUUGUACCAGACCAGAUUUGUUCAGGAAUUCUGUUAUUUAGUGAGUUGGAAGGACACCUAUUGAUUAGAUAACAGGUAGUUUUCACGGCCUCACCCCAGAAAAUUUUUGGGAGGCCAGAACUAAUUAGCAUGCACCUAGUCCUCUCGAGUAUUGUUCUAUUUAGCCUCUCAGCAACCCCAUUUUGUUGUGGAGUGUAGCUCACGGUUUUAUGUCUCAUUAUCCCUUGUUUACUACAAUAUUGAUCAAAUUCAGUAUUGCAGAAUUCAAGGCCAUUGUCAGUUCUUAAGACUUUUAUCUUCUUACCAGUCUGAUUUUCAAUCAAUACAUUCCAUUCUUUGAAAAUUGUAAAAGUAUCAGACUUAGAUUUUAGUAAGAAAAUCCAUGUUUUUCUUGAGUAAUCAUCAGUUGUAAGAAGAUAGUAUCUGUAACCAGAUACAGUAGAAAUUGGUGCUGGUCCCCAUAAAUCAGAGUGUAUGUAUUCAAGGACAUCUUGGGUUUUGUGUAGCCCUGCCUUAAAAGGCAGUCUGACUUGUUUCCCCAUAAUGCAGUGUUCACAGAAAGUUAAUUUUUGAACACUGUCAUUCCCAAAUGCCCCUUGAUAUGAUAGAGUUUUUAAACCUUUUUCACUUAAGUGGCCAAGUCUUUUAUGCCACAGUUCUGAUUUAUCGGAAUUUGUGACUGAAUUCACAGAAUUUUUUGGUGAAAUUAUUUCAGCACCUAUUAUAUAUAUCCCAUUAAGUUUAGGUGAACUGACAAUGAAUUCUUGAUUUCUUGUUAUACUUGUAUACCCAUUUUUAAUACCAAUUUGGUAAUUUUCAUCAUCAAUAACUCCUAGGGAUAUGAGAUUUCUUCUAAGAGCUAGAACAUAUCUAGUAUGUUUUAGUAACAUAAGAUGACCAUUUUUAAAUUUCAACAGCACAUUCCCAAUUCCUUUUACUUGGCAUGACUUAUCAUUUCCAAGUUUUACAAAUCCCCCAUCCAGACUACUAAAGUCUGAAAUACAGCUUAUAUUUGGUGUCAUGUGGAAGGAUCAUCCUGAAUCCAGGACCCAGUCCUGAUCAGUAUUUGCAGAUAGAGACACAUAGGCUACUCCUAUAUUAGCUCCUGCUUCUUUAUAAUUAGCAGCAGCUAAGGUAGCAUUUUCUGUAUUAGACCCAUUCUUUUGGUCAUUAGCCCUUUCAAAACAGUCUUUAAUGAAAUGGCCUGUUUUACCACAAUAAAAACAUUUUCUGUUAUUGCUGUUCGCUUUUCCUUUAACUUGUUUCUUCCCUUUUCCUUUGGUGUUAUUCCAUUGUUUUUUGUUAAAAUUUUUGUUCUUAUUAAAAUUGGAAUGACUGAAGUUGCUUACACCUUUAGCAUUUAGUUUUUGAUUUGAUGAAACACCCUCAACAUGGUAUAUAUCCUUAUGUUCAGAUUUUAAUUCCAGUUCUUUAUUCAGUAGUGAACUGUGAAUUAUUUCAACAGUAAGAUCACUCCUACCAUACUCUAGAGCAUUUCUGAUAUCUUUAUAUUUGUCUCCUAGAGCAUUUAGUAGACCAACUACCUUCUGUUCAUCAGAGAUCUUCUCAUCACAAUUAGCCAAGUUUUGUGUGAUCCUAUUAAGCCUAUCCAUAUUGUCUCCUAUAUCAAGGUUAGGAUCAAACUUAAAGCUAAAGAACUGUCUCCAAAGAAAACAUUUGUUUGGGACAAUUUUAGUAAGGUAGUGUUUUUCUAAGGCAGUCCACAAUUCUACAGCUGUCUUAGUCUCUCUUACUUUCCUAAUCACAUUGUCAGAUAAGUGUAGGAACAAAGUGCUCCAAGCUAAUUCAUCUUGUUCAGUUUUCCUGGCCUCAGCCAUGGUUUCUGGCCAAGAUUCAUCAGUAGCUUUAGCACAUUUCAACUGUAACAUAAGUGCUUUUAUUUUCUGACGCCAGAGACUAAAGUCUCCUUUGCCAUCCCAAACUUGGACAUCUACCUUAGAGUUCAUGAUGUAUACUAGUGUAAGAUAUCUACAACUUAUGAUAACAGAGGUGUAUCAAGGUAUUUAUUCAGUCAACAGUAUAUCACAAAAGGUCACUGUCAUAUUCCAAUUUCUGAUUUUCAGUUAGUGCAUAAGUGUGACAUGUACAGGAGAUAUAACACACAAUUUAAUGCACAAUUAGUAUACAAUUCACUAAACAUGCAAUGGAAUAUAGAAGUACAAACUUACACACAGUAAGCUAUAAAGUAUAGUAGAUGCGAUGUAUGUACCUUGAUUGCAAUUAAACUCAGGAAUUUAACACCUGAGAAAAUCAACUUGAGUAUUAGUACAAUUCACACAGAAUGUACAACUAUUUGAUUAAGGAAAUAGAAUUAGGGAUCUAUUUUUCACACACACAGUGAGAAAAACCAAACAGUUUUUCAAAAAUUUACAGGUUUUUUGAACCGAAGCUCUAGUCCCCAAAGUUUCUAGGCUUCUCUCAGGAAACCCUAGACAGAGGUAGAGUUAGGGGAGGUUCAAUGAAACCCAAGGUUUUGAAAAAAAAAUUUAUUUCCAGAAACAACACCCCUUUUUAAAAUUAUAUGUAUCAACAAUCAGGUUAUGCAAUACUCAAGGAUUAUAAUACACUGCAGUAACCAAGAAUCAAGAACAUGUACUUCUUUCAACAAGAUCACAACCCCUGACUACGGAACACAAAGAACUGCAGAUUUCAGAAGGGGCACCAAGGGAUUUAUACGGUUUUUGAACCAGCAAUAACCACAAGAAAAUAUAUAUAUAUAUAUAUAUAUAUAUAUAUUUUUUUUUUUUUUUUUUUUUUUUUUUGUUAAAACAAUUUUAAAACAGAAACAGGCAGAAGAAAAAAAAUCUUUCAGAAAGGAUCAACACCAAAACUCGAAGGUGUAGAAGUGCACUAAAUAGUGCCAAACUUCGAUCGAACACUGAGUCGAACAUUCCUCAACAGGAAAUGUUGGCAGAUCUUGAAGAUCUGCUGUUUUAUCUUUGGCCGGCGAUUAGGGUUUUCAAACCCGUAACUAAAAGUUUGAAAACCAAACAAAAAAUUUCCAACAGAGCUCUGAUACCAUUGUAGAAACAAGGAUCGUUUUCGAAACAACAAAAAAAUCGCAAAGGACUAAGAUCAAAAAUGUAAAUCUGAACUUAAAGCAGUAAGAACACAAAGCGAUUUUUCGGCCGAAGCCCCGAGGUUCAGCGAUUGGUUAGAUCGCCUAGUCCCCGUUGAGCAUCCACAGGGGAAUAAGCUCGAAUCCACUAAAUCAAACGGCCAAAUACAGCAAAAGUGUCAAAAACACACCGGAACACAAAGUUCCAAUCACAGCACCAUAAAUCUCUCAGUACAUAAACGAACUCACACAAGAGUUCAAAAAUUAACUCUCACCCAAAGAUCUACAAACAGAUCACAAGAGAGAAUCUACAAAUUACAGAGAGAACACGAAGGAUAAAGGAAACUGCUGCCCAGAGAAAAAAAAUGAAAAGUGUGUGUUCCCAAUAUCUCAAACCCUAGUAACAAUAAUAAUUGAUCCAUGCAAAUCAAAUCCAACGGUCCAUAUUGCACCACGUGUCGCAGAUCAGGGGUAAGUUGCUAUUUCAAUUCAUAAAACACGCUUUUAUCAUUUAACAACCAAUUCCAGAUCCUUCUUACUGUUGGGCUUGAACCGGGUCAGGUAAGUUGGGAUGGACCAUCACAGAUAAAACAGCAACCCAAUAACACUAACAGAAAGCUUGAGAGAUGGUUCAAGCCAAAGCUCAUCUACAUCUAAUGUUUCUGUAAGGCCAGUCGGUAAUGGAGAAAUCUUAAUACAGAUAUCCUCAGCUGAAGUUAGAAGGAUUUUAGUAUCAGAGGUUUUAAAAGACCUAGAGGAGAAUGGCAUGGUUUUACUCAAUGCAUCUACUUUUCAGUCAGCAGGAAUGAUCUUUUAUUACAUGCACUUUCAGGUACAAUUUGUGUAUAUCUGAUUGCUGUCAUUCAUUUUUUCUUUGUGAACUUUAUGAGAACAUGUUAUACUUGAUCUGAUACCUAAGAAUCUAAGCACAACAUGGGUGGAAUAUUUCUAGUAUUCGGGACAUACGUGAUCUUUAGUCAAUAAAAGAAACUAGUUUGAUUGAUUCGGAGCUAAAGAAAAAGCAAACUCUCACUUUAAAUUUAUGUGUCCUUGCCAUAUUAUUAUUGUGUGUCAUGUCAAAUAUUGUUUUGAUUUGUCCUCGCUUUCAUAGUUUUUCUUUGUUUCAAAGUAGGCCGACAGAGGUCUAAACUGGGGAUAUUUCAUCCUAAGGUAAAAUAUGGCGCCAUUGUCAGUUAUAACUUAAAAGCUUCGUUAUAACUAGGAAGAAACGCGAUUAGAUAGUUGAACUGGCCACAACUUGACCCAAUUUGCUGGUUGCCAUCGUUUAUAAGAUGAAAUAGAAAAUCUUCUUGUAAGGAUAAUUUAGAAUCGUCAUUUAAGAUUCUAUUAUAUUUAAUAUUCUUGACAUUUUAGAAUAUUUAUGGAUAUUUUCCCCCCCAUAUUGAUGAAAAUCAACUUAAUUAUGCUGUAAGUCUUCCACGUGUAUACUAUUUAGUUCUUUAGUUAAUUUUUUAUUUUUAUUGAAUCUAGAUUGAAUAAAAACAAAAUAAUUAGUUCUCCAAUUAACCAUACAUUUUCAAAUUUAAUCAUGUUACACAAAUAUAAUGUUAGCAUAAUCUUUAACAUAAUGCCAUAUGACAACUAAUCAUUGAAUUAUUUAAAACAUAAUGAACUUUUUAAUCAAAUUAAAUCACGUCAACACAUAUUUUGUCACUCUCUCUGUUACACACUUUCUGGCACAUGGGUAUUAUUCCUUCAAAUUAGCCCGUCUGGGAAUGCUAUUUUUUGCACUAUCAUGUGGUUUCCCUUUUGCAUUAUCAUGUGGUCUAGUCAAAUCACUUUUUGGAUUUUACUCUCAAUCCGAUUUUAUAAUUUAGUAUUAAAGGUAACAAUUGAUUCAACCUCUUUUUUUAACUAAUUCAAAGGGAAGUAAUGACAAUUUACAUGAAUUUAAUGAAUUCAACCACCUCGUUUACAUUGCCUCUGGGAACUACACAGAAAUAAUGGAAUAAAAAAAAUUUAACAUGCAUAGUGGUUUCUAUCAAAAUCCGAUAAAAUUCAAAGAUAAAAUUGAUACUAGACAAGGGCUCAAUGUGACGCAACACGAAAUAAGGAAUUCAAGUGAAAACUUUAAAAACAAAAAUUUGGAAUCCACUAGAGAAUGAAAGAUAAAAUCAAGAAGUUUUAUAUGUGCCCAAAUCUGAGUUUGAACGCCAAACUUGCAAUUUACCCUUUUAUCCUUUUCAAUCUAACUGUUCUUCAAUCCACUCGAUCAUCUGUUCUACAUCAUAAUGUCAUGUCCUUAUUGUAAUUUCGUCGCCACUCCAAACCUCCCCCCCCCCCCCCCCCCCACACAUAUUUCUUCCCCCCCCCCAUAUAGAUAGUUUACAUAAAACCUAUAAUGUCGUGGAAAUCCAUAAUAAAUCAGAAUUUUAUAUAAACCAAAUCCCAUGAAUUUUUUACGACUAAUUUCAGAAAUUCAUCUUGUUUAUAUCAUUGCAAUUUACUAAUAAAUAUUUUUUUUUCAUGUUGUUCGGUGCAAGGGAACCCUAGAUUGGAGCUUCCAAUAUUAAAGGAAAGGCUUAUGUUCUUAUUAUUUGAGAGAGUGAAUUGACAGUGUAUAUUGAAAGUUUACUUACAUGUAAAUUUGCUUACACUUAAUAUUGAAAAAAGUAAUCAAUUUUUUCUUUCUUUUAUAUAUAUAAAUUCAGAACGAAUAGUUACUUGAUUUAAUGUAUUAAUUAUUUUAGGAAGGUCAUGUGUUCAAGGUAAAGUUAUUCAAAUAUAUUUAGAAACAAAAAAUUACUUAUAAAUGACUGUAACUUUUACUUAUUCUAAAAUCUAGCCAAAUAUGCUAAAUAUGAAAAAAGUUCAUCCUCAAUCUUCCACUUGAUUAUUAAAAAGAAAAAGAGUAAAACAUGAAGAAUCAAUUUUCAGAAAACAAAAAGUAUUCCUUUUAGGCUUGUCGAGGAAGAUCAACGUCAAACAAAAAAAAAAAAAAAAAGGGUCAAUGUCAUGGACAUUUUGACCCCUUUUUUCUUUUUUUUUUUAUAAAUGGUAAUCAGCAUAUUUAAAAAAAACCAAAAAAAAAAAAAAAAAAAAAAGGGUCAAUGUCAUGGACAUUUUGACCCCGUUUUUCUAUUUGUUCUUAUAAAUGGUAAUGUGUCUCACAGCCAAGAAAUUUUUAUGAGAGGCCUUUUGAUUUUGAAUGAGGUAGAUUAAAAAUAAAACCUGUGGGAAGGAAAUAAAUAGAUCCACUCCACUGAGUCAUAGACAUUCUUUUUUCGUUCGCUAUUAAUUAUUUGUCGUGAAAUAUCAAUGCUUGACAAACAAAGUGUUUCUAAGAAUUUUCCUAGCUACCAUCACUACAGUCUUUUAAAAUAGUAGUGUAUAUAUCAAUUAACUUGUAUAUAUAGAGAAAAAUAUUUUUAUAAGAAAAACAAGCUCGUUGAUCUAUUAAUAUCACUCUAAACAAAUAUAUAAUAACAAAGAGAGUCUAGCAUUGUAUUGGUGGGCUUAGGAAAUUACCGUGUUCUAAAAGGUAGAUGUAGGCAAGUCUAAGCGAGUGCCUUUUAUAUGUCAAUUGAUAUUUUCUUAUCUUGAAGUCUAGCCAACAACUUGCUCAAUUGUUAAAACUUAACAGGAAAUCGUCAAACAAGAAAUCCACCCUAGCCCAAAUUAGGAGUGGGCAUUUUUGUGGGAACUGGUUGGUCUGACUUUGAUACCUCUACUAAAUGGAUCGAUGGUGGGACCGUACAUCGAGAAUCGAUCGAUUUUAAUUUGAUUCUCGAUAUUGCCUUGAAAACGAUAGUUGAAUUUGGUUUUCCCAAAUUUCUGUGAUGGUGCAUUGCACCUAGACGCACCAAAUAUUUGAAAAGCCUUCUUAUUUUCUUUAUAGCGAAGACUAAUGGAUAAUUAAAAUCUGAAUCCAAAUAAUUCACAAAUUCAUAACUUUAAAAGGAAAAAAAAUAUAUUUCUAGUUCAAUCUUGCGUAAAACUCAAAUUUCUUAUUGCAUCCAAACUGGCCAACCAUUAAGAUUCACGAUCUUCUCCUUGAAGAUUAUUGAAGAUAAUUAAGUUAUAAAUAUUACUGGUACUUUUCAAUAUAUAUUGUUAUGUGUUUUUUAAAGAAUUAAUUUUCUACCCAAAUUUUACUGUUUAUGAUGACAUUUAAUAGUUUAUCAUUUUUUUCUGCCUUUAUCAGUUCAUCUUAAGCCUUGGAGUUAAAUUUUUGUAUGUUUCCUUGUGUUAAUUGAAUUUUUUAUUAUUAGAUUAUAAUAAUGACAAUUGGUUUAAUAAUCUAUUUUCAAUAUGAUAAAUAGUUUCAUACUUCAUUUUUAUAUUUUUUUAAUAUAAAGAACUAGACUUAAGGUUGGACAACAUUCCCUAACCGAACCACCCCGGACCGAACCCAAACUGAAUCGAAGCCAGCGAUUUUUCAUAAGUUAAAUACUCGAAUGUGUAUUCGAAUCGAGAAUCGAUGGAUUUGGUUCAAUUCUCGGUUCUAGAUUAAGAAUCGAAGAACCAAAUAAGUACAAAAUCUCCCUAUUUUUUUACAAUUUAUUUACUUUACACAAGCCAAAUUAUUUUAUUUUUUUCUAAAUAAAAUUUGCUAACUGUUUAAUUUAACUCAAACCCAAAAAUAUGAUUUUCCUAUUUCUAAUUUUCAAUUCAAGCCCAACUUGAUCAAAUUAAUCUAAGUUUUACCAAAAUAUGUUGUUCUACCAUAGUGAAGUUUUUACCGUUCUGAAAAUUUUGAAUUGAAACUAGAUAACGCCUCUCUUGUGCACAAGGCUUCUUGUUGUGUUGGCAUAUUGACUUCGGGAGUGAAAACGAGGUCGGGAUUGCCUAGAAUAUUUGUGAGCUUGUUAACUUCCUCUGUGAUUUAAUAAUCAAAUUUAAAAGCUCAGCAAAGAGAGAUGUAAAAGACAUAUAAGAUUGGAUUACAUUAUUUUUAAGAACUAAAAUUGAAUGUGUCAUUAGUUGAAUUAAUGUAACUUUGUAAAUAUGAAAAAAUAUAAUUGUAGUAAAGAACUCGGGAACCGAAUGGAGCCAAAUCAAAUCGAAUUGAACCGAAUGGAAUCAAACCCGAGUUGUUUCAUAAAUAAAUUUGGAUUUGACGGUUCCACUUACUUAAUAUCCGAAAAUUUCGGGUCUAGUUCGGUUCUCGUUACAAUCAAACCGAAUCGAACCAUAUCCAACCCUAACUAAACUGGACCGAAUCUCAACCGGUUGGUUCAAUUUCAAUUUGGUUCCAUAAUUAGAUAUAGAAACAAUGGUUCUAUUUUUAAAAUUUUCAUUGGCACUCGAUUUUGUCAAGUUACUUUCAGAAUUAGAUCGAAUCAGACUAUAUUCACUCCUAACCCAAAUUCAAACUCUAACGCAACUCAUAAAGGCACAAACAUAGUUUAUCUCUGUUCAUGAGCAAAUCAUUACUAGUUUGGGAUAUUUAUGAUUUUAAAAAUAUAUAUGGUAUUCCUUUAAAGUUUCACGGUAUGCAUUAUUUUAUUUAUUUAUUUAUUUAUUAUUAUAUAAUGAUCAAAUUAUAUAAAAAAUAGAAAUUGUAUACUUAAGUUUUGUCGUGCCUAGACUCGUAAGACUUGAGGAUUGACAUCGACGUCUUACAAGAAAUAGUAGCCAAAUGAAAAAUGACAUCUUCUUCAUUGUAUGGUUGGAUUGGGAUUCUUCUCUCUCAUUUUUCACUGAUUGGAGUAGGACAUUUAGGCCCAUGAAGAAAAGGCCCAUAUUUUAGAGAUGGGCCUUUGAUUAAUGGGCCACACGUAUAGUGCUUGUGUGGGUGGCCUGAGGUGGGGUGGCCAUGACAACAAUUCCAAAAUGGCCAGGUUCACCUGGCUCAAAACAGAAAUAACCUUGAGUAAAUUCACAUUGAAAUUGAUGUAUACACAUCUUGUCUUAAUUUUCACAUUACAGUAUUAUCACAUUUUAAUUGACCAUGCACAAGAAUAUUUGAUGUCCUGAAAGCAAGUUUAAUCUGGACAAUCUUUUGCUCUAAGAUCAAUGUCUCAACGUAACCACUGAGAUAAAACUAUAAUAUAUUGCUGUUUGAUUUGUGUUGAUGUCAAGUAAGACAACCAUAUUUUGAGAUUAUAUUGAAAAGAACUUGAUAAACAAAAUGCUCAACUGACAACUCGUCAAGUAAGACAACUAUCUUUUGAGGAACGAUUGAAAAGAAAUUGAUGAACAAUUUGAUCGACUCAUUGGCAUGUCACCUAAAGAUAUUUAAAAGACGAUGUCUGUCUGCUUGGAUCUCAUGUUGGUUUUCCUCCAAGCUUGUUUCAUGAAACUUAAGCCAACAACAUUUCAGAUGUGACUACUAUAUGCAUGUUCUAUGGCAAUAUUGAUCAUGUGAAGACAUGAAAAAAAUGUUGAAAUUAAGUACAUUCUCUACAAUCUAGUAAUAAAAAAAAGUUGAGAUUAGCUAUUUAGACAAUAAGGAGCGAAACUUAACUUAAGGCUCUCUCUCUCUCUCUCUCUCUCUCUCUCCCCCCCCCCCCCCCCCCCCCCCUCCCCNNNNNNNNNNNNNNNNNNNNNNNNNNNNNNNNNNNNNNNNNNNNNNNNNNNNNNNNNNNNNNNNNNNNNNNNNNNNNNNNNNNNNNNNNNNNNNNNNNNNNNNNNNNNNNNNNNNNNCCCCCCCCCCCCCCCCCCCCCCCCCCCCCCCCCCCCCCCCCCCCCCCCCCCCCCCCCCCCCCCCCCCCCCCCCCCCCCCCCCCCCCCCCCCCCCCUUAUCGUGAAGGUAAAUUUAAAACUUUCUACUCCCACUUGUACUCAGAUUUUCAAAUUAUUAGACGGGGUAAUGAAAAGUUCAUAUUACAAUUUUGGUUGUUUUGUCGAUAUUAAUACAUAAAAUUUCAUGAGAUAUGGAUGACUAUUAUAUAUAUAUAUGUCACAAUACAAUAAAAUACAAUCGCUUUUUUCAUACAUUAACAAUACAAUAAUUAUUGUAAUUUUAGCUGAAUCCGUAAAUUAUAUAAUAGUAUGCCCUUAUUUGAUCUCCAUUUUUUAAAUCUUUUUUUUUUUUCAAAUUCAUUUUUAGUUAUGUUUCUCAUGGGGUUUUCAAUUUUUAUGUACUUUUUAACUACACGUUUAAUCAAUUUUUAUCAAAAUUGAGUUAAAACCUAAUUUUUAGCAAAACCAAAUGAGGGCUAUAUGUCACCCUCAUCUUAGACUCUAAAUAGGACUUAUUUUUGGUAAUUAUAAUUACUCAGAUGCAUGAAUAUGGUAGAGUCUCAUGACAGUCCACAGAUGCAUUGUUAUUCCGCGGCAUCCUAAGCCAAUCACGUUGGAGCUAAUAUGUUGGUUCGUAAACCAUUCACUUAAUUUACGACAUUUUUCUCUUAAAAUAGUCAUCAUAACUUAGAAAAGUAGUGUUAUGUGUCGACUUUUCUACAGUGUGACAUUGAACUCGCAAGAAAAUGACUUCUCCAAAGCAGCACACAUACCUACCCUGGCUGUGUAUAGAAAUAAAAGUACAAGCAGUAAAGAAAAUGAUGUUUCAAAGGAAUAAAAAAUGAUCAAAUCAUUCUUAUUUUUGAUAAAUAGUAGGCUGCAACUGAAUAUGGACAUGACAAUUAGUUUAUUUAGGUUAAGAAUAAAAACAAUACUGCGUUAAUAAUUCUCGAGGCAGAAAAUAGGGCCAAAAAAUAUAUAUAAUUACCGAAAAAGUUGCCAUUUCUUACAGUGUGAUUGUUCAUGUACCAGCAAUGUUUCUAGAUUAAUGCUGCAACAAUUUUAUACCGACACCCACCCCUGAAGGCCCACCCAUAAAAACAUUUAAAAGGAAAAUACAGUCAAAGGGUAAAAUUCGAAACAUAAAAGUCAAAUAUCAGUGAUAUGGUAAAUUUUUAUUUGAAAAUCAACAAACAAAAUAUGUCUACACCAAAUUAAUGGUACACAUGUGAGCAAGUAUUUAGGUUAAAAAGUUUUUAUAUAUCAUCAACUCUCCGUCUGAUAUAGUGUCGAGAUCGUUAUGCAUAUUGUGUAGGUCGAAAACUUAUUUAAAAUUUCUAAAACCUUUAAGACCAAGAUGUUGGGGGUUGAGACGUCGAUUCUGGUAUCCUCAUGUUACUAACUUUUUUGAAAGAAACACUAACUAGCUAUUUGGAUCUUGAUUUAAUUAAAUAUAUAGGAUGAAAUACGAGAUAAAUAAAAUUAAUAUUGACAAGGCCAUACAGAUUAUAAGAUAUUAAAUAAAACUAAAUCCCAAAAAGUCUUUAAAAUUACUAUUUGAAAAAAAAAAUUCACAAUGAAGUUAAAUUAAUUUAAAUUACUCCUAAUAUGGGAAAAUCUUUCAGUUACAAAUCCUUUUAAUCAGAUAGUAUUCUCUAUCUAUUUAUUAUCGUACCUAUUUUAUUAUAACAUAAGGUAUCUUUUUUGUUCUUUCGAGAACCUAACACAUAAUAGCUGGCCUUGGUGGCAUGCAUUUUAUCGGGGAAAAAAUAUGAGUACAGGGUUUGUUUUAAUAGAUAUUUUACAAUGCAGCACCUGAAUGGCAGACCUUUUUUUUUUUUUUUUUCCUUUCCUUUCUGGCUAACUAAAGUAAUCUUUGUAAGAAUAGCAUGACUCUUAUUAUCGGCGCCCAUCAUUUCAAAUCCAUAAGGGUGAUUUGGAAGGGGUUGUAUCUAAAUUAGAUAUGGAAAUAAACUCUUGCAUAUUUAUUUUCUUAAUCUUAACUGAAUUUUAACUUACCAUACCAAAUGUGUUGUUUUUAUAUUUAUAUAUUUGUAUUUACUGAAGCUCAAAAAUUAAUUGUAAACUAAAUUAUCUAUUUUGUUUGUUAAAGUUAAAAUAUUCUUAGAAUUGAACAACUAUUUGAAGGUCAAUCAUAUCAUUCCGUGUAUAGGUAAAAAGUAGAUUACUCUUAAUUAUAAUUUAUUUAAAGUAAGUUGAUAAAAAUGUUGGACUUGUCUAAAUGCAUGAAUUUAUCAUAUAAUUGAAAAUGACAAAAUGGAGUUGGGAACAGAGUGAAUUGACAUAUGUAAAGGACUAACAAUCAUAGGAAAAGGAUUGCUAGAUAUUGUUAGGCAAUUUUGUUGUCAAACGACCUCUCCGGACGAUGAUGUAACCUCGGUUGUUUAUUAUCAAUCGGUCUCGACCUAAUGAUUAAUUAGUACAUCGACACAAUUAUCGAGACAACACAAUCUACUUUAUUAUGGACCGUUCGAAGCAAUCUAUUUUUAUAGUGUUGCUCACGGUUCUCGCUCCAUUCCUUGGAAGGCUAUAUUAUUAUUGUUGAAGCCCACUUAAUUGAGUCGAGCCUCGUUUUUUGGUCCACCACUUAACCCUAACCUAACUUACCUAUUUGGACAUUUUACUUGGCAUACAAUCCCUCUCUUUGUCUCGGCCUCCAUAGUGUGCGAUUUUCCCUUUCUCUUUGUGAGACUCCCUCUCAGCCUCUCCCUCUACCUCACUGUGACCUUUGUGGUUAAUCUUUGUAGGCAUAUUAUUGGACUUCUCCUUCUCCAAUUGGUAGCAACUGGAGUGGGCGGCAGCAAGAGGUGGUGUUGGAGUUGUCUCAACGAUGUUAGUGUAGAUGUCUUGGUAAACUGAGCCUGGUUUUGCACGUGGUGGCAGUGGAAAUCAACCCUACAUCUGGUAUCAGAGCAGUAGCAGCUUUCCCCGGCCUGAAAAUCAGCAAAAACCGGCGGCGAGUCCCGGGUUUGGGUGAAAAACCGUGGCUGCAAUCCUCAUUUCCAGCCAAUUCAGUCACUUUCCGGCGAAACUGAUCCCAUAUUUGGGACCAACAGGCUGAGACGCCCCUUCGUAGGUGGCGCGUGGCGGCGGCGGCGACCGACGGCGGUGGCGCUUGGGACUCCGACAGCGGCGCGUGGCGGCGAUUCCGGGUGAACUUCCUUCGGGCAAUUUGCUCCUUUUAAUCCCCUGAACGCACUGAUACUGUUUAUUUUCUAUUUCAUGUUAUACAGAAAAAGUUGGACAAUUUUGCCCCUAGUGGAUCGACGAUUGAAUCUGCAUAUAUCUACUGAAUUACUUUAGGCCAAGAUUGCGGCCCUAAAGCAGUAGACUCGCAUCUCUCUCGAUUAUACGGACUCAGACACGUCCGCUCUAGUAAAUUGGCUUAACCCGUUAAUUUUUCAGCAUUAGCGCGUCACUGUGUGGGGUGACAAUAGGUUGGAGGUUGUCAUUGCUUGGCAACCAUUGCUUGUGCUAGAAUUAGGGUUACGUGCUCUUGAUUGACUUUUUUUGAUUGAGUAUUUUUUUUGGGUUUAAAAUCAGUCUUGUAAUUCUUAGUGAUCAAAUUACUGUGGGACUAGUUAUCUGCUAGACGUAUUUUUUGUUGCACUGUUAUUUCCGCUGCUUACUUAUUCCGUUAGAAAUACCGUGACUUUACCCUUUUGAACAUUCCCUUGAUCUAAGACCGUGAGUCUUACGAAACCCUGAGAAUCUAGAACAGUGUAUAUUGUCUGUGACUCCUAGGACUACUUUGUGUGGUUUGAUUGUGGUUUGUGCAUUUUUUGACCAUUGUGUGAAGAUGACAACUCACAGUUUUGAUUUGGGAAUUCUUAACGGAAAGGGUGACUUUGCUAUUUGGCAACAAAAAAUGAAGGGUAUUUUAGUCCAACAAAAGGUUUCAAAAGCCAUUGAAAGCAAUUUUUCAACUGAUUUUUCACAAGAACAAAGAGAAGAAGCCGAUGAGCUUGCUUAUACCUCAAUUAUCUUACACUUGUCUGACGCCGUUUUAAGAAAGGUGGGUAAAUUAAAAAACACUAAAGAAGUUUGGAAGAAAUUAGAAGACUUGUAUUUGCUUAAGUCUACACCUAAUAAACUUUACCUGCUUGAACGUUUUUUCAGUUUCAAAAUGGAUCCCUCAAAGGUUCUUGAUGACAAUUUAGACGUGUUUAACAAAUUGGUGCAAGACAUAGUUAAUUGUGAUGAAACUGUGUCCGAAACUUAUAAGGCUAUAAUGUUGCUCAAUACAAUCCCUGAUUCCUGUAAGGAAGUUAAGAAUGCCAUUAAGCAUGGUAGAGACACUUUAACACCUGAAAUUGUCAUAGAUUCUCUUAGAAGUAAAGAAAUGGAAAUUAGAACUGAAAAACAUGAUAAGAGAAAUGAUGAGGUACAUAUGAUGCGGGGUAGAACUCAAUUUAGGCAAAAUAGUCAUGAGGGAUAUCAAACUAGUGGCGAGUCAAGUGGUAAUGAUGGAAAAAGAAGAGCAAAGGUAGGUCUAAAUCAAAAUCUAGGGCUAAGGCAAGAAAAUGCUAUGGUUGUGGAAAUACAGGGCAUUUUAUAAAAGAUUGUCAUAAGGAGAAGGGUAAGCUAAAAGCUAAGGAGAGAGAUGAGGUAAAUGUGUUAGCAUCUACUUCUGAUAUAAAUAGUGGUGAGGUCUAUAUGAUUACAAGUCCAGUUGCAUACACUGCUGAAUUAAAUCUAACUGCUAAUUCCCGCAUCCAUGAGUGGAUACUUGAUUCUGGUGCAUCUUUUCAUGUGACGUCUGAAAAGAACUGGUUUUAUAAGUUGCAUGAAUCUAACGUUGGGCAUGUUGUACUGUGUGAUAACUUUGCCUAUACUAUUGUUGGAAUUGGUGACAUAAACGUAAAAUUUGACACGGGUUUUGUGUAUACGUUAAAGGAUGUUAGAUAUAUUCCUGAAUGUCUAGGAAUUUGAUUUCAGUAGGGAGACUCGAGAAGGAUGACUUUAUUGGUAAAAUUGGAAAUGGUAUGUUAAAAAUAAUCAAAGAUGCUUUAGUUUCCAUUAAGGGAAUUAAGAAAAACGAUAUAUACAUUACUACUGGAGAAGUGAUUAGAGAUGUGAAUUCCUCUAUCUCCUCUGCCAAGAUUGAUCACACACACACAUGGCACAAUAGACUUGCUCACGUAGGGGUCAAGGGACUUAAGCUACUUAAUGAAAAGGGUGCUUUUGGUAAUGACUGUAUGUCAGAUUUAUCAUUUUGUGAUCAUUGUGUGUUUGGUAUGCAUCACAAAACUUCUUUCUCCACGAGUGUUAAUAGAGCUAAAGGCAUGCUCGAAUAUGUGUACUCUGAUCUUUGGGGUCCUGCCAGUAACCCCACAUCGGGUGGUAAUAGGUAUUUCCUGUCUAUUAUUGAUGACUACAUUAGGAAAGUGUGGGUCUAUCUUUUGAAGGAUAAAUCUGAGACCUUCGAUAGUUUUAAUAAUUGGAAGAGACAAGUGGAAAACCAAACUAGCAAGAAAAUCAAAUUUUUAAGGACAGAUAACGGCCUAAAAUUCUGCAAUAAAAAAUUUGAUAGUAUGUGUAAAGAAAGCGGCAUAACUAGACAUCAGACCCGUUCCCUACACCCCUCAGCAAAAUGGGGUAGCAGAAAGGAUAAAUAGAACCAUACUUGAUAAAGUACGUUGCAUGAUGAUCAGUUCGGGUGUUCCCAAGUCAUUUUGGGGUGAGGCUGUUAUGACAGCUUGCUAUUUGAUUAAUCUUACUCCUUCUGCUGCAUUGAAUGGUAACACUCCGCAUGAGAGAUGGUCGGGUAAACUGAGUGAUUACUCGAUACUUAGAACUUUUGGCUGUACAGCUUUUUCUCAUCAAAGUGAGGGUAAGCUGGAACCUAGAGCUAGGAAGUGUGUUUUCCUAGGAUACCACGAGGGUGUUAAGGGUUGUAGUUUACGGGAUAGAAGCCAAAAAGGAGUUAAAAUCAUCAUAAGUAGAGAUAUCAUGUUUAACGAAAAUGAGAUGCCGUGUAUUAAAGGGAAAACUGAACCUGAGAGUGAAGUAGAAUCAGGUGAAGAGAGAGACCAGUUUAAGGUGGAGUUAGGAAAACUCAGUCCACUUGCUCCUACUGUUUCAAAUGAGGUGGAGACUCAAACUCAGGAACCCGAAGUGGAGAAUAGUAACGAAAUAGUGACAGAAGAACACUAUGAGGAAGAAAAUCCUUUAGCUAACUAUAACCUAAUUAGGGAUAGAGAGAGGAGACAGACGAGAGAACCUAGAAGGUUUGUUUUGAAUUUGAAUUAGCUUUUGCCCAGGCUAGUUAUGAAGAACUAGUUGAUAAAAAGCCAAAGACUUUUGAAGAAGCAAUAGGCAGUGAUCGAUCUAAUGAAUGGCUUAAGGCAAUGAAAGAAGAGAUGAGUUCUCUAGAAAAGAAUCAUACUUGGGAGCUAGUACCUAGGCCUAAGAAUAAAUCAAUUGUUGAUUGAAAAUGGGUUUUUAAGGUUAAGGAAGGAACUAGUAGCUUGGAACCACUAAGGUUUAAAGCUAUGUUAGUGGCUAAAGGCUACACACAGAAGGAGGGCGUUGAUUAUAAUGAAAUUUUCUCACCAGUUGUUAAGUUCACCACUAUUAGGGUCAUGCUCGCAUUAGUUGCACAAUUUGACUAGGAACUUGAACAACUUGACGUAAAAACUGCUUUCUUCCAUAGUGAGCUUGAUGAACAAAUUUUCAUGAAUCAACCUAAAGGUUUUAAGGAUAAGUCAAAACCUGAUUAUGUGUGUUUUCUGAGAAGAUCCUUGUAUGGGUUAAAACAAUCUCCUAGACAGUGGUACAAAAGGUUUGAUUCCUUUGUACUCACUAUAGGGUUUCAAAGAAGUAAAUUUGAUCACUGCCUGUAUUUUCAACACAAUGAGACUAAUGAUAAUUAUCUGUUUUUGUUUCUCUAUGUGGACGACAUGCUUUUGAUUGGAUCAUCAUCUAAGUAGAUAAAUAAUAUAAAAGCAAAACUAAGUGGUGAAUUUGACAUGAAAGACCUAGGUAAGGCUAAGAGAAUCUUAGGUAUUGAAAUCGAAAGAGAUAGGUCAAAUUCUGUUUUGUUUUUGCAUCAAUCUCCAUACAUAUCCAGAGUAUUGAAGAAGUUCAAUAUGAGUGAAUGCAAACCUGUCACGUUGCCCCUUGCUAAUCAUUUUGUUUUAUCGAAGGAACAAUCUCCUUGCAAUGAGCGUGAAGUUGAAUACAUGAGUAGAAUGCCUUACUCAAAUGUGAUUGGUUUCAUAAUGUAUUUGAUGGUUUGCACUAGACCUGAUUUAGGUUUUGCUGUUAGUACUCUCAGUAGAUAUAUGGCUAAUCCGGGACCUAAACAUUGGGAAGCGCUAAAGUGGCUGUUAAAGUACUUGAAGGGUACUAGUAACGUAGGCUUAAAGUUUAGUACUAAUAAAGAAGGCAUAAAAUUAAAGGGUUUUGUAGAUGCUGACUAUGCGAGAGAUAAGGAUGGUAGGAAAUCUACUUCAUCUUACGUGUUUACCUUAUCUAAUUCAUGUGUAAGUUGGAAAUCACAGUUACAACAUAUUGUUUCACUAUCCACUACAUAAUCAGAAUAAUUGCUACCACUGAAGCUAUUAAAGAAGCUUUAUGGCCUAGAGGUCUACUUCAUGAACUGUGUGUCCUGAAUGAUUAUGUGGUAGUGUAUUUUGAUAGUCAGUCAUCUAUACAUUUAUGCAACAACCCUGUUUUUCACGAGCUCACUAAACACAUUGAUAUUAGACUCCACUUUAUUAGAGAUAUAGUAUCUCAAUAGGUGGUAAGACUUGAGAAAGUCUAUACCCACUACAACCCAUCUGAUAUGGGAACGAAGGUAAUGCCACUAGCAAAGUUUAGGAGUUGCAAAGAACUUCUGAACAUUGGUAUAGGUAAAUGAUUUCCAAUUUUAUUAUUUUUCUAUUAGAGGUGUCACUAAUGGGAGACAAUUUUCUUUGCAGGUCCUUUGACACCAAGAUGGAGGUUGUUAGGCAAUUUUGUUGUCAAACGACCUCCCCGGACGAUGAUGUAACCUCGGUUGUUUAUUAUCAAUCGGCCUCGGCCUAAUGAUUGAUUAGUACAUCGACACAAUUAUCGAGACAACACAAUCCACUUUAUUAUGGACCGUUCGAAACAACCUAUUUUUAUAGUGUUGCUCACGGUUCUCGCUCUAUUCCUUGGAAGGCUAUAUUAUUAUUAUUGUUGAAGCCCACUUAAUUGAUUCGAGCCUCGUUUUUUGUUCCACCACUUAACCCUAACCUAACUUAUCUAUGUGGACAUUUUACUUGGCAUAUAAUCCCUCUCUUUGUCUCGGCCUCCAUAGUGUGAGAUUUUCCCUUUCUCUUUGUGAGACUCCCUCUCGGCCUCUCCCUCUACCUCACUGUGACCUUUGUGGUUAAUCUUUAUGGGCAUAUUAUUGGACUUCUCCUUCUCCAAUUGGUAGCAACCGGAGUGGGCGGCGGCAAGAGGUGGUGUUGGAGUUGUCUCAACGAUGUUAGUGUCGAUGUCUUGGUAAACUGAGCCCGGUUUUGCACGUGGUGGCGGUGGAAAUCAACCCUACAAAUAUCAGUGUCUUAAUCUAGUAACAUGGUUUCAUUUUCAUUAAAAACAUAACUAGUAACAUUUUUAUUAACGAUAGAAUUUAAACUCGAUAUAUAUUGUUUAAAAGAAAAUUGUUACAUAGGUUGGUUAUUUAUUGCACUGAAUAUAGAUUGAUAAACAUAAUAGCAAAGAAGGAUUUUUUUUAUUUUUUAUUUUUUGGGCAGAAAUAUCAGUUCGUUGAGUUUUAAUGAAUUUUUAAGUAAUUAAGUUUAAAUAAUCUUAAGCUGAGCAAGACAUAAUCUCAGAAUUGAACCUUUUUUCUUGUUCUAGAAUUGGCAAACAUGUUCCUUCACUCACAACCAUGGUACUGAAUAUCGUUCUUGUAUAUAUUUCCAUCCAUUCUUUCUCUGUAUAGGUGAAAAGCUUAGUACUCAAAAAUUAUGAUUCAUUUAAAUAAAUUAGAGUUGAACUUGUCUAUAUUUUGAUUAACCGAACAUCUCAUUCUAGAUAUUAUUUCGCCGCAUGAGUUAAAAUCAAAUUUCUAAUUAAAUUCUUGGCUCAUAUAAGAAAUAAAUUCCAGGUAAUUGAAUCUUACUUCCUAGCUCAUUUUAAGAGAUAGAUAAUAAGAGAUAUGGAAUAUAGGUUCUUUUUCGCAUCAUGAUUGAAAAUACCGUCAAGCUAAAAUUGGCCUAGAGGAGAUUUGAUUACAAGUAAGCCCAGCAAAGAAACCUUUGUUUGGAAAAAAAUAUAUAUUACUUUUAAAUUGUCAAACUUCAUUUUCAACAACACAUUCCAAUAAAUUCAUAAGUACUAUAAACUUAUCAAUUACUCAUUUAUACCUAUUUAUAAAUUAAACUAAUUAUAAAUUCUAUCUCCUGAUCAUGGCAGUUGUCUACCCAUUGUGCGAAAUAAAACCAUGGGUAAAGACUUCCUGUCGAUGUUAGGUACAAAUAGCUUGACCAACCCCUUUAUAGAAGUACAAAUUGUGUGAGUGAGCUUAAGUUGAACACUAUGAAUUUUCAUGAUGGUUAUUUGAAUGUCCAUUAUAAAUAAUUUACGCAUAUCGAAUUAUAUUACGCUAUAAAAUAUUUUGGUGUCACACUUUUUUUAACUAUCGGGUAAUAAACAUCAUAUACUUUAGGGGACUUUAUAUGGGGAAAAUAGCACCGGUUCGAUUGAUGUGCAUUUUGCACUUUUGUCCCCAACCUUCAAAAAGCAGCUUUUACACCAGCAUUUCAUUUUAGUAGCACUUUAAUUCCUUGUGCCCAGCUACACCAUUAUCUUGCGAGCGACCAUCUGAAAACGCCGAACCUUUCAAAGUUUGAGAAUUUUCUUCACAAAAGCAUUGAGCUUGCUUGGAAAACAAAAAUAAAAGUUACGAAAAUCAAAUAGAAAAUAGGUAUAUUGAAAAGCAUGUAUUCUUUCUUGUAUCAUUACACUAUCUAACAACGUGAAGAGGGGGUAUAGAACUAACCCUAGCCACUGUUUUAAUUUUCCUUUGUCUUUACACUUCUAUUCUAUUCAAUUUCUAGUGCAAAAGGCGUACUGUAACAAAUUAGUAAACAAUUGAGCAAAGAAUUUCGAGAACAAUGAAUGGAAGUAUAAUUAUGUAGAUAAAGACAUAAAGUGGUAAGAUUUGAGAUGGUGCAAAAAGUUUGUGCGCAUAUGUUACCAUUUGAACGAGCACAUACGGUUCUAUGUAUAUAAAUGAAAUGGAUGAAGUAACUUUCCAACUUUAGACUUUAUUGUAGUGAAUAUGGCAUGGUUGCCAUUUGCAGUUGCGACGAAUGUGGUGACGAUAGGUGUUAGAAUUAGGUAGUUAAAAUCUAUUUGGGAAUUCAAUUUUGUAGUUCACUUGGUAGUUUAUAAUUUGUAUUAAACUUGAAAAAGACAAAGAAUCCAAGUUGUAACCAUACAAGGAGCAGGAACAACGAACUAGCGCUCACCACGCGCCUUGGUCUCAUUCAAGAGCUCAGAAUAGGAGCUCUAGCGCUUGAUGUCCUUGAGGCUGCUCUCGAACGGUCGGUCACUGCUCAACGACUUAUCUAGCAAGAAAUUGUUAACAAUUUUAGGCAGAUUUUUUUAAUCCUAUUUUAUUCCAAACACUCCAUUAUUGUAUAUUCUUAUUAUAUUCGAAUUCUACCACAUCUUAAACUCUCAUUUAUAUAUUAGGAAUAAACUUCUAGAAAAAUCAAUCCUUGUAUUCUACAUAAUAAUCUGUAGUCUUUCAUUAUUGAUAUUAAUAAAUUCUCCUAUUCUGCCAGUGGUAUAUUUUUACCACGUAAAUUUUGUGUUCUUGUUUGAUUUUCACAUUGCCAUAUUAUUCUCACCCCUUUAUUUCCUAACAAGUGAUAUCAGAACGAGGUUUGAUCAAUUCAAUUUACAGUUUGAUUUUUUGUGAUAGCAACUAUGAAGCAUGAUAUUUAGCUACUGGAUCGUGACGCUAGAUUUUCACUUUAGCAUGUAAAGAUGCAAGCAAUGCUUGCUCGAAUAGAUUUGAAAGAUGCAUUGUUGAAAUUUGACAAGACACCAUCAAGUUGGAUGCUAGAGAAGAAACAACAUAAGGAUCAAAAGGCCUUAUCACAGAUAUGUUUUUAUCUUUCGAAUAAUAUUUUUUGGGAGCAUUUUGAAGGAAAAACCUACGCUGCAUUAUAGUUAAAAUUGGACCAGUUAUGCAUAAGGAAAAGUUCAAUUUGCAAAUUACAUUUAAAGCAACGCCUAUAUUCUUAUUGUAUGAUAGAAGGUACAUCACUGGAAGAUCGUUUAAGUGUUUUUAAGGAAAUUGUCAUCGAUUUGGAGACCUUGGAGGUCAAGUAUGGUGAAAAAGAUUUAAGAUUGAUAUUAUUGUGUUCAUUGUCCACUUCAUGUAUAUCUUUUAGAGAUACGGUAUUAUAAAAUUGUGAUACUCUCACCAUUAAAGAAGUUUAUGAUGCUCUAUUUUCAAAAGAAAAUAUAAGAUAUCUUGUUGGAUUCGAGGUUCAUGGAGUGAGUAGUAGAUUAAGGACAAAUUACAGUAAUAAAGUUUGUAAUUAUUGCAAGAGAUGGGGGUACAUUAAGAAAGAUUGUUAUAAGUUACAGAAUAAAAAUAAUUCAGUUGCUGCAAAUUAGAAAGAAAAACAAUCAGAAACUUAUUGCAAAAGAUUACUACAAUGAUCAAUAACUUUUGGUUAUUUUGUACAAUAACUUCAAAUCUGAUGAGGAUUGGAUUUUUUGUACAAUUUGUACAUUUUAUAUGUAUCCUAAUUUGGGAUUUGUUUUCAACAUAUGAAAUAGUUUCCAGAGGUGUUAUUGUAAUGAGAAAUAAUUUAAUUUGUAGGAUGGCGAGUUUUGGAAGGGUCAGAAUUAAAAUGUUUGAUGGAACUAUCAGGACACUUGAUGAUGUAAGACAAGUUCCAAAUUUAAAGAAAAUCUUAUCUUCUUAGUACUCUCGAUUCAAAAUAAUACAAGUACACAUGCGCAGGUGGAGUCCUAAAUGUUAGCAAAGGUGUCUGUAUUGUGUUGAAGGGAAUGAGAAGAUCCUAGUUACAUAACUUGCUUAGUUCUAUAGAAUUGUUGGAUAUUAGUCAACAAAAAUUAUGGACUUAGGUGGAUUUUGAGUUUGGUUCAGUACCAUUGGAAUUUGGUUUAAGGUCUAUAUUAAAGAAUACAUCUCAGUCAAGUUCGAAAGUUAAGAGUAAUUUUGUUUUGUCGGAAUCGCCAACGGUGCCUCAGUAUUCAAUUGUUAGAGACAGAUCCAUUAGAAAUAUUAGGCAUCCAUAGAGGUACACUGAAAUGAUUUAGUUGCUUAUUCUUUAAAUAUGGUUGACUGUAUUGAGUCUAGCAAAGAACCAUCUAUAGCAGUAGUUAUUUGAGUUGAUUCUAUUAUAGGGUAUGUUUUUGCUUUGUUUUGUAAUUAUUAUUAAGUUAUUUGUGAUCUUGUUCUUUGUGUGGAUAAUACGAGUAAUUUUAGUGCUCAAAAUAAUCCUGCUAAUCAAUACUUGAUUCGGUCGAUUUUCAGUUAUUGAGUUUACCCUAGUUGAGUUUUGUGGAAGAGGAGCAGAAUUCUUUUUGGAGAGCUAAAAUUUAGACCUUGCAGUGAAAUUUGUCUUCAGGAGAAUUUUUUUUUUUAAGUUUUGUUCAUUGCAAUGAAAUCUAUAUUAAGGUGGAGAUUAUUAGAAUUACGGUGUGAUCAAAAUUCUAUUUGGAAGACUAGUUGGAAAUUCUAGUUGAAAUCUAUCUGGAAAUUCAACUUGAAAUUCAAUUUGGGAGUUGAAUUGGGAGUUUGAAAUUUGUGUUGGACUUGAGGAAGUUAUGUUGCAAUAGGAAAGGAAGAAAUCAUACAAGAAGAAGGAAAAUGUGAACUGACACUCGCUACGCACCUUGAUCUAGCUCGAGCACUCAAAAUAGGAGCUCGUCCACUAGGCUUCUUCAAGUUUACUAUAACUAUAUAGUGUCACACAUCUCAUACUGUUUAAGUUCACUAAUUAAAUAUUUACGAAUAAAUAAUCUACCUUUGAACACAUAUUAAACAACCUUUUGUGAUUCGCUGAUUUCUUUAGAUCAUCAACAUAUGAACAAAAACCAUUUUUUUAUGAAUUCUAAUGAUGUAUCAACUAAUUAAAAGAACAAACGCCUAGUGAGAACAAUUAAGCUGUGAUUUUCAAUUGCCCAAUUGGGAUGAAAUGACUUGAUUUGGGAAUAUUCAUUGCUCAUUUUUCUCAAUAAGUUCAUAGUUUCAGAUAUGAUCAUUGAAUCUGAAAGAAGAAGUCAGUCAUCAAAUAGUUAGCCCAACUAGCACGGAUUGUAAUAAUUAUAGUUCUGUUGGGUUUUGAUUCAUAAUCAAAUAGACAACUAGAUAUCUGUAUCCAUAUACUUUGGCACAUUGGUUUGAGAUUAUACGACAGCAUUAAUUGAAAAUGAUAUGGUUUAAAGUUUUUAAUCGAGUUUUUGUAGAUCAGUAAAUAGACUUAUGAGCAAAUUAAUUUAAGAACUUGAUUACAAUUAUUUAAUAUAUGUGUAAUUCGUAGUUUCUAUCACCUUCUGUGGUUGAGAUAAUAAAAUUACUUAACAUCGUUAGGAACAAUGCAAUUAGACAUCCAAAGCCACAGUAUAAGGCUUCUGCAAUUUCCUGAUAAAGAAGAGAGAAAAAAAAAAAAAAGGACUAACAAUUGUUUAAAUCUAUAUUAUAUUAAACGAAAAUGUUUUACAAAUAUUAUCAAGGAAGAAACUCCAUAGAAAACUGGAUGUUGAUGGAAAAGAAAGAAAAUUAACUAAAAUUGAGGGACUUCUUGUUUUGUUCGUCGAUAAGGGAAUAAAGCAGCCUACGCAGUAGCAUUGUUUAAUUCUUAAGUUUUUGGUGCCAUUAAUUGGAUUCAUUGUAUUCCUUUAUUCUUACCAUCCAUUCUUCGUGGUGAUAUUAGUUCAUGAAAGUUUUUGGUGAUUCAAUACAAUAUUUAUUGUAUCAAUUAUGAUUUCAUGUAUCAUAUCAUAAUUAUAUUUUCUAUAUAUAUGUAUUGCAUAUAAGUCUUUGUUUAGCAAAUUUAUAAAUUAUUUAUAAAUUGGUUAAUUAUAUUUUCAAUCACAUAUUUCAAUGGACCUAGAGUACUAUUUAUUUCUUCAUCACUCAUUUUUAUUUAUUGAUAAAUUAAAAAAUUACUCCCAUAAUAUGGUAUUAUCUUCGGCAAUAUCUUAGGGAAAAAAUGCAAUUGUGCAUGUUGCUUUUCCAAAACAGCAAGUUUGAUGCAAAGAAUUGAUUGACUUAACAUUUCAAAUUUUCAAAAUUUAUAAUUUGAUUGAGCAGUCGAGAUUGAUAUAAGUAUUCAAACCAAACGAAAUUAUAUUUGUUUUUACUUUUUAAAUAUAAGGUUAAAACUCAAGACUAUAUGUGGCCCUCAUGUUAGACCUUGCUAGGGUUUACUUUUCUCAAUGUAAUAAAUCAAAUGCAUGAACAUGGUAGAGUAAUCAUCCAGCUCUUCCGUCCGCGGUAUCAUACACACUCAUGUCAAAGAUAAUAUUUUUAAUGGUUGAAAAUUUGUCAUCUUUAAUUUUGACAAUAUUUUCCAUUUAAACAAUACUAUCAUGAGUUGUCUUUUGUUAUAAUUUGACAUUGAAUUAGACGAAAAUAGCUAAAAUAUUUGUGUUAUCAAAUUGAAAAGUUGAGGGACUAUUAUCUUCGUGUUUCAGUUUAUAUAUAUAUAUAAUUGUUUUACUUUUAAGAGAAAGAAAAGCAGCUAUCUUGUGGUUAAGGCAUUGAAUUCCAUGGUGGUGACUCGGAUUUGAAUCUUAGCAACCUACCAAUUUAUUUUAAAAAAUUUGUACUGUGCUUAUUAAAAAAAUAUAUAUAUCCUUUGUAUUGAAUUGCAUUGAAACAAAAUCGAAUUCGUGACCUUCAAGAAAUCUAUGAUUCAGCCAACUAAGCCAUCCCACUAUUUGCAAAAUAAGUUGUUUUCCGCAUUUUUGAAUUUUUGUUUGGGUUUAACUGAAAAUAGCCAAAACGACUUUUUUGACGUUUUCCAUUUUCUUUGUAAAUUUUAAACUCAUUUUUCAAAAUUCAUUUUUGAAAAUAGGUAAGUAAACGUAUUUUCAGUGUUUUAAAUAAUUAAAAAUUGAAAUUGACUUGAAAAUAGUAAAGAGAACAGGUCCUAAACUUUUUGGAACUCUCGGAAACAUUUUGAAACUCAAAAGAAAACUUUCCUAAUAUUUUUUAAAAUAUUUUUUAUUUCCUUAUGUGCGUUACUGCAAUAGAAAGAAGCAUCAAAGGAUGUGAUACAUCAUUUCGAUGAUUAAUGUAAUGUUAAUGAAAAUAACAUGUAAUAUUAUUGAAAAUAUAUUAUUUGGGUUUACUUUCAAGUUCAAUAUUUCGUUACAUUUUGAGCAUAUAACUAUUUCCUCAAAGUUGGACCCAACUUUUGAUACAUGCAUAUAUGUGCAAGUAUAUAUACAACUUUCAGAAAAAAAUUAGAAGGAAAAUUGCAGGAUUGGUCUCCAAGCUAUAUCCGGGGUUACAAGUUCAUUCUCAUCUCUUUUUGAAACUUCUUCUCAACCCUUUUUAAGUCUUGUCGGAAAUUACAUUUUUAUUGAUUUCGUCCACUUGUUGGCAGAAUGAAAUGAAUUUUAUUUCUGUUACAAAGCAGGGCGAACCCAGACAUUUUGAACUGUGGGGUCGAAAACGAAAAUUUCCACCGUAUUUCGUAAUUGAGUAGCAACAGGGGCUAAGCCGCUUAGGGACGGCCCGGUGGAGGUCCAAUGGCGAAGAGAAAACUUGAAAGUGGAAAAGACGAGUGAAAAAGGAAAGACGAGUCACGACUCACGUUUGGCAAUUGACAAUUUGGAAAAAAAUGGAAUUUGACUUGGGAAUAUUGGAACUCAUUAUAUAAGUUGGAUUUGAUUUGGGUAAAUGAGAAAUGAAUUAUGGGAAUGGGAUUAUGGAUUUGGAUAAAUGAGUAAAUGGAUUAUGGGAAUGGGAUUAUGGAUAUGGAUAUAGUGAUUGAAUUUGGACUUUUCACAAGUGUGAGCUACUAUUGAGAAAUUGAGUUUGGCAAUUGGAGAGGGUAGUUGUUAGGUUAUAUAAUAAUAAUAAUAAUAAUAAUAAUAAUAAUAAUAAUAAUAAUAAUAAUAAUAAUAAUAAUAAUAAAAUUCUAAAAAAUUGUGAGGUCAUUUGACCCCACAUGACCUCAUGUGGGCCCACCCUUGUUACGAAGGGAGAUAGAUAUUUUCCCCGUCCAUUUCUUUGUAUGGGGAUACCUUGAAGAUAUAACAUUGUAAUUUAACAAAUUUGACCAGCUAUAUUUAACUUGAAAUUUCAUAUCCUAAUAUUAAUUUUAAUUUAGUACUUAUAUAUAUAAAACGUUCCAUAUAUUUUGUGAACUACUAAUAUUUUCCAUGCAAUGAGCAUGACUAGAGGUGAAAUUUUACUAGCAAGAAAAUGACUUCUUCGUUGAGGUGCCAUACACCUAGCCAGCCAUUGAAUAAAAGCACCAGAAAAGUGAUAAAAAAAAAAAUAAAUAAAUAAAUUAUGGUAGAAGAAAGUCUAUUUAAGGUAUUUAUAACUUCAAAAAUAAUAUGUUUCAUUGAUUAAAGGAUAUAAAAGGGGUGACAAAUAGAUUGAACUGUUCGUGGGUUCGUAAGGUUCUCUCACCUCAUGUCGUCAUGGAUCAAGCCGAGUUCGAUAUCUUUUUCAUGAGAUGAGUAUAAUUGAUUAAGUGAUACAUCAAUACAAUAUCCAGGAUCAUGAACUACUUUUUCUCAACAAUUUUUAGUGUUUAUGUAAAGACCGUGGGCUGUAUCUGAAUCUGGACAAGACAAUGAAUUUAUCUAGGUUAAGAAAAUUAAUACUGCUUUUUGUAUGGUAUCACGCGUAUUACAAUAGCAGUAAAAUGUUGGAUAUUUCACAACCAAGAAAAUAUGCUAAAAGCAGGGUGUACAGCAAAAGUCUCUAUUCCCAGCAGUGUGGUUGACUUGUUCAUGAACCUAAAAGAAUAAACCAAAAAAAAAAAAAAAAAAGGGAGGAGCAGAAAUUAAAGGACACACAACUUCGAUAAAUUUGACAAGACAUCAAAUUUGUGGUGCCCAUCUGGCCAUAUGGCUUGGAAUAGUGACGGAACAAACAAUAUUAAAACAUUAAUCCUAUAUAUAUAUAUAUAAUGUGUGUGCAUGCAUGGCUGUGUUUAAAAUACUUAAAUAAAAAAUUAUAUGUAGUUUUAAUGGAGAUAAAAAUAAAAUAAGUGAUUUUUUUAGAAUGAAAUAAAUAAUGUAUGGAUAUAAUUAGAAAUCAACAUAAAAGUAACAAAUUAUGUUUGACUUAUUUUAAGCUAAUCAACACAUGCUUUAUAAUUGAACUUCGAUUUAUAUAUCUUGCUCUAAAAUUGCCAGACACAUUGGUUAACUCCACUCACAACAUUUAGGAAUAAAUGGUAUAUUUGAAGGUCAUUGUCAUAUAUAUCUCCAUCAAUUCUCACUAAGUAUGGGUGAAAGUUCUUUACUCAAAAAUUUUAAAUAUAAAGUAGAGUUGAACUUGUCUAAAUGCAUGAAUCCUAUUAGAAAGUUGAUAGUAAUUUAAAUACUAACUGGGAAUAUAUUCUAAAAGACAGGUAAAAACUCUAAAAAUUAAAGGAAAUGAUUGAUAAAUAACAGGGUUUAAACUUAGCUUGAGGUAGAGGAUUGCUUGAAUAAGUUUAAAAAGGCCGUUUGUUGUUCAUAAAAUUUGAAUUACUGCCCGUAUAAUUGUCAAUGUAAAGCCAAGAUAAACAAACAAUCACAUAGUAAAACUAAAUUACAUUGAACGUCAACUGGGACAUGCAUAGUUUAAUUAAUCAGGCAACGUAUCACAACUCACGUGUACUAUCCAUGUUAUACAUGUAAUUGACUAAUACUAGACAAAGCCUAACUUAUUUGCAUUUAGUCUUGUUUGGUUUAGCUAAAUAUCUUUUAAAUUAAGUAGCUUAACAAUGUACUAGACAUUAUACUAAUUUAAACUAGUCACAUUUCAUUUAUUUAAACUCUAUGUGGGCGGGCUAUCGAGUAUCAAAUUUUUAAGUAAACAAGGCUUUACCUAUGAAUUACCUUAACUGCAAGAUUAAGCUAAAAGUUAACUUAAUUACAAACUUUAACCCAAAUACUACACAUGAUUAUCAAAUUAUGAGAGUUUGAAUUAAUGUUCAACAAGCUUUUUGAAAAACAAAAUAUUGGAUAUAUAUAAUAAAUUAUUAUUUUUCUUGUAUUUAAUUAAACAAUUAUUUUGUUGAACAUGUUAUCUAAUUCGAAGGUAAGUUUUAACUUAAUGUCAAAAUAAAUUUUUUCCCUACUUAAGUAGAACUAAUGUAUGAUUUAAAUUGAAAUCAACAUAAUAAGUAAUUAAUCAUGUUUGACUGAUUUUGAGGUGAAUGGAACGUUCUCUAAGAAUUGAUGAUGCUCUAUCUAGUUCUAGAAUUGCGAGACACAUUGGUUCCUUCACUCACAACAUUUGUGGAAAUAGUUUAUUUGAAAGUCAUUGUCAUAUAUAUCUCCAUCAAUUCGUAUUGGCAAAAGUUCAUUGCUCAUAAAUCAUAUUUAAUUUUGAAAUUAUAUAUAGAAGAAUUGAACUUGUCUAAAUGCAUGAAUCCUAUUAUAGUUGAUAGUGAUUUAAAAUAGCAAUUGGGAAAAUACGUAAAAAGAUUGAAAAGGAUUGCUAAAAUAUCAGUGUCUAAACUUAACCGAGGUAGGUUUGAAUAUUGGUAGCCGAUUCAUUAUGUUAAACAAAAACUAACAAAACUUUUUUUCGUUUUCCCUCUUUGUUUUAUCCACGUUGCCAAUGAAUUUAGCCACAAAAGAGGGAUUAAAAAUCAAAAAAAUAAAACCAACUCGGCAUAGCUUAACCUAAUCAAAGGCAGUUUUCUAGAUGGAUAAAGUAUUUCAAUUUGAUAAGCCCUUAAUCUAUUGGUAAUGUAGCAAAUAGAUCAUCAACCUAUUAUAUUUUGUGGCUUGAGUGCCCACCUUUUAGUUUUGCGGCAGUGAAGGUUCUCAACUCUCAGUUAUUUUCACACUUAUAUCCGAACUUUUUCAUUACAUUUUUUUUUAUCUUCGAGAUUCUAAUAACUAGCCAUCCUAUUUUUAAUGACAAGCUAUAAAAUUCAUUAAGAUUGUGAGAAAGACUUGUUUGACUCUCAUGUUUUGAACUAAGCAACAAAAAUAACAAAUACAAAAAUUCGAACUAACAUAAUAUCUGGAAAGAAACUUUCAUCAUAAACAAGAUUUAAUAAUUAACUAAAGGUUAAAAAUAAGAAUACGAUGAAAAAAGUUGAAGACGUAAGUGUAAAAUAAGCAAAAAUUGGGGAUCUUUACUAUAAUUUAAUUAGUGCAGCUAACAAAACCUAUAGUGUGAAUAUAAUUAUACUUUUAAUACUUGAGUUGACAAACUUGCCUUUGUCAUUAAUUAAAAAUUCAAAUUUUCAUUAGAAGAAUGACUUUAUCCUCAUAGCAAAACAAGAAGAGAAAGCUUAAAAAAAAAAAUAUAUAUAUAUAUAUAUAUAUAUCAACCCUUAUAUUUUAUUAUAUUUCCUCUUUCGUUAUUUAUUUAAUUUUUUGUUUUACUAUAAACAUAAGUUUAUAUAUGUAUCAUUUACAAAUUUUCAAGUAAACAAAAGGGUGAAAUCGUCAACUCGGACCCAAAUUUGUGAUAUAUUAAAUAUCACAUUAAGUAAGAAUCAUUUUUUGGAUAAUUCUAACCCUACUACAAUUCAAUUAUUUCAAUAAUACCUUAUUUUUCGUUAAUCAAUAUGUAUUUAACAUUCAAUUAUACAUUUUACUAUUUACGUGCAUGUAUAAUAAUUAACAUUUAUUUUCAAGAGCUUGCAUUUCUCUCAUAUUUAGAUCAAAAUAGUGCAAAUUAAUUCUUCAAAUUCAUAUACACUGUAUAUUUUGGGGCUAUUCAAUUACUUUUGAAGGAAAUUAUUCAUGUUCAUGUAUAUUUAUUUAUUCUCAAGAUUAUUCAUUUAAUCUGUGAUGUAAAUUUAUUCUCUAGUUUCACGUAUGCUCUUUGGUCUAAGUUAAUUUUCAAGAUCAUGUAUAUAUAAAAUAUUUUCAAUAAUGCUUUACUUUUCAAUUUUCAAUAUGUAUUUAACAUUCAAUUAUGCAUUUAACUACUUAAGUGUAUGUAGAAUAAUCACUACAAAAAAAUAUGGCUUCAGGUGCAGAUUUUUCAUUCCUGAAACCAGGAUAUCAUUUGCUAUUACUAUUUACCAACGGAAUAUUUGCAACCACAAAUCCAUUGUUAAUUUGAGGAUCGCUGAUAACUACCGACAGAUCAUACUGUAGGUAAAAAGUAAACAUUUUACCAACGAAAUUUCAGUUGCUAAAAAUCUUAAUCAUUACCAAUCGAAUUUUUAUUGGUAAAUUUUUAUCAUUACAAUUGGUAAAAAUCAGUGUUGUAAAUAGCCGCCUAUGUGUGAUGCAUAGGAAAAAAAAUAUUUAUUUACUUUUAUUAUUGUUAUUAUUAUUUGUUUAAUAAUUAUAAUUUUUUUAACUUUUAUCUAACUGAGUUGAAAGGCCCAAAAAAUUGUUUAACCACUUAUUAGGCUACAAAUUUAUAAAUAGCAACUCUAAAGACUUUGUUGUGAAUUUUCGAUAUGGGAUAAGAAUUCUUUUGAAAUUGAUUAAUAUUAGCAACGACAAUUCCGUUGGUAAUAUAAACUACUCGUUACUCACAAAAAAAAAAAAAAAAAAAAAAAAAAAAAAUCAUAGGUAAAAGGUUGAUACGGUUUUUAGAAAAAAAAAAAGUUUAUUUCUAUAUUUUUAAUAAGCUGGGGACUCCAAAGGUUUUUUCCCUCUCCUAAAAUAUUACACAAAAAAUCAGACACUGGUACAAUGAAUCUAACCAAACUUUGACAUUACGUUAAUGCUUUGUCAGAUGACGUGUCGAAUUGACAAAGACCCGUCUCACCUUCUCCCUCGUAACGCCUAGCCAUUAAUCUCCCGUCAUUGAUAACAUAAAUUCUAGAUUUCAGAGCAGAAGAAGUACUGUAGGACAUUAGAAACGGAAAUUGGGAUUGUUAGACUGUAAUGGAUGAAGAUGAAGAUGUACAGGAUUGAGCAAAGUCUAGCAUUUAAGGUGAAAAGUAGUGAAACCAAAAGCCAUCGAAGAAUUUGACGUUCAUGUAUUUUAGUUUAAGAGAGGUGAUUAUAAUGGUUAUGUUAACUUUAUCACUCUUGGUGUUGCCACUGGUUCUGCCACCACUUCCGCCGCCGCCCCCGGUUCUGCUCCUUGUCCCAGUUUUGAUCAUGGUUCUGCUGAUUUUCUUGGCCUUCUCUUCUUCACAACUGCCCAAUAUUUCUGUCACUUCUGUAUGAGUAAUUGUAUGCACAUAUAAAUUAUAUAUAUCAGUGUGUGUAUAUAUAUCGGUUUACUGUGGAAGAUUGGAAUAUGGGUUCUUGAUCUUCUAUUUUUGGGUCGAUCUGUAUGCAAAUCAUGCAUAUAAUGCUUCUAACUUUGAAUCUUCUUUGAAGUAAUCUUAUAGCCUAUAUAGGGGUUGUGUGCUCUUCCUUCAUUCUAGCAAUAGUCCCUGUUUAGAAUUUUACCUAUAUAAGAUUAAAAAAUGUGGAUUCACAAUGAAGAAAACAGGUUUUGAAUUUUUUUUUUUUUUUCUUUUUUCCUUUUUGGUGUUUGGGGUGGGGUGGUGUUGGACCUGAUGGAUCACAACGGAGUAUCCAAGGAAACACAUUUUCAGCAUAUCCUCGGAUAUUGCGAAAACUUGGCAGUUUGCAGUGUUGUUUUUCCAAAUAAAAGAAAUGAGGCCUUUUCCGUGGACUGCAGAUUCAUCUAUAACUUGACCACUGCCGCCGCCUUUAAACGGUGCUUGUCAGCGCGGCCACCACAAGUUUUCUUCUCCCUCCUACUGAUAAAUAAAUCCCCAGUUUUUAUUCGAUUAUGCUAAAUGUACAUAACAUGUUUGUAAAAUAGUUUACAUAUUCAUUAUCUGGUGAGAUAUAAUUAGGUCAAAACUUUGACCAAAUAAAAAAUUCUCCUUCUCUUUUUGACACUUCAUCCAUAUGUAAAUUAUUAUAUAACUACUUCUAUAUUAUUCAUCCCUAUUAUAGGAUUUUGAAUUAGAUUCCACCUAGUACGGCUGCUUUGAAGUUGUCACAAUUUAUAAGGUUGCAUAUACUUACACCCCACAUGGUCGCGACUAAUCCGUCCGGGUAGCAGCCGCAAAACAGCGCGAGUAACGCGUUUCAGCAGGACGGAACAACUUGCGAUAAGGGAUGCAAGCAGAUUUGACAAGGGAUGCAAACAGCUUGUGGUAGGGGACACAGGCACAUUCAGGCAGGGGACGCAGACAACUUGUGGCAGGAGGCGCAAGCAGCUCAAGCUGGGGACGUAGGUAACCUGUUGGGCAGAAUGCGGGCUGCCUGAAGCAGACAGUUUUCCAGCACAUUAAUGAGGUUUUUCUAAGUCUUAAAUCAGCCAUUUAGGAAGGAAAAAAUAUAUGAACUUGCAACCGGAUAUUUUGGAGAUGCAAGUGGGCAAUUUGCACAAUUUGUCCACUUGUGACACUUGGCCUCUUGCAAGAUACUAUCAAGACGCAAGCUAAGAUCAAGUUGGCAAAGAUAAUAUCAAAAUGAAAGCUAAGUACGAGUUGUAUCCACUUGCAAGGAAAGUGGUAGAAAAUGUCCACUUGAUAACAACUAAACAUGAGUUGUAAAGUGGAAUGCAACUUGAUCAAAGGAGGUUUAAGGCCACUUGACUCCAAUGAGGGCCUUUGGAUCAAAUUAAUCUUAGUCAUUGAUUUGAAAGAACUUGCAAGGUUUUUACCUAUAAAUAGAGAUGAAAGUCUCAUUUAUAAAUCAUGUAGAGUGAAGUGAGUUUAUAUAUUAAAGAGAUUGUAAAAUUUUCCCUUUCAUUUAUACAAAGAAAGUUUUCCUAAUCUUACUUAUUUUCUAUAUAUUCCUUACUCCAAAAUUCUCUUCUUAAAGUGGUUAUAAUUUAAUCUCAUUGGUUAAAUUAUUUGUGAGCGUGAAAAUGUUGACUUAACGUUUUCUCGUGAGGGACGGGAAUUGUCGAACGUUAAGGUCGCACGGUUCUAGUUGUUCGGGUGUAACGAAGCUAGGUCCGUGACACGUGGUAUCAAAUCCUCGUUUGUAGGCCGUUAUAGUGGCGGAUUCUCAUCAAACUAUUGAUAUUUAGAUUGAGGAAAGGGGUGUAGGUGUUGUCCCAACUGAAGUAAGGAAAACUCGAAGCAAAAGUAAGAGGAGGGAAGCCACUUCCAUAACGGGUAAAUUUGACCAAAUCAUCACAAAUAUGGGUGAUCGGGUCAAACCUCUUUAAAUCUCCUUCGAGGCGUUGGAGGGACACGCCAUUGGAAAGUUAGAAACUCUACAAAUCAAUGUCCAAGAGGUGAUGGACACACAAGCAUCGUUGGAAAAUGAUGUCCAAACUAUGAAAGAUGAUGUUCGAGCUGUGGUAGCCGGACAAGUCGUGGUGACGAAUAAUUUUGGUUGUCUCCAAAGCGAAGUCUUGGAUGUCGUUUCCUCUAUGCAUGGCCAAGUCAACCAAUUGACCAUGAUGAUGGAGAGAAUGAGCAAAGAGUUUGAUCAAUAAAAGCAAUCCACUGCCAGUACAAGCGGAGGUGCCGCUUCAACUAUUGUUGCCCUGAGGAUUGAAUACCCGAAGCCUAAACAUUAUGAUGGGCGCCGGGAUGCCAAAGACGUGGAAAAAUUCCUAUGGCAAAUGGAAGUCUACUUUGAAGGCGUAAAUCUUGUUGAUGAAACCAUGAAACUCCGGACAGCUUCUAUGUAUCUUACCAACAUUGCAUCUCUUUUGUGGCGUUGUAAGCAUGCCGAUGGAACGAGUUCAAAAGAGAGCUAAAAAGGCAAUUUUACCUUGAGAACGUCAUGUAUAAGGCCCGCAAGAAACUAAGGGAAUUGAAACAAAAAGAGACCAUUCGUGACUAUGUCAAAGAGUUCACAACCCUUAUGCUUCAAAUCUCGAGCAUGCCGGAGGAUGUCUUGCUAUUCUAUUUCAUGGAUAGAUGUACAACAUGGGUGCGGUAAGAAUUACAACAUAGCGGGGUCAAAAAUGUAGAUGAGGCAAUUGCGGUUGCCGAAUCUUUGACAGAGUUCCAAAGGAGCACGGAGUCGCAAGUAAGGACUUUCAAACCAACUAAACGGAAUUUUGGCAAAGGUGGAGGUGAUGUACGAAAAGACAAACAACGGAGUAAGCCGGGUUGGAGGCCAAAUCCCAAAGUUGAUUACAAACCCGAUGACAACAAACCAACUACUUGGCGGAAGGAGUAUGAUGAUAAAAAGAGGGGUAAUUUUGCUCCUAGUAGGUGCUUCACUUGCAAAGGGCCACCUGUCAUGAGAGAUUGCCCUAAACUUGGAUCUUUGGCAUCUAUUAUGGAGACUCAACCGGAGGCUUCUCAUGGUAAGGAGGAGAGUGCAAGUCACAUGGGUUCAUUGCAACUUUUCAAUGCUUUAAAUGCCAAAAUCAUUUCGGGGGCUAAUGGAGAAAAAGGAUUGAUGGUCGUAUUUGCCGAAAUCAAUGGAUGGCAAACAAGGACAUUAGUUGAUACCGAAGUCACGCACAAUUUCAUCACGGAGGAUGAAGCAUGGAGGCUAGGCUUGAAUAUUCACCAUGGAGGUGGAUUGUUGAAGACAGUGAAUGCAACCAUAAGGCUUUCAGCAGGCGUAGUUCGAGGAGCGGAACUACGGUUGGGUUUGUGGCAUGGACUCGUUGAUAUUUCUAUGGCACCGAUGAAUGAUUUCAAGCUAGUAUUAGGCUUGGAUUUCUUAAAGAAGGUUAAUGCAAUUCCUAUGCCUUCCUUUAGUUCUAUGUGCAUUUUGAAGAAAGCAGUGAGCUUGCUUAGAACACUAUGAAUUUUCAUGAUGCUUAUUUGAAUGUCCAUUAUAAAUAAUUUACGGAUAUCGAAUUAUAUUACGCUAUAAAAUAUUUUGGUGUCACACUUUUGUGGCGUCGUAAGCAUGCCGAUGUUGAAAAUGGAGCUUGUAGAAUUGAUACCUGGAACGAGUUCAAAAGAGAGCUAAAAAGGCAAUUUUACCCUGAGAACGUCGUGUAUAAGGCCCGCAAGAAACUAAGGGAAUUGAAACAAAAAGGGACCAUUCGUGACUAUGUCAAAGAGUUCACGACCCUUAUGCUUCAAAUCUCGAGCAUGCCGGAGGAUGUCUUGCUAUUCUAUUUCAUGGAUAGAUGUACAACAUGGACGCGGUAAGAAUUACGACAUCGCAGGGUCAAAAAUGUAGAUGAGGCAAUUGCGGUUGUCGAAUCUUUGACGGAGUUCCAAAGGAGCACGAAGUUGCAAGUAAGGAAUUUCAAACCAACUAAAGGGAAUUUUGGCAAAGAUGGAGGUGAUGUACGAAAAGACAAACAACAGAGUAAGCCGGAUUGGAGGCCAAAUCCCAAAAUUGAUUACAAACCCGGUGACAACAAACCAACUACUUGGCGGAAGGAGUAUGAUGAUAAAAAGAGGGAUAAUGUUGCUCCUAGUAGGUGCUUCACUUGCAAAGGGCCACAUGUCAUGAGGGAUUGCCCUAAACUUGGAUCUUUGGCAUCUAUUAUGGAGACUCAACCUGAGGCUUCUCAUGGUAAAGAAGAGGGUGCAAGUCACAUGGGUUCAUUGCAACUUUUCAAUGCUUUGAAUGCCAAAAUUGUUUCGGAGGCUAAUGGAGAAAAAGGAUUGAUGUUCGUACUUGCCGAAAUCAAUGGACGGCAAACAAGGACAUUAGUUGAUACCGAAGUCACGCACAAUUUCAUCAUGAAGGAUGAAGCACGGAGGCUAAGCUUGAAUAUUCACAAUGGAGGUGGAUUGUUGAAGACAGUGAAUGCAACCAUGAGGUCGUCAGCAGGUGUAGUUCGAGGAGUGGAACUAUGGUUGGGUUCGUGGCAUGGACCCGUUGAUAUUUCUAUGGCACCGAUGAAUGAUUUCAAGCUAGUAUUGGGCUUGGAUUUUUUGAAGAAGGUUAAUGCAAUUCCUAUGCCUUCCUUUAGUUCUAUGUGCAUUUUGAAGAAAGGAUCAUCAUGUAUGGUUCCUAUAGUUUCCAUGGAGAUGGAAGCGGGACAACUUUCGGUUAUGCAAUUAGCGAAAGGAUGGAAGAAAGGUGAGAUGACAUUCAUUGCUCAAUUGUCAAUUGCGAUCGAAGCUACCACUAAUAAUGAUGAUUUUCCAGAUAUUAUUACAAAAGUCCUUGAGGAAAAUAAGGACGUGAUGCCCAAGGAGUUGCCAAGGAAACUUCCUCUUAGGAGGGAAGUUGAUCAUCGCAUUGAGUUGGAGUCUGGUGCCAAACCCCCAACCAUGGCACCCUAUUGCAUGGCACCCCCCAAAGUUAGAGGAGCUUCGAAAACAACUUGCGGAGCUUGUUGAGACGGGAAGGAUUAGACCAUCCAAAGCUCCCUAUAGCGCCUCGAUGUUAUUCCAAAAAAAGCCGGAUGGGACGUUAAGGAUGUGUGUUGAUUACCGAGCACUAAACAAGGUGAAGGUGAAAAACAAGUAUCAUAUUCCAUUGAUUGCAGAUUUAUUCGAUCGACUUGGUAGCGCUAAAUUUUACACCAAGGUUGAUUUGCAAAAGGCUACUAUCAAGUUCAAAUUGCGGAAAGAGAUGAGCCCAAACUACUUGUAUUACUCGGUAUGGUUCCUAUAAACGGCUUGUCAUGCCAUUCGGUUUAACCAAUGCCCCGACCACAUUUUGUACCUUGAUGAACAAGAUAUUUUAUCCAUACCUAGAUAAGUUUGUGGUGGUCUAUCUUUAUAAUAUUGUCAUUUACAGCAAUAUAUUGGAGGAACAUGUUGAAUACUUGAAAAUUAUCUUCCAAGUGUUGCGGGAAAAUGAAUUGUACAUCAAGAAGGAGAAAUGUUCAUUUGCUAAAAAAGAGAUGAAUUUCUUGGGACAUAUCAUCAAGCAUGGUCACUUGAAAAUGGACAGAGCCAAAGUAAAAGCAAUCAAUGAAUGGGAGCCACCUACUAAGGUGACGGAUUUGCGAUCUUUCCUUGGAUUAGUGAAUUACUAUCGGAGUUUCAUUAAAUGCUACUUAUCUAGAGCAGCCCCAUUGACAGACUUGCUCAAAAAGUCUCAAGGAUGGGAUUAGACCGUGAAAUGUCAAAGAGCCUUUGAUGAUUUAAAAACGACAGUCAUGUCGAAGCAAGUGUUGGCUUUGUUGGAUUCAACAAAAGUUUUGAAGAUCAAAACGGAUGCAUCGGAUUUGCUAUUGGAGGUGUGCUCAUGCAAGAAGGUCAUCCUAUUGUCUUCAAGAGCCGUAAGUUGAAUGACAUAGAGCGGCGUUACACGGUGCAAGAAAAAGAAAUGACGGCCAUUGUGCAUUGCCUAUGGGUAUGGCAUCAUUAUCUUUUGGGUUCUCGUUUUGUGAUCAAAACAGAUAACGUGGCUAUAAGUUACUUCCAAUCAUAAAAGAAGUUAAGCCCGAAACAAGCUAGAUGGCAAGAUUUCUUGGAGGAGUUUGAUUAUGUGAUGGAAUACAAACUUGGGAAGGCGAAUGUAGUGGCAGAUGCACUUAGCCGAAAGGCGAAACUUGCGACAAUUAGCCAAGCCACGGGCACCUUGUUGGAGGAAAUUAAACAAGGAUUGGAGCAUGAUUCUGCACCGAAAACAUUGAUGCAAGCCACCCCAGAAGGCAAGACAAGGCUAUUUUGGAUUGACAACGAGUUGCUAUACACCACUGGGCAACGGGUAUUUAUGCCUGAGUGGAGAAAUUUGUGGCAUGACGUGAUUCGAGAAUGUCAUGACACUAAAUGGGCUGGACAUCCCGAGAUAGACCAGACAUUGGCUUUGAUUGAACGAGCAUAUUAUUGGCCACAAAUGCAUGAUCAAGUGGAGGCAUAUGUCUGAACAUGUCUUGUGUGCCAACAAGACAAAGUAGAGAAUAAAUUACCAGCGGGACUUCUUGAUCCUCUUCCUGUUCCAGAUCAACCACGGGAUGUGGUCACUAUGGAUUUCAUUAGUGCCUUGCCAAAAUUCGAAGGGUUCGGAUCAAUAAUUGUUGCUGUUGAUCGAUUUUCUGAGUAUGCUACUUUCAUUCCGGCCCCUAAGGAUUGUACUGUGGAGGAGACGACAAGGUUAUUUUUCCAUGUUGUGAAGUAUUGGGGAUUGCCUAAACAUAUUGUUAGUGAUCGAGAUCCUUGCUUCACACGAAAAUUGUGGACGGAGUUGUUUAAACUCUUUGGAUCGGAUUUACACUUUCUAGUAGUUUUCACCCGCAGACGGAUGGACAGACAGAACGGGUGAACGCAUUGUUGGAAUGUUAUCUUAGGCACUUUGUUAGUUCUAAUCAGCGGGAUUGGGCGACGUUGAUGGACAUAGCUCAGUUUUCCUACAAUUUGCAGAAAAGUGAAUCCACGGGACAUAGUCCAUUUGAACUUGCAACGAGGCGACAACCUAAAAUGCCCCACACAUUGCCUAUGGUUGGUAACUCCAACCGAAGUCCCGGAGCAAUAAAAAUGGCUAAGUCAUGGGGAGUUCAUGUGGACUUAGCUAGAUCUUUCUUGGAGAAAGCUUGAAGAGAAUGAAGAAAUGGGCUAAUGAGAGAAAAUCAACAUUAGAGAUCAAGUACUUGUGAAAGUGUUGCCUCAACAAUUCAAAGCCUACAGUGAAAUUCAUAAAGGCUUGGUUAGAAAGUAUGAAGGUCCGUUUCUCAUCAUAACUAAGGUUGGGAGAGUUUCCUACCGGCUAGAUCUUCUAAGCACUUUAAAGAUCCACCUGAUUUUUCAUGCGAGCAUGUUGAAGCCGUAUAGGCCGAACUUGGAGGAUACGGGGAGACACAAAUCAAAAAGGUCGCCUCUCAUUGUCACAAAAUCUUUUGAAAAAGAUAUUGAAUCCAUUUUGGGGGAUCAAGUGGUGAGACGGAGAGGUGUUCCCCAUUCCACUCAAUAUUUAAUCAAGUGGAAGGGAUUGCCCGAGUCUGAAGCUACUUGGAAAAAUGAAGGAGAUCUAUGGCAAUUUGAGUCGGAGCUACAAAACUACACGGCGAUGAGGGUAUCGCCAAAUUCGGUGGGGGAGUGACUUACACCCCACAUGAUCGCGACCAAUAUGUCCAGGUAGUGGUCGCAAAAUAGCACGGAUAACGUGUUUCAGUAGGACGAAACAGCUUGCGGUAGGGGACAAACAGAUUCAGCAGGGGAUGCAAACAGUUUGCGAUAAGGGACACAGGCAAAUUCAGGCAGGAGACGCAAACAGCUUGCGACAGGGGACACGAGCAGACUCAGGCUGGGGACACAAGUAGCCUGUUGGGCAAAAUGUAGGCUACCUGAAGCGGCAAAUUUUCUAGCACAUUAAUGAUGUUUUUCUAAGUCCCGAACCAGCCAUUUUGGAAGGAAAAAAUAUAUGAACCUGCAACCGGAUAUUUCUGGAAUGCAAGUGGGCAACUUGUACAACUUGUUCACUUAUGCCACUUGGCCACUUGCAAGAUAUUAUCAAGACGCAAGCUAAGAUCAAGUUGACAAAGAUAAUAUCAAGAUGCAAGCUAAGUAUGAGUUGUAUCCACUUGCGAGGAAAGUGGUAGAGAAUGUCCACUUGAUGACAACUAUGCAUGAGUUGUAAAAUGGAAUGCAACGUGAUCGAAGGAGGUUUAAGGCCACUUGACUCCAAUGAGGGCCCUAUGAUCAAAUUAAUCUUGGUCAUUGAUUUGAAAGCAACUUGCAAGGUUUUUGCCUAUAAAUAGAGAUGAAAGUCUCAUUUGUAAAUCAUAUAGAGUGAAGUGAGUUUAUACAUUAGAGAGAUUGUAAAGUUUUCCCUUUCAUUUAUACAAAAAAAGUUUCCCCAACCUUACUUAUUUUCCAUAUAUUCCUUACUCCAAAAUUCUCUUCUCAAAGUGGUUAUAAUUUAAUCUCAUUGGUUAAAUUAUUUGUAAGUGUGGAAAGAUUGACUUAACGUUUUCUCGUAAGGAACGAAAAUUGUCGAACGUUAAGGCCAUACGGUUCUAGUUGUUCGAAUGUAACGAAACUAGGUCCGUUACAACAUGCAUUAUAUGGGUACAUAUCUAAUGUGUACUUCGUUCCUACACAUGCUCUCCUCAGCGGGGCCAGAUUUCACGUUGAUCAGUCCGAAGGUCUUGUAAUUUCUUUCCCAAAAAAACUUUGAAAUACAAGAGAAAUGGAAAAGACGUAAAUGAGGAUUAAACUCUACAAAGUGAAAGUAACUUUUCUUUUGUUUCAAACUGACAUCGGGAGAGAUAACUUCGGUUGGCUAGACAACUAAUCCAAAGUUUGAUCGAGUCCAAGGGAUGUGCCUUGAAAGCAUAGAUCAUCUUCCAAACUUCUAAUGCCCUUUACCAAUCGGUGGUUAAGCGACUUGAAGCUUCUUCUGCUAAAACAGCUAAUGUUGUUGGGUGCAUGUCUUGCAACACAUAAACAUAAUUAUGACGGUAUCUGGAAUACAAAUAAAAAAUUGUGUAUGAUAUGGCCCAUUGAAAUCAACUCGGCCACAAUUGCAGUUAUCUUCGACACCUCCUCCGUGCCAAGCUCAUGUUCAGUCGUACCAAUUUGGUUCUUGGUAGUACCAUCCGUCCUUUUGUGCAUCGCAAAAAUAUAAAGACAACUAAUGCAAAAAUGUUAAAUACAACUCCUCAUAUUUCUAUAUCUAAUUAUUCAAAUUUGACAAGUCUGAAUUCACAUCAAAUAUAAUUUCAUUAACAAGCAUGAACUAAAUAGAAUUAUUAAACCUAUUUUAAGUAGUAAUCUUUGGGUACCAAUUUUAAGUCCAUCGUUAACGGAUUUUCUUUUUGAAAUAUGCUUGCAUAGCUGGUCGAGAGUACUUCGAAACAAUACCAAGAACUUACCCCUACAACCAAUAAAUAUAGUCCGAAAAUAAGUCAAAAUAGGUAAUUGUCACAAAUUAGAAUAAUCAAACACAUUUCUUGCAACCAUUUUUCACUUUCUAUAGUGAGCCUUGCUAAAGUGUACGGCAUUAGGAGACCGCCUUAUGUAGAUGUUAAGGCAACUUUGGGUAUGCUCUAAUCAUUAAGAAAGAUGCAAGAAUUAGAAGCGAAUACAGUUAGUACUAUCAUACUGGCCCUUGCAUGGACUUGAGGUGAAGAAUAAUGUUUUGAGCGAGAACAUUAGACAAUCUGUAUAUGGCUAGGUCCGUGACAAAUAGACUUUAUUGAAUAAUUAUACAAAUUGAUGACAAAGAUAAGGAGAUUAUUUUGUUCUCUUCCUUGUCAAUAAGGAUGACAAUUCAACUGUCAAAAUCAAAAGUCGCAAUUAACCGAAUUGAAUUGGACAAAAAAAUCGAACUGAUGGCGCAAUGGGGUGGAUAUGGUAUUUGAUUUUAAUGCCCUAGUUCAGGGAGGGACGGUUAUGGUAUUUAAGCCUUCACCCAGCCCAAACCAAUUACCCCGUUAAAAAAAAUGAAUAGGGCAAUUGGGUUUUCCAUCAUUUUUUUCUAUGAUUUUGCCUCGCCUAAAAUUCUGGACCAUUAUUGACCAGCUAAGUCCAACUAACCUAACCCAGUAACCCUACACCCUACUACACAAAUAUUAAACAUAUAUGAAAAUUGUUUGUUAAAUUCAGAUUUUGUAUUUGGGAAUUGGGAUAUUAUUUUCAUUUUCAUUUGGGAUAUUGUUUACUAAAGUGGCUUAGUACUGUGUUUUUGUUUUCAUUGAUUUUUUUUUUCAUAAUUUUUUUUUUCCAAUUUGACGGCUGGAUCUCUAAAAAAUUAUUUAUUUUCGUGGUUUGUAAUGCCCAAACCGAGAUAAGAAUCGAGUUGAACUGAACCAACUUACGUAGUUAUGGUGCGGUUAUGUUAUGACCGAAAAAUUGGUGGUUCAGUGAUGGUUUUGACCGAAUCGAGCCGACCCGAACAAUUGCCAACCCUACUCGCCGAGGUCACAUGAGACACUAAUGACCACGUUAUUAGUUGAAAAAUCUACUUUGACAAUGAAUGAGAUUUCAAAUUCUUUGUUAGAGACAACCAACAUUACCUAGUCAAGUGGUACUUUGAAUGGUAAUCAAGUGAUCUUAACAAAGUCUGAAAUGAAUAGUAGAGGUGAAUCUUGGGAAGGAAUAAUGGUAAGAGGAAUUGUUCUUGAUCUCGUUCUAGAAAAGAUGUGGAGUGUUACUAUGGCCAUAAGAAGGGACACAUUAGAAUAAAUUGCAGGAAUUGACAAAGUAUCUUGAAGCAAAGGGAAUCGUAUGUCUCAAGAGACAUCAGAUGAUAUAAACGUAGUUGAUUGAUCAUAUUGUUAAUGAUUUCUAUAGUAUCACAUAUUAUGGUUUUUCAAGUAACUCUAGGAUUUUGGAUAUGUUCAUCAUUUGUUUCCACAUAAGGAGUGUGACGCAUACUUGUUACGAUGGUUGAUAAUCAGAAACAUUAUGAGUAUUCUGCAUGUAAUAGUAUGAUGAUUGCAAAGAAAAAUUCUGUAUCAAUAAUGAGAGGCAAAAAUGUUGAUGAGUUGCACCGAGGAGAAUAUUCUACUAUUGCUAAAGGUAGUGAAGGGCCCAAGAAAGGUUAAUUAUGUGACUAACAUCAAUAAGCAUUAAGAUCAAAGUUCAAAUACGUCAAACAGUAAAGUUAUGUUCAAUAAGUCAUUGAAUUCGAUUCAUGUCUACUACAAUUGGUUGAGGGAUGGUGGCACCUACUAGUGAAAGAGUGUGAAGAUGGCUGCGAAAACUGCCGUGAAUUGAAGAUUUUGAGUCAAGGUAGAGAUUGUUGAGAAUGACUCAAAAUUAUAAUGUUUAAAGUUCAGGUCCAAGAUUGUAAUUUCUCUAAAGCAGUAAUUAUACCAAUCCAACAAGUGAAUGCAUACAUAUGCACAUGCGGAAAAACGAGAACAUAUCGUGGCAGACAAUAAAGGGAACUAAAAGAUAUUUUGGCUAGGUUUAAUUGAGGCCCAAACUUAUGGAUUGACGCACAAGGAAAAGACCAAAAUUGCGGACAGGGAGCAGCCGUUGAAUUAGGACAGAUAAAAUUGGCUUUAGUGAGAGAAAAGAAAACUAGAAAUUAGAGAAAUCGGUAGUACUGUGUAGUGAGAAAGUCGUGACAUUGGAGAAAAUAUUGUACAGUUGUGGUUUUUUCAGCUAGUAAAGUAUCUUCUCCUGUAGUCCUUAGCGGUUUGUAAACCAUGUUAAAUUUGUGCUUUCUUUUUCUAUUCCGUUUUUGUGUUCUUCGUUUUCGCAGCAAGUUCGGUAGAAUUUUUUCCCAAGAUAUGGAAGAUGAAGAAUUAAUAAAUACAAGUACUUUUGUAUCACAAACGGUCCUCGAAAUUGAUGCCUCGGAUGUUUCAAUAAAAUGAAUAAUAAUUUUGGAAUAGAAGAGAAAGCCUUUGGGGAUUAAUUUCGUUGUGAAUAGUCGUCUAAGAUUCUUUGCCUGAGGUUUUGAAAUUGAUAUGUCGAAUGUUUUGAAUGAAACGGGCCAUGGUUUUGGCAUGAAAAAGGCUUCAAGGAGAACAUUGUGGAUUCAAUUGUGAGACAAGAUUUUCUAUCUUCAAACAAUCAAUUGGUCAAUAUUAGGCUGUUGUCUGGUAGGUAGAUUAGUGGAAAUAAUUCAUCUUUUGCCGGAGAAUUUAGCAAUUUUUAUGACAUUUGUUCAUUAGAGUAGGACUAUUUUUCUACUGGUGGUUAUAUUCACACCACAACCUUUUUUUUUCUUGCACCAUAUUUUAAUUGCACUUAAGAUAUUUAAUCUUUGCUCAUUAUAUUACUUUUGUUCCUAACGAUUUUUCAUGUAAUUCUUAUCCUCAAACUUUCCAUUAAUUUAUACAUUUUGUAUUUAAUAAUCUUUUUAUGUCCAAAAGUCCAUUUAUAUGGCUAUAACAACUUAUUGUUUUCAUCAUAUUUUCAAAAAUUAAAAACUACGAAAAAAAUAUUUUUUUUCCUCUUUUCAAAGUAUGAAAACAAAAUAUUUCGAUAUAAAUCAUCAUCAAGGACAAGACGUCCUAAUUAAUGGAAGGUUUGAAGAUAAGAAUUUAUCUUGUUAGUUAAAGUUGAAAAUUAAUAAAUUAUUUAUUUUGAAGGUAAUUUUUAAUUGCUCCCUGACAAAAUAAGUAAUUCUUUUAUCUAUAGGUAAUAAAAAGGUAAAUAUACGAAAGAGUAGUAAGUUUUAACAUAAUUUAUGCUCAGGAAAACAUGCUUUAAGAAUUAUCUUGUUCUAGAAUUGUCAGACUCAUUUGGUUCCUUCACUCUUAGUAUUUUGGGAAAAAAUGGUAUAUUUGAUGCUCAUUCUCAUACAUAUAUCUCUAUCCAUUCUCUCUCCUGCAUAGGUCAUGAAAGAUACUUUACAUAUAUUAAUUUCCAAGUAAAUUAAUCAAAGUAGAGUAGAACUUGUCUAAAUGCAUGAAUGUGUAGUAGUUGAUUAUGAAAACAGUUGGGAAUAUGGUGAAACGACAUAUAUAAAAAGAUUGAAAAUCAAAGGAAACUGAUUGCUACAUAUAGGUCUAUUGUUUAGCAGAAAAAUAAAAUAAACAAAAGAAAAAAUGAUGACUCCAUCUUUGUAUUUGAUAUACAAUAUGUACUAUGUAGUGAAUAAUACAAUAGAUAACUUUUUUUAAAUUUUUUGAAUACGAUUUAAUUCACUUUAUCACACUACCAUUAAACAUCAUAGUUAAAGUCCCUGUUGGAUAAAGUUUUUAUUUAUUUAUUUGAGAUUAUAAGUUAGUUAAACUUUUGUUAUACACGGGCAAACUUUAUAAAUAGGUGAUAUUAAACUUAAACCCAAUAAUUUUGUUUGAUUUGAAUCAAGAUUAAAUUAUCUUAUUUUUGAAGUAUAAAAUUUUUUUAAUAAAAAGAAGUUAUUUAUUUAUAUUUUAUCUUUAAUUUUCUUAACUAGGUUUCGUAACUCAAACCAAUUACAUUAAAUUAACAUUAACUUUAUUAAUCAAUUAAAAAUUGAAUGGUGGAUAAUUAAUUAGAAAAUUCAUUACCAAAUAAAUAUUUCUCAACUUAUUUUGUUGAUUAUAAAUGAGAUGAAUACUAAUUGCAUAAUCAAUUUCAAAUACGCAUCACUGAGGGAGAUAUAAGAUUUUUCAGAAGUUUAUAUGAUUGUCUGAGGUAAAUGUUUGCUCGAUCGUACUUAAGGGUUACUUGUGGUUAGAUCGUCGAGUUUGAAAUACAUGAAUGCUCGGCACCAAAAUGAAGCCAAUAUAACUAAAGUGAACAAUUUUAUAAAUAGCUAGAAAUAAUUGCGAAUAAGUGAAUAAUAUUUGUAGAUCCCACAAAAUAUGUAAGUAAAAUAUAAGUUGACAGAAUAUAACAUUUAUAAAUAAUAGACAAACAUGGGUUUAGUCAACAUUUGGUACACGCAUGUUAACUUGUAUUUAUCCCUUCUGGUCAUCUAUGUGUAUACCAAUCACGUAUACCUUAAAACUAGUUUAAGGGUGUGCUAUGGAAUCCUUCAAGAAGCAAGUCGGAAGCUCGACGUAUGACGAUGAUAAGUAUGACCAUGUGAAUGAAGUGUGAUGCUACCAAAAAUCGUACCUGCAGAUUUUCCGAGCUUGAUGAUUCGGGUUGAUCACGAUCGUAGUCUUCCAGUACCUGAAACAAAGACAACGAGGUGUGUUCUCGUCGCCCCUCCGAUACUUAAGUCAGAAAGGGAAUUAUAUGCGUGAGGCUAUAUGCUGGAGAAUAAUGAACAACGUACCUGAAUAAUGGCCUGAGGUUCUGCUUUUAUAGGGGCAGGUAGUGCACUCCUAGUAGGAUUGUGCUGGUUGGAUGUUUUUAUCCAAGGGAAUCCAAUUUAUAAAGAAUGCCCUACUUGUAAUGGAAUUGUUUGACAAGUGGUAUAAGGGUUGAUACAGAGUUCUUGGGUGUUUAGGUUCGUUUGUUAGGUACCUAGGUUUUAGAAGGUCUGUUGGUGGUAUAUGUCCCGAGAACUAUUCUCGAGGUCUUGGGUGGCUGAUGUUAAUAUUUGCAUGAGCUACCUCGAGGACCAAAAUAUCUCGAGGUCUCAGGGAGAUCCCGAGGACCAUAGCAAAAAGUUGAGCUGGAGCAUAUAUAGAGUCCUCGGGGUGUACUCCUCGGGGUAUAUCAAUAUUGGCAUCGUCACUGGCCCCCGUGCACUCCUCCUAGAGAUCGAGCUCUUAGGAUAGGGUGCACAUGAGUUAUGUCACUUUAGGAAUCUUCGUCGAAAAGUGAUGGCUGACGAUAGAGGUCGAGAUAUGACCGUUGCAGAGAAUGGGCUUGGAUUUGUGACACGUGUCUUCGUGGACGGCCGUAGAUAGCGAUCUUUGGCCUUCCAUCGUUUUCACCUAUAAAUACUGCUGUUCUCACCUUUAUUUUUCACUUUUACCCACUGUAAAUCUUAGUUCUACGAGGUCGUGCUCGAGAGAAACACUUUGGGAACUUCUCAAGUCGUCGGGAACUCCAGGUAAGGCUCGAGACUUUAAGUUAUUCCAUAAGCUAGGUCUUAAGUUUGCUAAGUGAUGUUGAGUAGUGAGGGUCGAAAUUCUUCUAGUAGUUCGAGUAGUAGUGAGGACGUAGGAACGUCGAUAAUACCGACGACUAUUCCCCUAGAGGCUACUCUCGAGGCUCAGGUUAAUAUGAUCUUUGAGUAUCCCGACGAACCCUGUAGGCUAAAAGAGCACUCAGCUAUAGCUACAGCUAGGGAAUAUGGUAUUAUGCCUAAUUGCAAUGUUAGAUUUCCUGGCCCCGAGGAUAGAAUUGUUCGAGCUCGACGAGGGGAGUUUGUUAUUUUUAGGGAGACCAUUAAGGCUAGCUUUAGGUGGCCCCUUCACCCCUUUUUCAUUGCUCUGUUAGUCGAGCACUCCAUGUGCCCAGGGCAGUUAGUGCCCAACGCCUGGAGAAUGCUCGUAUAUUUUUUCAUAGCAUGUAGAUACUUAGGUAUCGAGCCCAACAUUGGCCUCAGUAAAUUAGUGUUUGAGCUUAAGAAGCAUCCUCGAUACACUUGUUUUGGCUAUCUCUCGACGAUAGGGGGUUUUAAGGUCCCGAGGAUGGCGAGCUCUCUGAAGGGGUGGAGGGAGGGGUGGUUUUAUGUUAUAGCCCAAGAACCCGACCUUCCUUUCUGGCCUGAUUGGGGAAUCCCCGACGUCGAGAAGUUCUGUGAGGGUCAGGUGUAUCCGGAUGUUUUGGAGGACGAUAGAAGGAUGCUGGUGGGGCUCAGCCCCCUUUUCUCGACGAUGAAGGAGAUUGGAGAAGAGGUUAUAGACCUGGCAGAUAUUAGAGGCGCCGAGGGUAGGGAUGUUCCUUUAUUAUUUUUUGAAAAAUAACUUGACCUUGUGCUCGUUCUGAAGUGUUUGUAAAUUUUUCAGGCAUGUCUUUUAAUCCUCGAGCUCUCCGGAACUUUAUCAGCACAAGGACUGAUGCUCAUCCACAGGGGCAGCCCCCAAAGAAGAAAGUCAAGAAGAGGCCUCGAGGAACCCCUGAGGGUGUGAGGGGGCCUGGCGAAACAUCUUGAGCACAUCCUCAAGUCUCGACCCCUUUGCAGUCGAACCUCAGAUCUCCCACUCCUCGGGUCGUAACUCCUCGACCUCCUUCGGAAGUGGUCGACCUUGAGGAUGACUCGACUCUUACCGGGGACUUUAAGACUUGCCACGUCGCUUCUGAUCUCGUGAACAAAUACAAGGAGGAGGUGAAGCUCGAUGAUGGAAUAAAGGUCCUCGAGAAUCUUACUAUGAAGGUAAUCCUCGAACAUUCGACUUUAGCCUCAAGUUUUGUCGUCGAGAUUAAUACUUAACAUUUUCUCCAUUUUUUCCAGAUGUUGAGUGUAGCUCGAGGGCUUUCUCUUCAAGGGCUUGAGGAGGUCAAGAGGGCAGCUGGGGUGGAGACAUCCAUGGCUUCCAAGGACAGGAGGAUUCAAGACCUCGAGGCUCAGGUCGAGGUUUUAUUGAAGGAGCAUGAUGACGCGAGAAUGGAGGCUGCUAAGGCCAGGGAUGACCUUGAAACAGCAAAGGAUGAGGUCGAGGGUGUGAGGCUCGAGCUUGUCCAGAAGACAGAGAGUUUUGAGCGCGAGCUCGCGGACGUCAAGGAGAGGGCCUAGGAGGAGUUUAAAACCUCCGAGGAUUGUGACAAGAUAAAAGGAGAGUACGCGUCGGGGGCAUACUUCCAUGCUCUGAAAGAAGCCCGGGCCUUUCUCCGUCUGAAGUUACCCGACGUCGCUCCGGAUGACCUGAAGACAGUGCCUUCUAUUGCUGAUACUUUGGAGCUCUCGGGUUCAGAAGAUGGAGGAGGAUCAGGCGGAGAUGAGGACGACGGUCUUGAGGACGACGUUGAGAUUGACAUCAGCAACCUCGACCCUCCUUUUGGCCAUAUUGGAUGACUUCCCCCCAUCCCGAUCUUUUGUAAUUUUUGUUUAAAUUUUGAACAUGUAUUUUGAUCGAUGACUGUGUAUGUUUUGCAGUUAAUUUAUUGCAUUUGAACUUAGAAUUAGUUAUCCCGACCCCUGGGACUUCAUACAUUCGAGCAAACAAAUUGGAGAGUAACUACUCAUGCGACAUUAAAGAGUUUACUCGAGGAUUCCACAACUCGAGCAUAUAACUUAAAGAGACCCUCGAGGACUCCAAACCUUGAGCACAUCUAACUUAAAAAGUAGUAAUAUGCUCAUGUGACGUCCUCAAGGGAUUAAGAUAUUCUCGAGGACUCCAAACCUCGAGCACAACUAACUUAAAAAGUCGUAAUGUGCUCAUGUGACAUCCUCGAGGGAUUGUGAUAUUCUCGAGGACUCCAAACCUCAAGCACAACUAACUUAAAAAGUAGUAAUGUGCUCAUGUGACAUCCUCGAGGGAGUGUCAAAAAUGAUGUUGGAUUUUUAUACGUCUCCGAGCACUACUAUAAUGGCUUACGCUUGAGUAUGUUGUAUGAUCAAGGCUUUUUUGAGUGCUUGCGCGGGACAAGGCUUUUAGUGCUUGCUCGGGGCAAGGCUUUUGAUGCUUGCACGGGGUAAGACUUUUUUGUGCUUGCUUGGGGCAAGGCUUUUGAUGCUUGCGUGGGGCAAGGUUUUUUUUCGCUUGCUCGGGGCAAGGCUUUUGAUGCUUGCGCAGGGCAAGACUUUUUUGAGUGCUUGCGCGGGGCAAGGCUUAGGUGCUUGCUCGAGGCAAGGCUUUGGACUGCUUGCUCGAGGGCAAGGCUUACGUUGCUUGUCGAGGACAAGGCUUAGGUAAUUCCUGGACGCAAAGCAAACUAUAGGGCUGUUAUACCCGAGGUUUGAAUUUAUUAAUUCCUCGGGCUGGUCUCGGAUUUAUAUUGUAUCCAAGCUGCCUACGUACCUAAACGGGAUCAAGCCGAACGUAGUUUAUUACAAAAGAAAAUGAAAAACAUGCAUGGGCACGCAAACCUGUCAAACUAGAAAUAAAAUGCAAGGGCACGCAGGCCCGAAGAACCAAAAAUAACAUUCAGAAGAAAAGAAAAUCUCCUAGAUGGCAUCGAGAAUGUUACUUGUAAUAUAUUUUCAGAUUAUCGGCAUUCCAAGGCCUUGGAAGAGGUCUACCCGAAGUGUCUCUUAGGCUAUAUGCUCCUUUGUGAACCUGUCGUAUGACCUCAAAGGGUCCUUCCUAGAUGGGCCCUAGCUUCCCUGGGGGUGACCUGCUGCUUCGGCCCUCCUCAAGACCAAGUCGCCAGCUCUGAACCUCCGAGUCUUGACUUUGUUAUUAAAAUGUUUUGCUAUCUUAGUUUGGUAAGAGGCCACCUUUAUAGCGGCUUGCUCCCGUACUUCUUCCAAGAGAUCAAGGUGUUCAAUUGUAUGCCCCGAGGUUUCUGGCUCGAGCCUCCUCUGGCUUGGCAGUCUAAUUUCCACCGGGACCAUUGCUUCAAUGCCAUAGGCUAACAUAAAAGGGGUUUCUCCUGUGGUUGUCCUAUGAGUUGUUCUAUACGUCCAUAGUAUAGAAGGCAGCUCAUCGGACCAAGAACCCCUAGCAUUACUAAUUCUUGUUCGAAGGUCUUGUAAUAUGAUUCGAUUUGUUACCUCGGCCAGACCAUUGCUCUGAGGAUGCGAAACUGAAGUCAGACGGUGAUCAAUCCCAAGGUUUGAGCAAAAGUCCCUAAACUGUUGAUUGUCAAAUUGCCUGCCAUUGUCGAUGACGAGGACCUUUGGUAUCCCAAACCUGCAAAUGAUAGACCUCCAAGUGAACGUUCUUAGCUUGGGCUCCGAUAUCGUUGUGAGAGGUUCGGCCUCUGCCCAUUUUGUGAAAUACUCUACUGCUACAGCAACAAACUUUAAUUGACCUCUUGCCACAGGAAAGGUCCCGAGGAUGUCAACACCCCAUUGUUCAAACGGGGCCGAACAAAUAAUGUUGGUGAGGUCUUCGGCCGGUGAAUGGAUAACAUUACCAAACCUCUGGCACCUAUCACAUCUCUUAACAUAUUCUGAGGCGUCUUUCUUUAUAGUUGGCCAAUAGUACCCAUAUCGUAUGAGUUUAAAGGCCAGGGCUCUGGCUCCUUGAUGAUUCCCGCACACACCUUCAUGAACUUCAGCAAGGGCCCGGGAUGAUUCUGAUGGUCUAAGGCACUUAGGUAUGGAAGAGUAAUACUUCUGCGAAAGAGGACACCGCUGAUCAUGUAGUACCUAGGAGCUCGAGCUCGGAUGCUUCUAGCCAACCUGGCAUCGCUUGGUAGAUUUCCACUUGUGAUGAAUUCUAUGAUUGGGUCCAUCCAAGACGGUUCGUUGUCAAUGUCCAUGACGUCGGGGAUUUGAUUGAUGCUGUGUUCUAUGAUGACAUUGAUGUGAAUUGUUCUGUCCAGGCUGUCAACCCCCAUGAACACAAGCCUGGAUAAUGCGUCGGCUUUUCCGUUGUCUGUUCGAGCAAUUUUUGCAAUUUCACAACUCUUGAAUUUUCGUUGAAGAUCCUGAACCUUCAUGCAGUACAAACUCAUUUUCGCGUCUUUCCUUUCAAAUGAUCCUUCAAUCUGUCCGACCACCAAUUGUGAAUCGCUGAAUACCUUCACGAACUCGAGCUCAAGGCUAAGGGCUAGCUCCAGAACAAUAACGACGGCCUCAUAUUCGGCCUCGUUAUUGGUUGCUUCAAACUCGAACCUAAGAGCGCAUUGAAUCUCCGUAUGUUUGUCAGGGCUAAUGAUGAUGACCCCUGUACCCGAGCCCGAGGAGUUCGAUGCUCUAUCUACAAAAAUUUGCCAAGUGUCCAAAUUAGUGCUCAUGCUCGAUCCGUCACAUGGCCUCCUAGGCCUAGGGGUUAGUUCUGCAAUGAAGUCAGCUAGUGCUUGGGCUUUGAUAGAUGGGCGUGGUUUGAAUUCGAUGUCAAAUUCUCCAAGCUCGAUCGCCCAUUUCAUCAAUCUUCCUGAGACGUCCGGCUUUUGAAAUAUAUGCCUAAGUGGUUGAUUAGUGAGCACCACAAUAGGGUGAGACUGAAAAUACUGCCGGAGUUUCCGUGCUCCUAUCACCAAGGCAAGGGCAAGUUGUUCCGCCAAAGUAUACCUUGUUUUCGCAUCUAGUAGGACCUUGCUUACAUAGUAAAUAGGUUGUUGGACUCUGUUAACCUCUUUCACCAAGACCCUGCUGACCGCGUUUUGGGAUACGGCCAAAUACAAAAAUAAGGUGUCACUAGGCUCAGGCCUAGUGAGAAUAGGAGGAGAUGCCAUUUGCUUGAGCUCCUGAAAAGCUUUCUCACAGUCUUCACUCCAAUCAAAGCCUUGGUUUCCUCUGAGGACUUUGAAGAAGGGAUAGCACCUAUCUGAUGCUCGGGACAUGAACCUGUUCAAGGCUGCUAUCCUACCAGUAAACCUCUAUACCUCUUUCUUGUUCCUUGGUGAUUCCAUAGAUGCCAAGGCUUGUAUUUUGUCAGGGUUAGCCUCUAUCCCCCGGUGAGUGAUCAUAAAGCCCAAGAACUUGCCCGAGGCUACGCCAAAUGCACAUUUUGCGGGGUUUAACUUCAUUUUGUACUUUCGCAAGGUGUCGAAAACCUCUUCAAGAUCUGAAAUAUGCUGGUCCACCCGUUUGCUCUUGACCACCAUGUUAUCAACAUACGCCUCCACAUUCCUUCCUAUCAAGUUAGCAAAGACUUUGUUGAUGAGCCUUUGGUAUGUUGCCCCUGCAUUCUUCAAACCGAAAGGAAUGACCUUAUAACAGUAUAUGGCGGAAUCGACCAUGAAUGACGUCUUUUCUUGAUCUUCCUAGGCCAUGAGGAUUUGAUGAUAACCAGAAAAUGCAUCCAAGAAGCUGUAUAGCUUAUGUCCAGAUAUGCUAUCCACCAAGUUGUCAAUCCGCUGUAGGGGAUAACUAUCCUUUGGACAUGCUUUGUUAAGAUCUGUGAAGUCAAUGCAGACCCUCCACUUACCAUUGGCCUUCUUCACUAAAACAACAUUGGCAAGCCAAUCGGGAUAUUGGACCCCCUGAAUGAAUUGAGCACUGACGAGUUUGUUAAUUUCUUCGCGAAUGACCUCCCGACGUUCUGGGACAAACUGUCUUUUCCUCUGCUUUACUGGUCUGGCCCCUGGGCUAAUGUUAAGCCAGUGGACUACAAUUUUGGGGUCAAUCCCUGGCAUAUCCUCAACCUUCCAGUCAAAAACAUCAAUGUUGCAAGAUAAGCAACCAAUAAGUUCUGUCUUCAGGGUGACGUCAAGAUCCCGACCAAUCGUCACCUUCUUAUCAUGCUCAAUCUCAAUUUCCAUCAAUUCUUCAACAGGAGCAAGUCUGACUUGUUGCUCGAUCUCGGGCUCAGUCCUCGAGAUUUUCAUGACGUCGUUAUUUAUUUCCCGAACGCUAGCAACAUAGCAUUGUCUGGCAGUUGUUUGGUCUCCAAGCACGACCCCAACGCCAUUACUUGUUAGAAACUUCAUGGCUAGGUGGAAGGUAGACACAAUGGCUUUGAUCUUGUUCAGGAGUGGUCUUCCCAGAAUAGCGUUAUAGGCCAUUAAGAUACGUACCACUUGAAAAGAUGUCAUCUCCGUAACCUGUUUCUGGCCAGAACCCAAAGUUAGAAGAAGCUCGACGACACCCUCUGGAGUGAUGACUCCUCCCCCAAACCCCUGGAGAGGAGUUUCAACCGCUUUGAGCUACUGAGCUGAGAUUUCCAUUUUGGCAAAAGCCUCUUGUGAAAGUAUAUUGGCCGCACUCCCGUUGUCAACCAAGAUUCUCUUUACUUCAAAAUUGGCCACAAUCACUGAGAUGACCAAGGCAUCAUCAUGUGGAAGUGAUACACCUUCCAAGUCCCUGGUUCCAAAAGUAAUAUCCUCCAGCUUUCCAUGAGGCAUCCCAGAGGCCAAGGUAUAUUGUCGGGCAUAUUGUUUUCUUCCACUGUUCGAGUCUCCUCCCGAGGCAAUACCCCCAAUGAUGAUAUUGAUGGUACCAGCAGUGGGUUGACCAUCCCUUUUUGCUUCAGGGGCUCUUUCCUUACCACAAUCAUUCCUCGGGCAUUUGUCAUUAUCGACGUAGGAACUCAGGAGUCCUCUUUUAAUAAGGGCUUCAAUUUCCCGUUGCAGGGCCUUACAGUUUUCCGUGGUAUGCCCAUGAUCCCGAUGGAACUCACAGUACGUGUUCAUGUCCCUGGAUUCGGGUGGUGACCUCAUUCUGGUAGGCCAUUUGAGUUCCUUCAUAUCCUUGAUCUCCAUCAACUUAUUUGUUUUUGACGUAUUUAAAAGCGUGAAUGACGCCGGGGGAACCUCCUGUCUCUAUUUUCUCCGAGGUGGUUCUUGACGGGGGUUCAGGUCGUGCUGUCGUUUAUGCUCGACCCUAUCAUGGGAUGGUCCAACCUUUCUCGGGUUCAGUGUUUCCUCCAUAUUUAUGUACUUCUCGGCUCGGAUAAGAAGCUCGGUCACUAUCUUUGGCGGAGUUUUGGAUAACGACAUCUUGAAAGCCUCACACUUUAUGGCAUAUGUGAGGGCAGAAACUGCUGCAGUUAUAUGUAGGUCGGGAAUCUGAAGUCUUUCCUUGUUGAACCUGGUCAUGAAGUCAUGUAGGGUCUCAUUUUGCCCUUGGCUAAGUUGCAUGAGGGAAGCCGCUGUCUUCCUGAUGCGUUUACUGCUUGCGAAGAAAGCAGAGAACUUGUCCGCCAAAUCCGAGAAUGAGGCUAUGGAGUUGGGCUCUAAGGUCGAGAACCAAUCCCUAGCAGCAUUUGUCAAAGUUUGCGAGAAGGCCUUGCACAUCACCUGAUCCGGUGCGACCUGCAGAUUCAUGACGUCCGUGUAUACGUUAAGAUGAUUGAUUGGAUCGGUGGUCCCAUCAUACUCUUUAAUCCUAGGAUACUUAAAUCUGUCCGGCAAGGAGAAUGUCAAUAUCUCGGGAGUGAAAGGAGUGUUGGGACUGAAUCUUAUUGACCCUUUGUUGCCCGGAAGUAGGCCCGCCAUAAUUCCUUCUUGAAUAAUCCUAGCGAGUUCUCCGGACUCCAUGGUCACUGAUCUCGAGGCCGAGGUCACAUGGGGUAUGCCCGAGGCCCCUGCCCCACCAUUGUCAGGGACAUGUCGCUGAGCUCGAGCUCAAGCAUCAACCAUAAAACCCCCCUCGAGUGCCGGUGUGGGUGACGGAUGCGAAUUUCUUUAACUUAACAGUUGAGUCAGUGUGGCGACCUGUUGUCUGAGCUCUUCAAAGGCUCCGAUAGUGACGACUGCCGGCUGGGGCUCUGGCACUUCUAAUGAUUCCUCUUGAGGAACAGGGAUAUCCUCAGGAGGAGGUUGGUUUGGAGCGGACGAGCUUGCUGGUGGAAGACCUGAACGUGUGUUUACCAUGGCUUUUGGUAGCGGUUCCCACAAACGGCGCCAAUGAUGCUACCAAAAAUCGUACCUGCAGAUUUCCCGAGCUUGAUGAUUUGGGUUGAUCACGAUCGUAGUCUUCUGGUACCUGAAACAAAGGCAACGAGAUGUGUUCUCGUCGCCCCUCCGAUGCUCAAGUCAGAAUGGGAAUUAUAUGUGUGAUGCUAUAUGCUGGAGAAUAAUGAAAAACGUACCUGAAUAAUGGCCUAAGGUUCUGCUUUUAUAGGGGCAGGUAGUGCACUCCUAGUAGGAUUGUGCUGGUUGGAUGUUUUUAUCCAAUGGAAUCCUAUUUAUAAAGAAUGCCCUACUUGUAAUGGAAUUAUUUGACAAGUGGUAAAAGGGUUGAUACAGAGUUCUUGGGUGUUUAGGUUCGUUUGUUAGGUACCUAGGUCUUAGAAGGUCUGUUGGUGGUAUAUGUCCCGAGGACUAUUCUCGAGGACUUGGGUGGUUGAUGUUAAUAUUUGCAUGAGCUACCUCAAGGACCAAAAUACCUCGAGGUCUCAGGGAGAUCCCGAGGCCCAUAGCAGAAAGGUGAGCUGGAGCAUAUAUGGAGUCCUCGGGGUGUACUCCUUGGGAUAUAUCAAUAUUGGCAUCGUCAAAGUGUAAUUAUUUAUUUUUUCAUUAUAAAAAUGUUUGGCCUAACUUUGCUGAUUAUUCAUCCCAAAGGAUAAUCACAAAAAGUAAAACCAAAACUAGCAAAACUUUUUCUCUCUCUCGCUUUGUUUUAUCCAAGUCGCCAAUGAAUUUAGCCAACAAGAAGAGUGGGGGAAAUCAAUAUAAAACACGCACAGAAACACACUGGGACACUGGUACUAUGAAUCUAGCCAAACUUUGACAUUACGGUUGAGCUUUGUAAGAUGACGUGUCGGAAGACUCGUAACGCCAAGUCAUUCACCCCUCCCCCCCUCAUUUAUGAAAUCAAUUCACUAUGCAUUCACAUGCCCUGAGGUUGUUUCAGUUGAUGGAUGAAGAUGACGAUGUACAGGACAGAGCAAAGGGUAGCAUUUUUGACGUGAAAAGUAGCGAAAAUCAAAAACCAUUGGAGAAUUUGAUGUUCAGGUAUUAUAGUUUAAGAGUGAUUGUUAUAAUGGUUCUGUUGACAGUAUCACUCUUGGUGUUGCCACUGGUUCUGCCGCCACUUCCUCCGCCACCGCCAAUUCUUCUUCUUGUCCCAGUUUUGAUCAUGGUUUUGCUGAUUUUAUUAGCCUUUGCACCUUCACAAUUGCCCAAUAUUCAUGUCCCUCCUGUGUGAAUAUAUAUACAUAUAUAGACACACACUGACACGUGUAUACGUGUAAAAUCAGAGAAAUCCCAGCGGAAAAUUCACGUAGGAGUCUAGAUCGAGUCACGGUCUCUUAUCUAAUCCCACGCUUUGUUCUUCUUCUAUCAUCGUUGUCAGUGAGACAUUUCAACUAAUAUACUGUGGAAGAACGAAAUCUAUUUUCUUGUUUCUUAUGUUUUUUAGGUCGAUUUGUCUGCAAAUCAUGCUUCUAACUACACCGCUUUGAUCAAUUUAUUUUGAUGCAUUGUGUAUGAUAUUAUAUUGUAAUUUUCUUCAUCAUUUUUUGUUUUAAUUUAUUGCAGUAUGAUUUAAUUGAUUGAGAUUGUGAGUUUGGUUAGACUAUUACGUCAUAUUACUACGAACAAUACAUAGACAAGUAAAUCCCUUAUGAAUUUCAAGGUACUCCUUUACUUGCACUUUUGUGAGUUUGGUUAGACUAUUACGUCAUGUUACUCCCUUUUUUUUUUUUUUUUUUUUUUUUUGUGCAAAAUAUUGGAAACACUAUUUGAACUCAAAACCUUUUUUUAUGUGAAGUAAAUAAAAUGAUUUGAAAGGUAAAGCAAUUGAAAUUUGAUAUUUGAAUUUUCUUGGAAGUUAUAGGGGUAUUAUCUUAUAAUUUUCACAUGGAAAUUAUCAUUUUGUUGCGUAAAUUAAGGGGUUGUUUUACAGAGAUUUGAUAAAAAGUAUCAACAAAUUUUGAUAAAAGUUAAUAAAAUAUGUAAUUAAAAAGUUGUGGGAUUCAUAAAAUGUAUAGUUAUAAUUAAAGUUUUGACAAGUUCAACAUUUUGAUAAAAUUUUAGUAAAGUAUCAAAUAAUCACUAAUAUAUCUAAACAAAAUUGUAAUGCUAAGAUGAAGUUUACUAACAAGAAAUCAAGAAUGCCUAAAUUUCACCCAAUGAUCUAACGAGGAAAAUUUGAUGAAAAUACCUUUUUAAAUUAGUCCAAAGACAGGACUUCAAUUCUUCAAAAACUUUCUGUUCCUAUAAAUUAAUGAUGCAUGGUCCCUUUUUAGAAUUUUAGGUUAAAAAAAAAAAAAAGAACGAAGUAGGUUCAUAUAAAAGAAAACAGUUUGUAUUAGUAUUUUCUUUUCUUUUUCGUGAACUUGAGGGUUUGCAGUGUUUUUUUUUUUUUCCUAGAAAAGAAAUUAAGGUUUAUCUGUGGGUUGCAGAUUCAUCUGUAUUUGGACCACCGCCCGCCGCCUUUAUACGGUGGAGGGUCAGCACCAGCCACCGCAGGUUUUUGCUCCCUAGCUCUACCAUAAAUGUCCUAUAUAGAUAGUAUUUUGACAACCAUUAGAUUCCAGCUGGUAUGUCCGCUUUGGAGUGGGCACAAAUUAUGGUUGCACAUGCAUGUACGACGUACGGGUACAUAAUCUAAUGUGUAUUUAGGUUUCUACUAAAGUACUUUUAUCAAUAUCAACUCGCCAUUGUAAAAUUACAACAAUUGCUGGUUUUCAUCAUUAAGGACAAUUUAUGAAUUUUGAUAAU